UUCCUACCACAAUGGGCUCUUUAUUAUCAAUUCAAACAUUGAACCUAAACAAUAAUGGAUUUGUGGGAGAAUUGCCUUCAUCUUUGGAGAACUGUACAAGUCUCAUGGUUUUUGAUGUUGGAGAAAAUAAAUUAUCAGGUUUGAUACCUAAAUGGUUAGGGGUUGGACUUCCAAAUUUGACUAUCCUUAUCCUCCGUUCUAAUCACUUCUAUGGAAGCAUUCCAUCACAGUUGUGUAAUAUGGGAAGCAUUCAAAUUUUGGAUUUCUCGAUGAAUAACAUCUCCGGAAGUAUACCCAAAUGUCUCAACAGUUUGACUAAUUUGGCUCUAAGAGGAAGUUCAAGUCUAACUAUCAGUCAUUACUAUAAUGUAUCCUCGAGUGGUCUCGCUUUUCUGUAUGACGACGAGGCAUCCUUGAUAUGGAAAGGCAUAAUGUCCAAAUACAAAAGUACUUUGGGGCUUGUAAAGAGUAUUCAUCUAUCAAGUAACCGAUUAACGGGGGAGAUUCCUAGUGAAAUCACUGAUCUUGUGGGGUUAGUUUUUUUAAACCUGUCAAGAAACAACUUAACAGGUCAAAUAACUCCAAAAAUCGGGAAGUUGCAAUCUUUAGAUUUGCUUGAUUUGUCAAACAACCAAAUACAUGGUACAAUUCCAACAAGUCUUUUCGGAAUAUCUGGCCUUGGUAAGUUGGACUUGUCCAACAACCACCUGUCUGGAAAAAUUCCCAUGGGGUCUCAGCUUCAAACCUAUGAGCCCUCUGUUUUUGCGGGAAAUCCUCUCCUUUGUGGAAUUCCACUUCAGACGUGUUUUCCUGAGGAAACAACGCCGGCAGAGCAACCAGUGGUUAAGAAUCAAGAUGAAGAUAAUGACGGGUUUAUAACAACUGGAUUUUACGUGAGUUUGGGGCUUGGAUUUGUCGUUGGAUUCUGGGGAGUUUGUGGGAGUUUGAUAUUGACAGGUCAUGGAGAUACACAUACUUCAAGCUCUUGAAUGGUUUAAAUGAUUGGCUUUAUGUCAAGGUGGCAUUGCUCAAGCAACGAAGAAUGCUCGAUGAAUAAGCUGUAAGUAUACUGUCGCAUAAUGAAUAAUACUGCAAUUAACAUACAUGUCCUCCUCUCUUUUUAAACUCCCGGCUAACGGCUAACGCCUGUAAUUUACUUGAAUUUUUGUAGCUCGUCCAUCGGCUUCUUUGGUACGACAUGCUAACCCUUUCGGCUUUCGGUUUGAGAAGGAGCCUGAAGAAGAAGAAUGCAAUAACUUUUAAGUUGUGGUGGAAUUUCUCCAAAUUCAUGAGUGGGAAAUGUAUUUGGUUCAUUGUCGAGUUGUAAUUUUACACAAGUAUUUAUGGUUUUAGUUUCAAUUUUUCCCAAUUUGUUAUGAAUUAAUGGAUGAAUAGACUGCGUUCCAAAUUGAAAGCCAGGAUUGAAGAGCUGUGUGCAAGAGACUAAAAAGAGUGGCACUAAACGAAGACCAAAAAGAGUGCCACUAAACAAUGGACAUGAAUUAAAAUUUCAAAACUACAUUGAACUUGUUAAACAAAUUCAAAAAUAAGUGAGACGACCAGUUUGUGUAAUCUCAUACAAGCUUGUGAUAAACGAACAAGUUUGGCUCAUGAAAACAAAGGCAAAAUUAUUUUUUUUUUUAUUUAUUUGUUGCCCUAACAUACCAAACAGUAGCCCCCAAAAUCCGACUCCAGCUAAUUACCCCAACAAAAUAAGAAGAUUAAAUUAUGAAGAAAGGAAAAAAUAAUUAUGCUUGGGUCCAAAUAAAUGAGAAUUGGAACUCUUGGUAGCCUGUUAGCAUCUGGUCAAAAUUGUUCCAGCCUAUGGCUGAUAAGAGUUUUGUUCGAGCCGUUUCCACUCUGGAUGUACUCCUGUAUGCACGAGAGGUAAGAUGAGUAAAAGGGAAUGUAAUGCUGAAUAAGUGCUCUAGUUUAUUGUUUGUGGCUUGUUCUGAUCCUUCAGUAGAACGAUGCAGAAGCAGAUAAAAUAGUGUAUUCGAAUAUUGAUCAAACAUUCAGGAUUGGUACAAUACUAGUGGAAUUAAGCUUGUCUGAGUGAGGGAAUAUCACUAAUCAAAUAGCUAAUGCACAGCUAACUUGACUGAAAAGGGAAGGGAGGAAAUAACGAUAUCCAUAUCAAUUCCCCUCACUUGGUAAAAUAAGAACGUGACAGAAACAGAACAGCCAAUUAUGAAUAACCAGGAAUACGAAAAGAAAUUCUAAUGCAUAAUAUCAAUCAGCCCAUGAAAGAAAAAAAAAAGAGAUUUUGGAAAACCACAUGUAGGAGACAGGGAAACAGAUUAUACUUUCCAACUUUCGCUCCACAACUAUAUGCUUUUACGGAUAUCAUAUAGUAAAGAGGAAUGUUGAAAAACAAUUUCUUUUCGGGUUGCAUAGGUAAGUUUCACAGACCCACCGGGAUUAGCAUUCGCCCUCCACCCUUGGUCUUAAGGAAAAUGGCAUGUCAUUAGGUUCAAAAGCUAGUUGAAAGGAGAAACAUGUAAAGCAUUUGUAACCUUACCAAAAGAAACGAAAAUACCUUAGCACAGAUUUACUUAUGUGACAAGAGAUUAUGUAUCAGGAAAAAAACAAUGGUAGAAGCUUUCGGAAGGAAACAAAAAAGUAAGAAGAAAGAGAUCAUACAAGCAUAUCUUCUGAAAGAACUGUUUCCAUUAAUGGAAAAUGGUACAGGCCUCCUUUCCUGACCCAAAGAUAGGAUCUCUUGCAUCCUUUCAGGCCAGUCUGAAUUUAACCUCCGAGCAAAAUCUUCAACCUCCCUGAAUAACGAUUUAAGAAAAUAUGUAACAUUAGCAAGAACAAGUUUUGUCCCUAUAAAUUGCGUAUUUACAUGCAGAACCAUGGUGGAGGAUGCAACUUGAAAUUCCAGUUACAUCCUUAUCAGAAAAUAAAAUAAUACCGACGAGAGAAAAAGACUUGCAGAACCAGAAGAGUGGGCGGCCGGAACCAUGUUUCACAACAGAUGCUUAAUGGUGAUGACCAGAAUGAGAGCUAUUUUUCUUUAUAAACAUAAACAAAUAUUUAUUUAAUAUGUCCAAACAACUAUUGCACACAGAAAACUAAAAACCAACAUCUCUCAAAGCCACCAUAAAGAGCUAGCAAAGGCAAAACAAUAUCCCCAAUGUUUACUCAUUUUUAUCACAGACCAACUUUUUUAAGCAACCUUUUUCAUCUUCUUAGCUGGGUGAGGAGUGGAUUUGAACAUGGGACAGUUUAAAAAAGAAGUGGAGAAAUACCACUACAUUAAUAGCUAUUUAGUUUUUAAGCAAACUCUGCAACAUUGAAAACAAAUGACACUUUGAAAUUCUUUUGCAGGUAUCAAAUUUCAUCUUCUAAUUGCAUAUCUUCAAUUUCAUAAAAAUAAAAUAAAAAAUAAAACAAAAAUAAAGCAACGAAGUUGCACCAUAAUGAGAUCCACCAUUCUGUUUCCUUAAGCUUUCCAUAACUAAAGUCAUCAUCGACAAAGUUAUUACCACCGAGUUCAAUUCAGUACUUUUUCUUCCACAUGUUGCUCAACGUGAUAUAUAUAUUUUUUUUCAUCCACUAAAAUUAAAAAAGAUAAUAUUAUAUUGCAAACCGUGUAAUAACCCAAAAUAGUUGCAGACAAACCUAUCAAUUUUUUCCUUCAAUGCCGGAUCAAUCUCAUCGUCAAUAUCACCAUCAUCAAACCCAAUCAUAUCAUCCACCCUAUCAUCCUUUAGAUCUUGUAGCUUUAAUGUCAAACUAGAACUAGGCGUAAAUUUGUUGAGUUGAUCACUGGGGCAAGCAAAGUUAAGAUUGCUUGACACCUAAAACAUUUGGGCGAAAAGAAAAAUGAAGAAAAAUUAGCUACCCAACAACUCAAGCGGAAAUGUACAAGUUCAAGACCGAAUUAGUGAUUCAAACCUCAUGGAGCUCAUUGGCCUCAUAUAGACACGUGCUUUUCUGCUGAUCUUUUCUCCUGCGAUUCUUCUUUUUGUUCUUGGAAGUUUUAAUCCCUUUGGAAUCUGUGACACAUAAUUUCCUUACCUCCAAUGAGGCCUUCAAAAGGAAAUAAAGUAAAAAUAGUCGACUAAGACACUACACUUCAAAUCCCAUUUAAGGGAAUCUUAAGUACUUCCAAGUACAGUAUAAUGUGGGCUAAUGCAAUCCUGAAAAACAUUAGGAUCAAGUGUGCAUUGUGCAAUUUGCUCGUUGGAACUACAACCUACUCAAUGAUAAAUCCAAUUUCUCAAUUAACAAUAACUAUGCAGUCAAGGAAUAAGAGAGCAAUUACUCAGGUAUACCUCCAAUUUCUCCAUUAAUGAAUGACAAGAGUUCAUCAACUGAACGAUCAUCGUUUUGCUCUUCUUCGAGCUCGGCAUUCUGAAAAGUAUGGAAGGUUCAAUAAUGACUACUGUUGAUGCACAAAAUCAGCGAAGACUUUGGUACAACAGAAAGUGUCAGGUUUUGUGACCUUCGCUUGGUUGCUUCGGUCACUAGUGAGGAUAAGUACGUAAAUGAAUAGAGACAGAGAAACAAACACAGGAUGUACGUGGUUCACCCAGAUUGGCUACGUCCACGGAGUAGAGGAGUUCUUAUUAGUAGUGAAGGGCUUACACAAGUACAAAGGAUCAAGCUCUCAAUUUAGUGAGUUCUUGUGAAUGAUUUAACACAAAAUGGCAUUAGGCAAUAUUGUGGGGGAAUGACCCCUAUUUAUAGAAAAACUUGUAGCUUUGUCACAUUGACAUGUGUCAUGUUAUGAUUGGUUCUUGAUGUUGACACGUGCUGCGCUCUGAUUGGCUUCUAAUCUUGACACGUGUCGAGUAGUGAUUGGCCUCCUGGUCGGAGGGGAACUCUUCUGGGUCCUUGACAGUAUAGCGUUGGCCGGUGCUCGGUAGUUUCGGGAUUGGUCAAGUAUGGUACAAACAGUGCUCCCCUAAGUUCCCGAGUGAGGGAAACUCCUCGGUUGGGGACUUGCAAGAUCCAAUCCCUUGAGUAAUCACGAAACUUCUAAGUACCGAAGUGUGGUCUGAUCUUCAUCUGCCCUUCUCUGGAAGUACCUUUCCUCCAUCCGGGAAUGGUGUACUUUAGCUGAUGUUGACGCACAAGGUAAUGUAUCAAUUUCACUUGAAGCUUAGUUGUAGUUUCGGGCUUAGUCAAGUGUGAUACAAACCCUAUAGUAGGAGUCCCCCAAGUCGCCGAGCUAGGAGAUCUGCCGAAAGAGGUGACAGACAAGGUAAGCAGUCAAACUUCCAAGUAAGCAACCCAGGAUCAGAGGUUUGACGUCGGCUUCCGGUUGAUUGUUCUCAUUCUCCUUGUCUCUCAUUCAACUGCCAGGAUAAGGAGAAGCAAAUGGAUAAGAGAUGAUAUGAGAUACUUUUGCUUUUGAAGAAGUAACUUUCCACAGGCUUAUUCUUGAACUGUGCUGGAGGGUUUUCUGGUGCCCUUCAGAGUAUAAGGCCGACUCAAAAAUUUGAGGGUCAAAACAAGUCCAUCAAAUCUAGAGUACGUUCGACCUUGAUGAUAUGGGAUACUUUUUGCUGUUGACGGAAUAAUGAAUGUGGUAUGGAAAGGUGUCGUGCUGUAGUGAUCUGUUUCAGCUCACCGUUGAACCUUCUGCUUCAAUCUUUUGCAUGGCAGAAGUGGUGUGCAACCUUUGCAUUUAAAUGGUCCUUCAGAACAUUCCUUCAUAGUGACUCAUCCACGCUUGGCAGCUUCAGUGUAAAGAGCCAAUAUCUGAUCAACUGUCAUGAGGUAUUUGCCGGUGGAAUUCGUGACCUUGACAGCAGUUGAGGAUGAGUACUCGAGAGCAAUGCUAAGUAAGCAACCAGGCAAAGGCUCCAGGCAGUCAGUUCCAAAUUGGAGGUUUGAUUUCAGGUUCCGACUGACUGCUCUCUUUCUCCUUGUCCUGCAGGUGUGGACAAGGACAAAGACAAAGACAGGGAGAAAGCAUGAUAUGGGAUACUCUUGCUUUCGACCCUGAUGAUAUGAGAUACUCUUGUUCUUGGUGUGGCUUAUUUGCUGAGGUAUUAUCGGGGGGAAAAUAAAGCUGAGUAUUUCGAGAGGUUAUGUUGAGGGUGCCUUUUCGAAUGCGAGAAAGGGUUGAGCAUUUUUGCAGGUUUGCCUGUCCGUUGAGGAGGGAGGUCAAUGUAUAUAGGGAUUUCCCAAUAACAAGUAGUAAUGCUAUUCCUUUACCCUUCUUGGUCACAGCAAUGUAGUGGGAGCUGCCAGCUUCACGUGUUUUAAUUUUGUCAGAGCACUUUGAAAAAGUGGUAUGUGGUAUCUGGAAAGCUGAUAUUACGUGUGGAGAUUACAGACAAGCUUUAUCUAAGGAAAUCUGGCUCUCGAAGUUCUGAGAGUUGUGCCUCUUCGGUUUUCGAACAAGCAAUCCCGUCGAGGAUCUGACUCUCGAGAUUCGGAAAGCGGUGCUACUCCGGUUUUUGAGAAAGUAAUUAUGUUGGGAGUCUUUUCUCGAAUGUGAGUAAAGGUUGGUCGUUCUUGCCAACCUGUCUUGCCACAAAACACGGAGGUCGACACACAUAGGGACUUUCCAGUUGUCAAGCAGUGGUGCUGUUCCUUUACCCUUAUGGGUAAUAGUAGGGUAGCUGGCAACUUCGAAAUUCUCGUGCCUAAACUUUGUCAGAGAUCUUUGACAAAGUUAUAUGUGGUACCCGAGGAGUUGAUGGUGCAUAUGGAGAGCGGUGAUUGAACAGUAAGAUUCACGUGCUUUCUACUUCACCAGAAAUCUUCGACAGAUUGCCCGUAAUUUCCGCAAAGCUGAUUGUGCAUGUGACAGGUGCUGACGAGGCUGCAAAAGCAGGUGCUUCUUCGAUUUCUGAGAUCGGCCCUCGUGGUCUCUGAGCAGCCCAGCUUUUGAGAAAGCAUUCGCCUCUUCGAUUUCUGAGAUCGGCCCUCGUGGUCUCUGAGCAGCCCAGCUUUUGAGAAAGCAAACGCCUCUUCGAUUUCUGAAGCUCCGUCGAGUGCAGAUUUUUAUAGAGGCUGGCAUUAAGUUCCACAGCACACUUGAAUCUCUACCAGUAGAAGCUCAUUUCUUGCACUUCUAAGAUCUUGAUUUGUCUGACCUCUUCCUUCUUCAACACAUUUGAAAAUGUCUGGACCCUCCGACCGUCGUUUUGACUUGAACCUUGGAGAAGAGACAGCCACGCCUUCUCCAGACAACAUAUGGCGCCCAUCCUUCAUAUCCCCUACUGGUCCUCUUACCGUUGGGGAUUCUGUGAUGAAGAAUGAUAUGACCGCUGCAGUGGUGGCCAGGAACCUUCUCACUCCCAAAGAUAACAGACUACUUUCCAAACGGUCUGAUGAGUUGGCUGUUAAGGACUCUCUGGCUCUUAGUGUUCAGUGUGCAGGUUCUGUGUCUAAUAUGGCCCAACGCCUAUUUGCUAGAACCCGCCAAGUUGAAUCAUUGGCUGCUGAAGUGAUGAGUCUCAAACAGGAGAUUAGAGGGCUCAAGCAUGAGAAUAAGCAGUUGCACCGGCUCGCCCAUGACUAUGCUACAAACAUGAAGAGGAAGCUUGACCAGAUGAAGGAAUCUGAUGGUAAGGUUUUACUUGAUCAUCAGCGGUUUGUGGGUUUGUUCCAAAGGCAUUUAUUGCCUUCGUCCUCUGGGGCUGUACCUGGUAAUGAAGCUUCAAAUGAUGAACCUCCAAUGCCUCCUCCUUCUGGGGUUUUGUCAAGUACUGAGGCUCCGGAUAACCACCCUCCGGUGCUUUCUCUUUCUGGGGCUCUACCGACUGCUGAGACUUCCCCUAAGCAACCUUUGUGAAGGCUCCCUUUUGUUUGUUUAUUUUGACUCAUGUAUAUGUACAUAUUUGUGGCUUAUCGAAAAUAUUAAUAAAUAAGCUUUGCUUCAUUUCAACAUAUUGUGUUAAAUACACCAAAGCCUUCUUCAUAAAGUUCUUUGAAUUUUUGCUUUUGUUGAAACCUGUAUUGUUGAAGCUUUGUGAGUGAAGCAUGUAGUUUGAGGUAGUGUUCCCUUAAUUUCCCGAGUGAGGAAAACUUCUCGGUUGGAGACUUGAAAAAUCCAAGUCACUGAGUAGUCACGAACUUUUGAGUACCAAGGCGUAGUAGCAUAUGGUGGGAGUCCCCCAAGUCUCUAGUCGAGGGAGUUGACGAAUGAGGUGUCUUGCUAAUAGUCCAUGUCGUAAGUACCAAAACUUCAUUCUUUUGUUUUCUAAGUGGUAGCCCCGGACUUUUUCUUCAUAGAUUUUGUUUAUGAAGGUUGCUAGGCCCGAAUAAGUGGAAUUGCAGAAGGUGUAACCGUUGGUGCAUUAACAUCAUAAUGGAAGCAUCACAACAAUGAUGGAAGCAUCACAAUGAUGAAAGCAUCAUAAUGAUGAAAACACCAUAAUGAUGAAAACAUCAUAAUGAUGUUUCUUUGGUGGAAUUGUUUUUUCAUUUCCCCUAACAACCGGAAUUGUUUUUCAACAUAACACCAUCAUCUGUAGGUCGAAUCACAAAGUUGUCUUCAUGAAAGUUGUUCGUUAAUUCCUUAACUACAACAUAUCCAAAUUGGAGAGCCAUCGGAGCAGUACAACUCCAGAAAUCCAGGUAUGAUGAGUGACUGUUUAUCAUUUGUCUGUCAACCCGUCAGAUUUGUUGUGAGCUUUGAAACUCUAUUUUCUCUUGCUCAGAUCAGCAUGCUUUCUUCAUUGAAGUUGUUCCUCAGCUUGUGAACUACAACAUAUCCAAAUUUGAGAUCCCUCGGAGCUGUAUAACUCAAGAAACUCAGGUAUGAUGAAUGACUGGUUAUUAUUUUUCUGUCAACCCGUCAGAUUUGUUGUGAGCUUCGAAACUCCAUUUUCUCUUGUUCAGAUCGGUAUGCUUUCUUCAUUGAAGUUGUUCCUCAGCUUGUGAACUACAACAUAUCCAAAUUUGAGAUCCCUCGGAGCUGUAUAACUCAAGAAAUCAGGUAUGAUGAAUGACUGGUUAUUAUUUGUCUGUCAACCCGUCAGAUUUGUUGUGAGCUUCGAAACUCCAUUUUCUCUUGUUCAGAUCGGUAUGCUUUCUUCAUUGAAGUUGUUCCUCAUCGACUCUUUCAUAACAUAUCAAAAAUUCAGGAUGAACUAACGGUUAAAUAUUUCCAGAUCUUCGAAACAUCACAACAGCUUCGAAAUCUGCAAGAAGCCGACUAUCAUGUUUGGAGCUUCAACACUUUAAUUUCCGUCGCUCAAACAGAAAUGGUUCCUUCUUGAAAGUUGUUCAUAUGCUCAAGAACUAUAGGGUGUCCAAAAUUCAGCUCCAUUGGAGAAGAGCAGAGGUUGCAGAAAUUUGAUAGAUGAAAGGAGGCGGAAGAGGGAGAGAGAGAAAAAAAGUCUCUUGGGUUGGAUUUCUAUUUUGGGGCAGAUUCCAAUUUUUGUAGCACCUUCAUUAUUGAUGAAUUGCUUGUACUUUUGUCCAUUAUGAAAUUUUGGGACUUUGGCUUGUUGUUGGAUCUAUUAUAAUAUGUUUGGGAACAUAUAUAAGUGAAUAAAUAAGAAGGAAAAUUUUGGGCCCUUGUGGGUGUAAAACAAAAAAUGUUUAUGUUUACCCAAGUGUUUUUUGUACAAGUUCAAGGGCAUCUUGGGUUUUGUGAACAAAAUUUGUUUAUUUGGAGCAAGGUUUUGUGUUGUUGAAGCUUUGUAAGCUUUGUGUGAAGCUUUGGAGGUGAAGCUUUUCGGGUGAAGCUUGUUGGGUGAAGCUUUUUAGGUUUUGAAAGCUUUGUUGGGUGAAGCUUUUUAGGUGAAGCUUUUCGGUGUGUGAAGCUUUUUUGGGUGAAAGCUUUUUAGGUGAAGCUUUUCGGGUGAAGCUUUUUGGGUGAAGCUUUUUAGGUGAAGCUUUUUUGUGGUUGAAGCUUUUUAGGUGAAGCUUUGAUGGUGAAGCUUUUUGGGUGAAGCUUUUUAGGUGAAGCUUUGUGGGUGAAGCUUUGGAGGUGAAGCUUUUCGGGUGAAGCUUUUUGGAUGAAGCUGUUUUUUUUUUUUUUUUUUUUUUUUUUUUUUUUUUUUGGCGCUUGACACGGUCUUCAUUUGCUUGUUUUGUAGUGACUUGCUUUAUUGAGAAGGGUUCCGGCAUUGCCAAAAUGGCCUUUCAUUACAUAGGAUGCCGAACGGCUAUAGCUCAACACUUGUACAUCGUGAGUCUAUUUGUAGUAGUACUUCAAGUGAUCAGCGUUCCAUGGAUGGCCAAGGGUCUUGCCAUCGGAGCUUCUAAGUGUGUAAGAGCCAGGGCGACUGAUGCCAAUGACUUCAUACGGUCCAUCCCAGUUUGGACUAAGUGUGCCUUCACUCGGGACUCUGUCGCAGAGUAAUCUUUUCUUUAAGACCCAGUCUCCUAUUUUGAAAGAACGAGGCUUGACCCUAGAGUCAUAAUAGUUGGAGAUGCGCUGCUUGUAGGCGACAUUCCUCAAGUGAGCUUGGUUUCUGUGUUCCUCGACUAAAUCCAAGUUGAGGGUGAGUUGUUUGUCAUUUUCACUUUGAAUGUAGUUCUGGACUCGGAAUGUUGCUUGCUCGAGCUCAACAGGGACAACCGCCUCUGUGCCAAAGGCAAGUGAGAAUGGAGUUUCUCCUGUUGAAGUCCGAUAUGAAGUGCGAUAUGACCAAAGAACUUGGGGUACAAAUUCUGGCCAACAGCCUUUAGCUUUGUCCAAGCUGGUUUUCAAAGUGCGCUUGAUUAUUUUGUUGAUGGCCUCAACUUGUCCAUUAGACUGGGGAUGAGCUGGAGAGGCAAAGCAUAAGUUGAUGUUGAACUUAGAGCAGAACAACCUGAACUUCUUGUUGUCAAACUGUCGCCCAUUGUCAGUGACUAUCGCAUUGGGAAUGCCGAAUCUACAAAGGAUGUUCUUCCACACGAAGUCUUCUAUCUUUGCCUCAGUAAUGGUUGCCAAGGGUUCUACUUCGGCCCACUUUGUGAAGUAGUCCACUGCAACGACUGCGUAACAGACUUUGCCCUUCCCUGCCGGCAUUGGGCCGAUCAAAUCAAGUCCCCACUGGGCGAAGGGCCAAGGGCUGAUCAUAGGAGUAAGAGGCUCUGGAGGGGAAUGAGGAAUAGCCGCAUAUCGUUGACAUUUGUCACAUGAGCGGGAUACUUUGAUGGCAUCCUGGUGGAGUGUUGGCCAGUAAUAUCCUUGGCGAAAAGUCUUGUGUGCUAGGGACCGAGAUCCAGCAUGAUCUCCACAGACUCCCUCAUGUAUUUCCCGAAGGACGAUUUCCGCCUCGGCAGGCGUAAGACACCUUAAGUAUGGCAGGCUAAAACCUCGCUUAUAGAGUUGAUCAUUGAUGAUCAGGUAGCGGGUAGACUUGUAUCGAAUUUGCUUAGCCUGGACUUUAUCAUUUGGGAGGGUGCCAUGAGCAAGGAAAUUAUAGAUCGGGGUGAUCCAACUAUCCCCCUGUUGUAAGUUGCAUACUUCUGCGGCCAUGGUGCUUGGUGUUGCCAACAGUUCGACAUGAAUUUUUCUUCCAAUCUUGUCUUCCACAGCUGAGGCGAGGCGAGCCAGGGCGUCUGCAUGACUGUUUGCCGCUCGAGGAACUUGGGUGAUCUGGUAGUGGAAGUGCUUGAGCAAAAGUUGUGUUUGCGCAAGAUAUGCUGCCAUGGAGCUGUCCUUAGCAUCAAAGUUGUUGGUAACCUGGUUGACCACUAAUUGGGAGUCACUGAAAAUAUCAAUUUGUUUAACCCCGAGGUGUUUGGCCAAACGUAAUCCUGCUAGAAGGGCUUCAUACUCGGCCUCAUUGUUUGAUGCCUUGAAUUUGAAACGAAGAGCAUACUCCAUUGCUACUUUGUCGGGCGUAGUCAAGACUAGUCCCGCUCCACAGCCCUGUUGGUUGGAUGAGCCAUCAACAUACAGACUCCAUGCUGAGGUCGUUGAUUCUACCUUCUGAGCUUCCGAUGGUAAUGAAGCUACUGCUUCAGGUGUAGAAGCAAUGUCAACAGGAUAUGUGAAGUCGGCGAAUGAAAUCUGCUACUGCUUGGCCCUUCUCAGCUGGCUUUGGUUGGUAGGAGAUGUCAAACUCACCCAACGCUAUUGCCCAUUUGAUCAUUCGCCCUGAAGUGUCAGGACUUUGGAGUAUCUGUCGAAGAGGAUAAUUGGUAAGCACGAUGAUGGAGUGCGCUUGGAAGUAAGGGCGGAGUUUUCGAGCAGACAUGACCAAUGCCAGAGCCAAUUUCUCAAUGUUAGAGUACCGUGUCUCCGCAUCUUGUAAGGCUUUGCUAGCGUAGUAGACAGGUCGCUCAAUAUUCCCAUCCUUUCGAAUGAGAACGGAACUUACGGCUGAAGCUGAUACCGAUAGGUAGAUAAUGAGAAUGUCUCCUACCUCGGGCUUGGAGAGUAGAGGGGCUUUACUCAUGUACUCCUUGAGGUUUUUGAAUGCCUCGGCACAUUCAUCAGUCCAUGUAAUGUACUUCCUACUUCCCUUAAGUGCUUUAAAAAAAGGGAGCACAUUUGUCUGUGGCCUUAGAAAUGAACCUGGUUAAGGCUGCCACCUUGCCAGUAAGGCUCUGGAUGUCCUUUGAAGUUACCGGUUCCUUCAUGUCGAGGAUUGCUUUGAUCUUCUCGGGAUUAGCUUCAAUGCCUCGUUGGCUAAUCAUGAAACCUAAGAAUUUGCCAGAGCCUACGCCGAAGGCACAUUUGUUGGGGUUUAACCUCAUUCGAUACCUCUUCAAAAUAGUGAAAGUUUCAGAUAGGUUGGUGAUGUGUUGGUCAGCAUGUUUGCUCUUGACUAACAUAUCAUCAACGUAAACUUCCAUGCUCUUCCCAAUCUGCUCGGCGAACAUUGAGUUGACUAGUCUCUGAUAAGUCGCUCCUGCAUUCUUUAGGCCGAAAGGCAUGACUUUAUAGCAGUAUAGUCCUCUGUCGGUAGUGAAGGCUGUGUGUUCUUGAUCCGAAGGGUUCAUGAGGAUUUGGUUGUAUCCUGAGUAAGCAUCCAUGAAGCUCAGGAGUUCACACCCGGCCGUAGAGUCUAUAAGUCUGUCAAUAAGAGGAAGAGGGAAGCUAUCUUUCGGACACCCUUUGUUUAGGUCGGUGUAGUCAACACACAUUCUCCCACAAGACCUUUUGAAGCAAAAGACUUUCUUUGGUCGGAUUUUUCUUAACAAGGACCACAUUUGCUACCCAUGUCGGGUAAUUGACUUCGCGGACAAAGCCUAUGCCUUUGAGUUUUUCAACUUCUGCUUUCAUUGCCUCGUAUCGUUCAGCGUCAUAAGAUCUUCGCUUCUGUCUCACCGGCUUGAUCUUGGGGUCAAUACUCAAACGAUGACAGAUGACAUCGGGAGAGAUGCCUGGCAUGUCCUCGUAUGACCAGGCGAAGACUUCAGUGUUCUCUUUCAAAAAAGAUAUCAAUGCUAACCGAAGGGGUGGUGACAAUGUGGUGCCAAUCUUCACCAUGCGAUCUGGAUAAUCUCUUGAGAUAGGUACCUUCUCCAACUCUUCAGCAGGUUGGGCUUGCUGGGUGAAAGAGAGUCAUCUCGAGGAUCAUCGGGUUGAUUGUUGCUAUCAGGAAGAUCCAAGUUCGCUUCAUCUAGGCUGGUCUUUGUGACUUGGUCAUGUACAGACAGGGUUUCCUUGGGUCCGGGCAAGUGUUGUUGCUUAACUGAAGUGUUGUAACAUGAUCGUGCACUAAGCUGAUCUCCUCUGAUGUAGCCGUUGCCAUGGGGGGUUGGAAAUUUCAUCAACAGCAUAUGCGUGGAUACCAUAGCCUUGAGAUCAUUGAUGCCUGUGCGCCCAAAGAUGACAUUGUAUGCCGUUGGGCAGUCAACCACUAGGAAGUUAGUGGUAAUGGUAGCCGUGUAAGGGCCUGUACCAAUAGUAAAGGGUAAAUGUAUGCUCCCUAAGGGUUGCACGAUAUCACCGGAGAAGCUUAUCAGAGGAGAAAUCGAGCGAUCGAGCAAGUGUUCAGCUACACUGAGUGCCCUGAAAGCUUCGGCAAACAUGAUAUUGACCGAAGCCCCUGUGUCUACGAGGAUUCGUCGAACAUCAAAGUUGGCUAUGUGAGCCUCCACGAUCAAUGGGUCGUUAUGAGGGUAGAUGAUGCCUCUUUCUUCCUCAGGGUAGAAACAUAUCGGAUCCCAGUUAGGCUUUUGAUACUUCCCUCCCCUGAUGUCUUCCACGUGAAACACUUGGUGACCAGGCCUCAGAAUUCGUUCACUGUUUUUUCAUGGCCCUAUUGGAAGAUUCAGAUAUGGGUGUGCCGCCGCUUAUGGAAUAUAUGACAUUCACCUGGCGUUGGUUACGGUUAUCCCUUUGAGGGUGAAGGAAGGAAUUGAUCAAUUUUUCCUUCUCGUGCCAAAGCUUCAAUACGAUCACGGAGGAUGAUACAUUUCUCGCUAUCAUGGCCGUUAUGCUCAUGGUAGCAACAAAACAUGCCCGCGUUAUUCGGGGGCGUGUAAUCUGGGUGCCUCGGCUUUGGCUUUGGUAUCAGGUGAGCUAUGCUGGGGUAAAUGGCCGCGCAUGUGGCAUUCAAGGGCGUGUAUGUCUCAUACCUUGGGGUAGGGGGUAUCUUGACGCGGGUUUGACCCACUGCAUUGACUGCCUGGGGGCGAGCGUUAUUGUGGCGAUACCCUUGGUUAUCGGGAUAGUGUCCCUUACUCUUUUUACUGAAAUGGAGAGUGGUGAGGAUGGAAAUCCUUCCUCUUGCCUUGAAAUUGAUAUGUCUGUUGAUUCGGCGAAGCAUUAUGCAAGGCAUGGGGAGGUGCCACUGCUGUUUGGAAAGUCGAGGUCUUCUCAUUUAGGUGAGUCUGGCUUCCACCUCCCACUUGUUGAUAAAGGAUGGUUGUAGGGGGUUUCUCCUGAUAUGUCUUUGCCUCGGCGGAGGCAUGGUUAUAAGCCUGCGCCAUCACCUCAGAGUAAGUCUUCCAAGUAUUGGCAUUGAUCAUGUAUUUAAAGAAACAAUCACGUAGGCCUGCCGUGAAGGCUUUGAGGGCAGUCUUGUCGUCUGCCUCGGCACACCGGGAGUAUUCAUGGCUGAAGCGGCCAGCAUACAUACGUAAUGACUCGUCUGGCUUCUGGCGGAUAGUGUACAGGUCAUCUGCAGAGUGCAAGCGAUCGGUUUGGAAAAUGUGUUGGGAAACAAAUAGUUUCCUCAAUUCCUCAAAUGAGUCUACCGUCUCAGGUGUAAGACGACAAUACCAAUUUAGAGCUCCGCCAGAGAGGGUGGAGGGGAAGAGAAGACAUCGCUCUUCGUCGGUGUGCAUCCGGUAUGCCAUGGUGGACUCAAAGAGGUUAAGGUGCUCAAUCGGGUCCUCUUUUCCAGUAUAAAGUUGCAAGCCAAGCUUUUGCUUUGUCUUUGCUUGAAGGGGGGUGUUGAGGAUCCUCCUUGUAAGAGGGCCAGGCCUGGGUUGGUUCCAGUCAGGUAUUUCAGCCUGACGUUCAGCCUUCAACUUGUUUACUUCCUCAAGAAGUUGUAGGACAAGGGGGUCCUGAGCGGAGUUAUGUGCCACUGGAGCUUUCUUUCGUAAAUCUCCAUCUCCUCUUGGAAUUAGGAAGGUUUGAUCAAGGGCAUGUGAUUUUUUCCCUGGACUCGUUGUACUGGCUUCCAGGGUAUGUCUGUCGGAACACCUCUGAGUCCCCUGUACCCUCAUGUCUCUCUAGGACUUGUUGCCCCUUCCCCAAAUUGGUGGCCGGCUCGGGCCGUGGCAGGGGACCGAGUCUCUCAGAAAUCCUUGGGUCAUUGAUCUUUGAGCUUAUAUGGAUGGAAUUCUCUCGACGUUGCUUCAGGAAAUCCCGACAAUCGCGAAAGACGGCUUUCGAUCCUUCUGCCCCUUCAGCAAAGAGGUGUCUCCCUCCACUUCUCAUGGUUCGGGUCGAAGCAACUGGGUUAAGAGAAGCCUCAUGUUGAUUAUCAAGUCGAGGGGUAAUCUGUUCCCUAUCAGGGAUAUCUAUGUCGAAUGCAUGUGACCCUCCAUGUUGGAGGGCACCCAGUUGAUGGUUGACUUCCACGGGGGCAACAAGCUCGCGUGUCUGAGCUUGCCUAGCUUCGUGGAGUGUCUCGAAGAGCUUCUCAUAUUGCUCCUGGAGGACCUCAUUCCUCAUUGCUAUCUUGUUGUUCUGAGCUUCCAACUCAUCGACUUUAGCUUGAAGAAGAACUCGUUUUCCUUCCUUCUUUCGUUGUUUCGCACUAUGUGCAAGGGGGGUGUCAUUCUGUGUGCUGUGGCUUCCUUCGCUUCCCAUGUUGGAGAGGGAUGCCUGAUCAAAAGAAAGUGUACGAAUGAUAGAAACCAGCUUGACACAGCUGAAGAGAGUAGGAAUAAGUGUCGUUUCCCACAGACGGCGCCAAAUGUUGAUGCACAAAAUCAGCGAAGACUUUGGUACAACAGAAAGUGUCAGGUUUUGUGACCUUCGCUUGGUUGCUUCGGUCACUAGUGAGGAUAAGUACGUAAAUGAAUAGAGACAGAGAAGCAAACACAGGAUGUACGUGGUUCACCCAGAUUGGCUACGUCCACGGAGUAGAGGAGUUCUUAUUAGUAGUGAAGGGCUUACACAAGUACAAAGGAUCAAGCUCUCAAUUUAGUGAGUUCUUGUGAAUGAUUUAACACAAAAUGGCAUUAGGCAAUAUUGUGGGGGAAUGACCCCUAUUUAUAGAAAAACUUGUAGCUUUGUCACAUUGACAUGUGUCAUGUUAUGAUUGGUUCUUGAUGUCGACACGUGCUGCGCUCUGAUUGGCUUCUAAUCUUGACACGUGUCGAGUAGUGAUUGGCCUCCUGGUCGGAGGGGAACUCUUCUGGGUCCUUGACAGUAUAGCGUUGGCCGGUGCUCGGUAGUUUCGGGAUUGGUCAAGUAUGGUACAAACUACAAAAAAGAUUUUUAGCUGAAAGAGAAACUUUUGAUCGUUUGAAUUCAGAUUCAAUCAACUACUCAUUUCUCUUCUAGUUCCCCUUUCUGCUUAUAUUAAAGCGAAGCGGAUGUCGUUGAUGUCAAACCAUUUCCUGGAUAUUUUUGUGGUGUUAAAAACAACAAAGAAACACCAAGUUUUUGCUAAGCAUACACAGAUAUCUCAAGCAUCGGAGACCUCUGUAAGAUCAUCAGGGAGAUGAAAUAUUUCACGUAUCUCCUCAGGUGUUUUCCCUUCAAUUAUUCGUGCAAGAGCAUGACUAGUAAGAUCCACCAAUGGUUUUAAUUGGAGGCUGUCAGCAGCUGAAGUCAACUCACAGAGCAACUUGGUGUCCAUUCGGAUGUAUUUUUCAUCAAAAGCCUUGCAUUCCUACAUAAACGAGUGGUGCCGAGUCAUAUAAGCGUGCCGAGUUUACACCAGCAUCAGAGUAAACAUUUAAUCCAGUGUGCAGGUGGAGAUUAAUGUCCUCAAUAGCUCAAAUUUAUGCAAAACAGACAGAGGGCAUAGACUCAGAAAGAAGGAAAACAGAAUGACAUUCCAAAAACAUGUAGAACCUUGUUCGAGCGACCUGGUACUUGAUGAAACCGGCAGUAAUCAAGAAUUAAGCUCAACAUUGCAGUACUGACUCUUUCAGGAAGAGAUAUUGCAUGGUUCUUGGAAGCUCCCAUCCCUUUCUGUAUAUUUUCUUUGCAUAUCAUAGGGCAAUACAUGGCAACCUCUUGUUCCACUUGUUGGAUUGAACCGUCGGUAGUCUGAAGCCAGAUAUAAGACUUCAUCAUCUGAGAAUGAGUUGGCACCGAUGUGGCUUUAGAAUUCCAACAUUACAAAGUAAACGAAAAAUAUAAAACAGUUAAACAACCCACCCACCUUCACCCCCUCCAAAUAAACAAAAACAAAAAGAGAGAGCAAAUUAACACUCAACAAGUAGAGGCAGCUACAAGCAUUCAAAAGAAACGAAAAACAGAAAACAAUUGAUUCGACUAUGGCUUGAACAACAAAGAAAAGAAAACAUAAUGCAUUUAUCUAUUAAACACUAGACAAAGACGACAUAACAUAGUGGAAAAAAAGGAAGAAGGGGCAUAAAAAGAAUCACGAAGAAUGCGUACGGAAAAGUGAUAAUACCUCAGGUUUAAUAACAGUCAUGUCACCUUCUGACAUUUGAACAAUCCCAAGUUCUGAGGCUUAAAAACUGGAGUGCAUCAGGCAAAAGAAAACAGCUUUAUGCUUCUCAUGCAACAACUUGCUGAUACUCUGUUAAGUCAAACAAAAUUAUAAUUAGCAGCCCUUCUAUGCAAAUCCUUACCCAAAAUUAAAGUUUACACAAAUUUAACAUAAACCCAAGUUAGCCAGGGCAGUAAACCACCCUUUGCAAUCCCCACUCCGUCGUCUAGAUUAAAUUAGAAUAUCGCUCUCAAAACAUAAACCCAGCUCUUACUUGCCAUGAACAAUACAAGUUCCAAUUUUUCUUAACAAAUCUAUACUUACAUUUAUAUUUCUACUAAACUUAAUUCCAUUUAUUCCCAAGUCCAUGAAAAAGCAUUCUGGUGAUUAUACUGCUCUAAAUCAAGGGAGAAAAAUUGCAAUUCAUUGGUAUUUUAGUUGAAUUUCUCGAUUAAACUAACUGUUAUUACCAAUAAAUGAUUGUUUUUCCUAAAGAUUUUAGUUCACCGAGCUCCGGAUUAAAGGGUACUUAGGAAUUUCAUUUUUCUAUUCAAUCAUUUCCAUUUUUCCUGCACUUUCUGGGCACCAAACAGGCAUACAGAAGAGAAACAAAACAUGGUAAAGAAAAGAAAAAGGACAGACAAUUAAUUAACACGAAGGAGACAUACGAAAUGUACGGAUUCCAGGUAGGGGGAGCUUUGAAUUGCAGAGAUUUGGCGGUUGUCGGCGAAUCCCAAAAAUGGAUAAAAUUGCGAAUAAAUUUUAGAAAAAAAAAAAAAAAGAGAAAAAAAGCAACUCUUGUGUGACUGAAAUUGCGUCAAAAAUCAAAAGGUCUGCAAAUCACACGUCAGCGUUUCGUUAGGGUUUCCUGACCUCUUGUAUUUAUUUUGAUUUGAUUGAUUAGUGUUGUUUGUUUGUACACUUCCUGGUGCGGGCCCACCUUAAUAAACGGAUCAUAUUGAUCAUCAAUGUGAGCUGGUAAUUAGCAGCCCUUGAUUGAAAAUGGUUCUUAUCAAUGAGGCCCGUACGCCCCUUACAUAGUUGGACACCGAGAGCAACCCUCCCCAGACAAUAUAUUAUGCUAUUCACCCAUUUAACAGUAAUUGUUCUUACUGAACAGUAAUCAUCUUUACCGUUACACUUCAAUAACCCUGGUAAUAGGUAAUAAAAUAAUAAUAAUUUUUUUAUUUAUAAAAUAAUACUAAGAUAAUUAAAAAAGACAAAGCAAAAGCAGCAUCUGACUUUCUCUCUCUCUCUAUGUUGAAAUGAAGACCACAAACACAAAGCUUAUCCUCCUCCACCCCCAAGCAAUCCACAAACGGCGGAAGCCACCGCCUGUGGCUCCUCUUCUUCUUCACCUUCUUCACCCUCACUCUCAUCAGCACCACCAUCCCCCAAACCCUCCCCACCUCCGUACUCCCCCUCCCGCUCGCAGUCCUAGAUGCACUUCUUCACUACGCCAUUUCAUCAUCAAACACCUCGUCAGCACCCCACAUGCCCCCGUCGGAACUCACCUCCAUAUCCUCCGCCCUCACCCGCCUCUGCGCACCCAACUGCAAUUUCCUCGUUUUCGGCCUCACCGAUCCAGAACCUGACAGAAAAAAAGAUUAAAAAAGGCGUCUGACAUCAACUGACGUUAGAACCACCUUAGGCGCCUGGGCCGGCACGAAUCCACGGGCCUGGCGCUCGGCCCUGCUAGGGCUCCCUCGCCAGCCAACGCUAAAAUUCCUCUCUUUGGCAAUCAGGCCCUGUGCUGAAGCCUGUCCAUAGAGCAAAAGCUCCCGCUGGAGCUGCUCUGAAUAUUGAGUUAAACUUGUCGCAGUGAAUAUUGAAUUAAAUCUUUUAAUCGUAUCAAUUCAUCGCAGUGUUCGAAAAAACGGCCUAGGCGGAUUGGAACCUUGUGCAAAACGGCUAGGCGGGCUAGGCGGCUGGGCGGUUUUUUUUUUUUUUUUUUUUUUUUUGAAAUUAAAAAAAAAAACUUAGAUUAAGCCUAAUUCUAACAUUUGACUCAUUUAGCAUUCAAACAUUUGACUCGUUGUUAAUUUUAUCCUAUGAAAACUUGUUCUGAAGUAUACCAUAUUAUUAUGAUUCGCAGAUGUGAACUUGUUUUUGAGAACUGCUUUGUUCUAGAAGAAAAUGUUCUCGGGCAGGAAGGAAAAAGUGUAGUGAUGCUUUUAUUACAACUUUGUUAUUGGAAGGAAAGAUCAUUUGGAUUGGUUGCAUGUUAAAAUUCGCAGCAAGAAUUGAUAUGUUAGUUAACUUAUAACCUGAUUUCUCAUCUGUCAUAUGGCUUCUGAGCUGCUGUUUAGUAUUAGGGCGAUCAAAAUUUACCAUUAGCGAAGACUUUCACCAUGGGACUUAUUCAUGUAUUGCUGGAACUGCUCAACCAGACUUGUUCUAGUAAUAUAUGAUGCCAACAGUUUUGUUGCGCCACUGGCCUCCCAGAUUAUCACCUAAAGAAAAUAGACGACUUUAUGAAUUACUUCAUUUAUUGAAAGAAAUAUUUCUUUUGUACAUUUUCUACCUAUUUUGUAAGAGUCACUAUGCACUUAUUCAUAGGAUAUACAAAAAAAUUACCUAAAUCCACCUAGGCCGCCUAGGCUCCCGCCUAGGCGCUAGCCCGCCGCCCGACUAGCGCCUAAUUUUUUUUAGAACCUUGAUUCAUCGUACAUUAUGCACUUAAAAAUUAUUUUAAAUAUUUUAUUUAAAAUUAAACACAAAUAGUACCAGAUAAAAAUUGACAGUAUGAUUUAUGAUGAACGAACAAGAUUAAAGAAUUUCCUGAAUCCUCACAAAGAGGAUUAGAAGAAAAUCCUCAUUCGUAUGAGCCACCUAGUCUGGACUCUGAACAGAAAAAAUUUUCCUUCAUAGGACAUAUUCUCUUAUAAGUCACAUCACUAAUACAUCACGUAGUCAGUUGAUAAGUGUUUAAUCAGUCAUUACUUUUAUUAUCCUUUUCUUCACUAUUUUGUUGUUUCUUUUAUAUUUGAGUCGCUUUUUACAAUUUGUAAGUCAAUUGGAGUAAAGAGAGAAAAAGGAAGAAUUUUCAAGAGAUUUGAAGCAAGAUUUGUCAAAGUGCUAGAAUGUUGCUGGUGGAAUGUCACGAAGAUUAAUUUGCCGAGACUAGAUCAGGAAGAAUUUGAUGGCGUGCCAUAUGGAUGGAAUCUGGAUCUAGUUUUUGGAGGCUUUUACCUUUUGUGAUCCCGAUGUAUGAAACAAAAAUGAUUGUUGUUUUAGUAACUGCUGCUCAGUGUGAAGUUUCUUCGCGAACAUUGGAGAAUUAAAUAAACUAAUUCAAAUUGUUAAAUUGGGUUUAAGAGUUAAUGCUGCUGAAGUUAAAGAUUGGAAAAUGCUCUUUGAUGAACAGAUAGGAAUAACAAUGCUGAUGCGGAAUUGAAGUAAUCCUAAUCAUCGAACUCGUUGGGCCUCAACUAACUACCUUUUGGUGUGGGCUUUGGUCAUGGAUGAGUUCAUGCUCAUGUACUCUAAUUUAAAUUUGGCCCAUUGGCUUUCUAUAUGCAUAUUAGGGUUUUUAUUUUAUUUUUUUAUUACAAACGAUAUUACUCAUAAAAAAAAAAGUGUUUAUCCACCAGAGAGAAUCAACCACCUGUUGUAUAGAGUUUUUAAUUAGCUAAAGGGUGCAUACUUUACUUGCACACUGCAAUAUUUUACUUUAUUUGCUAAGACUUUAACGAUUGUUUGUUUCUAAGACUUGUGCUCAAUAUAUUGAGUACCAUGCGAAUUGGUAUCUGAAUUAUUACGCGAGUAGAAAUUAAGUCCUUAACACUCAUUUCUACUAUAAGAUUCAAAAUUAUUCUAUUUAUAUUAUUGAGGGGACUUUUAGGUUGAGUUGGACUUGAGUCUUGAUGGAAACCCUUGUACUUUCCUUGGUUCGUUCCAACACGAAGUCCCAAAAUACCAAAGAAUUAGCGCGUCUUAGGAAAUACUCUGCUUGUAAUAGUGGCACAAAAAUUGAAUGAUUAAGGCAAAUUAUGGCUUGCCUAAGAGAGACGUGGUGUGGAAGCUAAAAGCUUAUCAGUUUAGCAUGAGAUCAAACUUGUGCAUGGUUGCAUGGUUUUGAAAGAUGAAUCAUCUGGAUUUCCUAAGGGUCUAAGGGUGUUUAUACUGGCUAAGGAAGCUCAAAUGAAACCUCAAAUAACCCCUAAAACUCCAGGAAAGUGAUUUCCUAAGGAUUCAAGGCUUUCUGCACUUAGAGAAGAAUUUCCAUGCCUCGUGCAAUUUAGUCUUGAAUCCUCUCUACCUUGUCUCUCCUUUGCAUUGAGUUCAUCCUUCCCUUUUGUAGAUGCAGGGUCUCUUUCUAUCUUUCCUUAGGGAAUUCCUUGACUUCCUUGUUUCCUCUCGUUUUGGCUUAGUCUUCCUUUUUCUUUCCUUUGGCACAUCUAUGACCUUCCUUUUUGGUGCAACAUUGAGAACGUCAUUGCUCCCCUGAAGAUUGAGUCGCGCACUCUGCCCAUAGAGCCAUCUUCCCUGGUCAAUUAUCCACGGACGUUACUUUUAACAACGCUCUUCCUUGUUUUCCUUCCUCAUUUUUCUGUGUGAGCUAGGAAGAGAAAGAUCCAUUCUCUCCUCAUUAAGGAAUGCUUUGCACUAGGUUUUCACAUGAUCCUGAAGCUUUGGGUUCUUGUUUCUUCCUAAGUGGGUUGGUUUGCUUGUUAAGGGAAAGGGAAACUUGGUUUGUUCUCUCCUAGACCUACCUAUGUGGAACUCAAGAAUCAUGAGCUUGGACUUUUGGUGCUCCAAGAAGCUCAAAGUCUUCCACAAUUUUGGUUUCAUAUAGGUUCGAUAAUCUUUUGUAACCAUCCACACCACAAUCCACUUGUCAAGCCCCAAUAUGUGGCUUGGGCUCAUUUUAUCGUGUAGCAUGGUUAGCUUGACUUGUCUACAAUGACCACAUCAUACUUAUGCAUGGAUUUUCAUGGGCUUGUUGUGAUCAUGCAAACGUCCCGCUCACAGAUUAUUAUUUUAUUGGCGUGAUGUGAUUGUAAAUACGCUUCCUUCUUGAUUUCGCACCUUUGCAUGUGUUUAAGCUUGGAUUGGGGCAUUUUUAUGACAAUCGGGCUUUGAGAUGUGAUUGAGCUUGUAUGUGAGAUUUUUGGGCCCUAACACAUAUUUUGUCACUUUAAGUCACAUGACUUACAUGUGAGACACUUCAUGUGUUGGUCGGCUGAGCACCUGAGCUUUGUUAGGCUAAUGUAUCAAGAAAACAUGCACCACAUAGAGCAAUUGAUGGAACAGAUUCAUUGUAAUCGUGACAUUUUAGACAAAAUAUUAUUGUUAUUGUAGCGUCCUGUAUUAAUAAUAUAAGGUCAUGUAUAUAUAAACUUCAAUAUAUCAUUAUCUUAUUAAAUAGAGACAUAACGGUGAUAAUAAACCUGUUUCAUAUAAAUCUUCCGCAACAUGACAUCCGAUGGCUGCCACGUGGACUGUAGGGUUCAUGUACGGUCGAUGAAAAGUGCGUGGUGGUUGAACUUGAAAACGUGAAGUGUCAGCAUGAUUGAGAUGGUGCCCACGGAGGCAUGUGAGUAGGUCACAGGGAGGAUCACAGCAAUGGUAUGAGUUGGAUUGAAUGAAUGACCGGCCAAUCCUUUGAGACAAAGGAUUUUUAGAGGAGUUUCAAACAAAAGCGUUCGUGGUCUCUCCCUCGGUCCUACUCAUUUGUGUGUUUUUAGCAAUGAUUCAUUCCUACUAUCUUUUUUUUCUUUUUUUUAUAUAAAUAGGGCAUGGAUAAUGUUGAUAUAUAUAUAAAGAUAGAUAAUAAUUCUAUUAAUCAAUGGUUUAAUCAAUUAUAUUCGUAUUAGUAAUAUAUUGGGAUACCAAAGUGUUUGGCCUUAGCUCAAAUGGAGAGAGAAUGUAUGACACUAAAUUAGAAUUACGGUAUGUGUUAAAAAUUAGAUUAUGGUAUGAUCAAGUUUCUUUUUCCUUCAAUAUACACAAUUUGAAUAAGUCCACGCACCUCAUGUAUUAAGUUUUUUUAUAUUCAGCAACUAUUGUUAAAAAAUAAUUGCAUAAAUCCAAACAUUUAUUUAUCCAGCCUUGAGGUAGAUCGACUGCUACUCCUCUGAUAGGAAAUAAUGAUACAUCAUUCUCAUACCGAUGACAAUUUCGAAUAGAUAAAUACUAAUUCUCCUUCUCUCAAUAUAUAGAAAAAAGGAAGUUUGUGUACCAAUAUCCGCCAUAAAGGGAUCAAGUCAUAACAUAGGAGAAGCUAUUAUCUUCAAUAUAAAGAAAAAGUCAAAUAAGUCCAUGCAUGGUGCAUGAUUUAAUAAAAAUUGUAAAAAUUAGGACCGGCACAAGAUUUAGAAUCAUUGCAAGAGAACUUGUAUAUGCUUAAAAAUAAUUAAGCUACUUCUUAUAUUGCCAAUUGAUUUUAUAAUAUAAUCCCAACGUUCUUCACUUCGUCUUUGAGUAAUUCAAACUUCAUUAGUACAUAAUUUAUUUGUUUUAUAGUGUAGCGACUUUUGCACAAUGCAUGCGCCUUUUAUUUUUCUAGCAUUAAGGCACAUACCAUCAUUAUCACAUACUUGUUGAACUUUUGUUGUCAUUUUAUUUUUAUUUAGUGGAGAAUUUUCACACAAUGACCAAAGUAAUUGAUGGUGGACAAACUCAGAAGCUAAUUUUAUCAAUUUUAAAUCUUAGAAAUCAAAAUGAAGAGUUAUUUAAAUCUCAAAAAUUAUUUUGAUUAAAAAACUAUCAAAAUAUAAAAAUGUAGCCGUUGCGUUCCAUUCUAUUGCAAAAUGCUCUACUUUUCUUUACUAGAAGUAGAAGACCCUCACCUGUCGUUUGAUGCUUUAUAGGCUGCCAUGAUGCCAUCCCUUUCUCAACGGUCCUCAAAACGGAGGUGAAUAGUCUGCCUUCCAUUUCCAUGCUUUACUCAUACACUCUUGUGAUGUAUGGUCACAGUUAAAUCACGUCAAUAUUUUAUAUUAAUUUUUUAUAAAAAUAAUUAAAAAAAAAUAAUAAAAAUAUAAAAUGUUAACAUGAUUUAACCGUAACCAUAUAUACAAAAAAUAACAAAGAAAAUAUGAAAAUAGGAUGACAGAUAAUCCACCUCACCUCGAAACACCCAAAUUUCCUCAAACCUCUACAAAAUUCAUAACUUUACUUUUUCUUUCUGUGGGCCGUGUUCUAAUUCACAACUAAAAUUUAGCAAAUGGGACGGUUUUAUACCGUUAAAUUAUCUCAUUGCCCAAAGUUGCCUUUUGCUUUAUAAAUCUAAUGCCUCGGUAAUAGGGUCUUCUUUUUUUUUUCCUCUUUUUAAACUUAUCGUUAUCAUCCAACACAUAUUUUUUUAUAGUUUAAAUGGGUGCUAUUAGUUUAUCUUCACUGGCCUGGAUAACAAGAUAGUCCGAUCUUUUAUUUAUUAAAUUGGCAUGUUAAGAAAGAUAGUAGUUUCUUGAUUCAAUCAUGACCGUCGAUUUUUCAUACUACUAAGUACUGCUAAAGAAAAAUUGUUAUAUUAUAGCAAAAUUAUGUAUCGUUAAUUCACAUGAUGAGAAAUGCAAAUACAUGUAUAAAGUAUCUUCGAUAUGAACACACAAAAUUUUAAUAUUAGAACAUCAUUCACGAGAAUCAAACUUAAAAUUAAUGAAACAUAAUAGAUCACAUUUAUAAACCAUAUGAUGUGUCACCAAUAUAAAAUAAAGGGUAAUGCUAUGGAGACCAAAAUUUUCAAACCAAAUUUGCAAACCAAAUGAUGUGAUUGCUGAUGAUUGAAUUAUUACUUAAACGUUGGUUAACGUACUUAUUUUCUAUUGGUGACAAGACAUUUGGUUUGUAAAUUUAAUUUAAAAUUUUGAUAUCUCUAACAUUAUCCAAUAUUAUUCUAGACUAAAAUAAUAAUUCAAUUAUCAAUAACUAAAUUAUAUAAUUUAUAAAAAACGGUUUAAGUAGACGGUAUCCUUAAAUAACUAAAAUGAAACUUAGCUUUAAAAGAUUGGAAAAGUGGAUUAAAAGGCAAGGAAUAAAUAAAAGCGAAGAAGAAAAGAAAAGGUGGAGGGAAAUAAGAUUAAAUUGUCCAACGGGUCUCUGGAAAGACAAAGACAACCCACCAUUCAUGACAUGGAUUGGUGACAGCGACGUUGUCCUCAUCUUUCCUGCACUCUCCAGAAACAUCUCUUGAUUAAUCCACAUAAAACAUCCAUUACCACUAAUUUACUAGAAAAAGGCAUAAAGGUUAAGGUUAAGCACACACCUUUUGAGAAUAGUUCCAAAUAAUUCACCUACCAAAACUUGAAAAGGAUGUAACUCAUGUAUAUUUUGUUUUUCUGCUAGGAUGUUUGAUUUUAUUUUCAACACAAGAAAUACAAAAGAAAAUCUGUCCGAUAUACUGAGACUGAUUUUUCUUUCGAAUGCUGUCGUCUUGUUUGAUUUGAAUAUUCUCUUUUUUAUCUUACAAUGUAGUAGAAGGAUUAUUUAUUUAAUAGAUUAUAUUGAAAAAAUUAAUUAGGUAUGAAAUUAUUUAGUCAUUUUAAAAUUAUUUAAUAAAUAGACGAAUUAUAUCUUUUAAUUAAAUAAUUCCUUUUUACAAUAAUGAUCAAACGGUUAAAUAAUUUCUAGUUUGGUUAAGUUUAACUGGUUCGAAGUUUUCAAUCAUCAAGAAUAAUUGAAGAGUGAAAUGAGAGUAGAGAAAGGUAAACCGCAAAGAUUCUAGCGAGAUCCUUUUUUUUUUUUUUUUAAUAUAUAUUUUAGGGGGAUAAAGAAUAAAGGGAAUAAAAUGCCUUUUCAUCAUUUCAUUUGUUUAGCAUACUUUAACAUACUUUAACAGCUCAGGCAGACAAACAAUUUUCCUUUAUAAAUCUCACUCCAUUUCUCACUCGAUCAUCCAAAAACCAAACCCUUGCAUUCUUUCAAGAGAGAGAAACCACACAACCCCCCAAACCAGAGAGUUCUAGAGAGAGAAACACAAGCCCAUGGAGGGUAAAGAAGAAGAUGUGAAGCUGGGAGCCAACAAAUUCCCAGAGAGGCAGCCCAUAGGGACCUCAGCACAGACAGACAAGGACUACAAGGAGCCACCGCCGGCGCCGCUGUUCGAGCCCGGCGAGCUCAAGUCCUGGUCUUUCUGGAGGGCUGGGAUUGCUGAGUUCAUGGCCACCUUCCUCUUCCUCUACAUCACUGUCCUCACUGUCAUGGGGGUUUCCAGGGCACCCAACAAGUGUGCCUCUGUGGGUGUUCAGGGCAUUGCCUGGGCCUUUGGUGGUACCAUCUUUGCCCUUGUUUAUUGUACUGCUGGUGUCUCAGGUAUACUUCUCCCUCUCUCUCUCUCUCUCUCCUGUUUUUUCUUUUGUUUCUUUGGCUUGAUCUGUUGCUUGCUAUGCUUCCUUUUAUUUUGGUGUUUUUUUGUAAGUUUUUGGUUAAGUAAGUGCAGAUAUGUACAAGAAUAUUUGGGUUUUGAGUUGUUUCUUAAGUUGAUGUUUGGUUCCCAGGAAAAUGAGGGAAAGAAAAGUAAUAGUGGAGAAAGAAAGUUUCUUUUUCUUUUACUUUAGCAUUCUGAGAGAACCAACUGGAGGAUUGGAGGACUUUACUGUUUUACUUGGGUGUGUGAAAAUUGAUGAAAAAUAAAUAAACCACUUACCAAAAAGAGAAGAAAAAAGUGAGAACUUUAGAUUAUUGGGAUUAACUGUAAGGGUUAUUUUUCUUAAACUCUUGUAUAGUUAGCAAUUUUUACUGCUGAAAAUCAGAGUAGUAGAGUAAAAAAAUUUGGAUUUGUUAAAGAUAUCAACUUUGUUACUGAUCUUCUUGUUGGAUUUACUGGUCUUUAUAACUUUACCUCACAAAUCCAAAUUUCUGGAAAAAUGAAAAUCUGCAUCUUUAUUUUGCAGUAAAAAUUUGAGAGUGUAUAAAUUAAGCCAAAAAUGAAUUCAAAUCAUAUGUUCCUCACCAAUUUUCAUAUUUCGUCGUAACAGUAUAUUAACCUUUGAUAUAUUGAUAAUUUGGACAGGUGGUCACAUAAAUCCAGCUGUGACAUUUGGUCUCUUCCUAGCAAGGAAGCUCUCCCUGACCAGAUCCGUGUUCUACAUCAUCAUGCAAAGCCUUGGGGCAAUGGCUGGUGCCGGGGUGGUGAAGGGGUUCCAACCGAAGCAGUAUGAGUUGCUCGGCGGUGGAGCUAAUGCGGUGAACCAUGGCUAUACCAAGGGUGACGGCCUAGGCGCUGAGAUUGUUGGCACUUUUGUUCUUGUGUACACUGUUUUCUCUGCCACUGAUGCCAAGAGAAAUGCCAGAGACUCUCAUGUCCCUGUAAGUAUAUCUCACCUUUGAUGAUUGAGUACUUGUUUACACACUGCGCUCAUAACUAUUUUCUGUAAAUGUUGUAACUAUGCAUCUGUCUACUUGUAUCAUUGUAAUGCCUUGGUUACUAAGGCAUAGAUUUCAUUGAGUUUUGAGUAUAUUGUGAUUGACUGUUUAGCUAACCGCCGCUCAAUCGUUGUUGCUAUUUGCAAUAUCUUUGGUUAAAAGUUAAUGUUUUAUGGCUCUGGUACAUGAUUACAAACUUUUUCUUUGUGCCAAAAUUACCAUGCCGAUUAGUCAAUCUUCUCUGUGAUUUAGAACACUUUAUCUACAAUAAGCAUCACACGAAACUCUUUCAUGUAGUAGCAACUGGUAUCCCUAUUGCAGCUAUGUCGAUAAACAUGUUCUUAUAUACGAAUGGAAAUGCAGAUCUUGGCUCCACUCCCCAUUGGGUUUGCUGUAUUUUUGGUGCAUUUGGCAACCAUCCCCAUCACCGGAACUGGCAUCAACCCUGCUAGGAGUCUGGGAGCUGCCAUCAUCUACAACAAGGGCCAUGCAUGGGAUGAUCAUGUGAGUAAAACUAAAUUGUUUACAUCAUGAAGUUGCAUCGAUCUAAAUGCACGGGAGAGGAUACAUGUCUUACAUCUUCAAUGAUUUUGUUGUGUUUGCAGUGGAUCUUCUGGGUCGGACCAUUCAUCGGAGCUGCACUUGCUGCACUCUACCAUCAGAUAGUCAUCAGAGCCAUCCCAUUCAAGACCAGGGAUUGACAUGGUAAUCCCCGUCGGGCCUUGUUCUCCCCGUCGGGCCUUGUUCUCCCCGUCGGGCCUUGUUCUGUCUAAAUGCUGCGAUUGUGUUUAUUUCGUUCGUUGUGUUUUAAUGUCGAGAGUGGAGUAUUUGGGGUGCUAAUGUGCAUAUUAGUUAUUUAUCCUGUUACAUUAAUGGAAAACUUUAUUUAAUUUAUUUAUACUUUGUUAUUAUGUUAAUCCUUACUUUUGCAUUGGAAGGCUUUAGGCAUUUGUUACCAAGUAAUUUGGGACUCGAAAGCUUUAUUUAAUUCAUGACUUGCGUAGCCACAUUUAUAACAAGAGACAAUGCGUCUCCUCUGUCUCGUUUGGAAAUGGAUCUUCAUCAAAUCUCUACUUAAUCUUUUUCAUCAAAUAAUCUGGAUUUUUGGUUACAAAUAGGGGUUUAUUUUAAAAGUUAUAAUAACUUUAACCGUUUGAUCAAAUGAAUUAUUUGAUCCAUAAAUAAUUCAUUUCCGUCUCAUUUCUAAUUUGUUGACACAUGGUCCGUAAUUGGUAAUUUUAACACUGUUACUUUACAUAGAAUUUGAUUGGAAAAAAAAACCUGAAAAAUUAAUGGUACGUAGACGGAACGGGAUGAAACGAAACGAAGGUGUAAUUUUUGAAAAAGACAUGGGGUAUAUUUGUCUUAAAAUGGUAAAACAUUGUGUUCCACAGACGUGGAACAAACCCGUUCCAGGGGGGAGGUGUGACGCAAAAACACCCAAAAUCUGUCUUGUGGAACAGCCCGUUCCACCCAUUUUUGACGCACCAAACGCGGGACGGAACGCCUCGUCCCGUUCCGUCCCGUCCCGUCCCACGUACCAAACGCACCCUAAAGGCACCACAGCUGAUGAAACCCUUCAGCAUCCUUCCCCACGGGAUGGAUCAAUUAGAUUAGAUAUUUUCAAUCUAUCACCGCAGCAACCAACCCCAACCCUUCAACAUCCUCCCCCAAUCGAUCGAUAUGAUAUUCUCAAAUUUCAAACUUCACACACUGUUUGCCAGCUGUGACUAGAUGGAUUGAUCACAUACCGAUCGAUUAGAUAUUCCAAAUUUCAAACUUCAAACUUCACAUGUAUUGACGAGAGUAAUUUGAAAAGAGAGAAAGGAAAGGAAAGAAAGCUUCGCCGCUGUGAGGAGCAUCGUCGGCAGCGAUGGGGUGGUGUCACUGGUGUGGUUGCAGUGGUCGGCGGCGAUAGGUUGUGUGGUUGCAGUGGCCAUCGGCGGUGUGAUUCUGUAGUUGCAAUGGAUAGUUAUUGAGUGGGUUUUUGUUUUCUUUAAUUUUUAAUUUUUCAAUUAUUUUAUAAAAAAUUACAGUGUUAACUUUGGUGUUAAAUUAAUAGACAAAUGUUAAAAAAUUAAGAAAGAGACACAAAGGAGACAUUAUAAAUUCAGAAAACAGAUCCCCGGCCCUUGAAAGCUUUAUUUAAUUAAUGACCUGGUUAACCACAUUUAAAUUGUUUAUAACAAAAUCAUGCUCAAACCGAGUUAAUAACAAGAGAAAAUGUUAUUGAUUCUCUAAAAAAGUUGUUACUUAAUUUCCUCAUUAUUUUCACAAGGGUUAGAUGGUUAGACAUUAGGGUUUGAUGAUUCGUUUUGUUUGAGAGGAAUGAAGAAAAGAAGAAAAAAAAUUAUAUGUUAAGUAAAUAGGUCGAAAAAAUUGUUAACGACCGUAUUUUUACUUUAAAAUCUAUUUUGGUCAUCAGUAGUUUCUAAAUUCUCUUCCAUAUGUUUUGUUUGUUCUUUUAUUGUGUCACCUAAGUUUUCUUUAAGUUCAUUCACAGUGGAUGAAUUUCAUACUUACUAUUAUAGUCUUGAAUAAAAUGAUAAAAAAAGGAACACAACAAAGUCGUUCGGGAUGUGACAAUCGAUUAUCACUCAUACUAUUCAACAAACCACGAUUGAAUUAAGCAUACGGUUGGGAAUGACAGAAUAUCAGAAUUAUGAUUCAGCAAAGGACAGCAUAACGAGCAAUGCCAAAUUUUGUCAAUUAGGAUCAAACAUUGUGACAGCUUACGAGCAUUUUCUUUUACUUUAAAAUCUUUUUUGGUCAUCAGUAAUUUCUAAAUUCUCUUCCAUAUGUUUUGCUUGUUCUUUUAUUGUGGCACCUAAGUUUUCUUUAAGUUCAUUCACAAUGGAUGAAUUUCAUACUUACUAUUAUAGUCUUGAAUAAAAUGAUAAAAAAAGGAACACAACAAAGUCGUUCGAGAUGUGACAAUCGAAUAUCACUCAUACCAUUCAACAGACCACAAUUGAAUUAAUGUACGGCUGGGAAUGACAUAAUAUCAAAAUUAUGAUUCAGCAAAGAACAACAGAACGAGCAAUGCCAAAUUUUGUCAAUUAGGACCGAACAUUGUGACAACUUAUGAGUAUUUUCAAAGGAGAUGUCAAAUUUCAAACGUAAAUUUAAAUUUGACAGCUUAUAUAACACUUUGACAUCUUUUAAAGUUUUGUUCUCCACCUAAUAUGUCAAAUUAAACUAUUAUUUUAUUAUAAUAAAUGUUUUUUUUAACAAACGAUAUUUAACAUUGAAGGGGAGGAGAGUGAGCUUAACCUUCCAAUGGGUUAACAAUAAUGUAGUUCAAAUUCGCCUUUGGUGAGAAUCGAACCUUAGUACUGUCACAUUCCAGGCUCGACUCUACUGUAGCACGAUAGCUUUGUGCCCCGACCACGCUCUCACAGUUUUGUUUCUGGGAACUCACACGAGAACUUUCCAGUGGGUCACCUAUCCUGGGAUUGCUCUUGCGCAAACUCGCUUAACUUCGGAGUUCCGAUAGAACCCGAAGCUAGUGAGUUCCCAAAAUGCCUCGUGCUAGAUAGAGAUGAGAAUAUACAUAUAAGACAUAGAGGAUCCUCACCCUUGGGCGAUGUGGGAUAUUACAAGAACUCUCGCUUACAAGUGAAGAGGAAUACCACCAGACCGUAGUAUUUAGUGGCAUUAUAAUAAAUGUUUUAAAACAAAAAACAAUUAUAAUAUUAGUAAAAUGCAUUUAAUAAUCAAUUAAUAAAAGAUUUGAAGGUGAUGUCAAUUUUGGCAACAAGAGUGAGGGCUGCCAAUUCAUGUCAUGCCGCUUUAGAUUUGGCUUUUCGUUAAAAAACAUUGUUGUUAGUUUUUUUAUUGUUAAUACUGAUUUGAACAUUUCUUUUAGAGAUGCUCUAAGAGUAUACGGUAGAUUUCAAUGGCUGAGCUUUGGUAAUUUGUAGUUGGAGUUAAUGCCGUUGAGUGGUGCACUUAUAAGAUUUUCAGGUAAUUCAGAUUAGGUUGCAUCUUUAGUUGAGAUUGAGAGCACCCUUUACACGAAUUUAAUUAUGGCAUUUUUCCCUUUCUAUUGUUGAUUUAACUGGAGGCAUUUUAUUUGAAGAUACCUUGGCAUAAACAAGAUCCUUAAACAUAUGUGUCGUGCUCUCUUUUUCCUAGUUCGACUUUUUCUGAGAUCCACUGCAAUGCAAUUUUUUUUUUUUAACAAACUAUAUUAUCUACAUUAACAGAGAAAGGACGUUAGCUAAGUCUUACAAUGGGUUAGCAAGGAAGUGGUACAAAUUCCAUUUUGAGAGAAUUGAACUUAAAACAUAUCACUUAUCGAUGACGGAGAAUACCAUUAAACUGUAGUAUUAAGUGACACAUUCAUAUGUUCUAUCAAAAGUUUUUUUUUUUUGAAGGCAGAAAAAUUGGGUACCAAUAGAGGGCACCCAAAAACAGACACAAAGCGCGGGCCUUUCAAUUCUUCCCAUACAAAAGCCCAAAUUCGAGUAACCCAAACUCUGCUGUCACCCUUUCUCCCACUUCUCCCUCGACAUUUUUCCAUCUCUCUCUGACGCCACCUCUACCAGGUAACACCGCCACUCAUCCUCCACUGCACUUGCUGAUUUUUCAGUCUCUAGCUAUUUUAUCGGAAUAAGUUCAAUUUUUGUUUUUUUUUUUUCUUUUCAUAUGGUUUCGAUCAGUGCAUAUCCAAUUCUCCGAAAUGAACCUUUCUGCUUUGAUUUGUGCAGCGAAGUUAAUAAAACCCAUAUAAUAUAAAGCUUCAAUUUUGAUUUGAGUUCCAGUCUUUGAAUUGUUUUCUUUCAAUUUGGUAGCUUGGUAGAGCAAUUUGCUAAAGUGGGUAGUUCCUGUUCCCCUCAAAUUUGCCGAAAGAUUUGAAAUUUUAGAUGAUGUUAGGAUUCUGGAUAUGGGAUUUGGUGGGUUUUGAUUAGUUUGGCAUCAAUUAGAUGGGUUUUGAGCAAUGAUGGAUUGAAUGGGCUUUUGCUGGUUUUUGUGUUUAGUUUAUCUUUGGGUUAUCUGUGAACUAGUUUUUCUUUUAGUACGAAAAUAAAAUUUAAUUGAUGGCAAGGGCAGUUUAAAUAGGGUUUUAGUAGACAAUGGAACUUGUUUUUCAUCAAAUUCUCCUUGUUAUGUAGUUUUUGUAAGUCAUCCAAGUUUGAAAGAUGAAUUCUUCUUUUAAUGAUUCAGUUCUGUGUUGAAAUCAAUUCCCGGUGUUAAUCUUCCUUUCGUUGUUCUUUGGAUUACAGAUUCUACUCGUUUUGCAAACUUUUAAAUCUUUAAUUUGUUGUAAUACUUGGUUGUUCUCUUGAUUCCGAAUAUUUUUAUUCUGUUAAUUUUUUUUUUGUUAUCGCUAGGAACAGCACUUAGUUUCUCUAGCAAUGGCUUAUGAAAUUUUUUCAUAAAUUGCCUUGCAUAAUUUAAUAAUCCUGUAAACUUUUUGAUUUAUAAUGUAUAUCUUGUUGGAAAAAAAAAUUCUCUCCAUUAAACUUUGAGUUUCUUCUCUUGGUGGUUAAUAACAGAUAAUACAAACUAUAGUCAACCAAACAGCUAUUACACUUCUGUGCUAAUCUACUGCUUUCUUGUUUCUAGGUAGAAAUUAAUCAUUGGUUGGAGAACCCAAGGGGAGGCAACUAUGUCGUUCAUGAAGGGAGAUUUACUUACGAGAACUAGAAAGCUGGUGAAGGGCCUGGCCAAGGCCGAGCCUGUUUGGCUCAAAGCCAUGGAAAAGUUUGCCCCUCUCUUUCUCACCAUUUUGUAAUUCUUGGAAUGCCUUUUCGUUUUACUUAUUUGUUAAAAACAUCAUGUAUUGUGAAUUUUUCAGGGCACCGCCUGUAACGUUUCCUCGUGCAAAUGCAAUUCAGAAAAUCACUCUCCCAGAGGAUGUUUACAUAAAGAAGUUUUUCCAGAAGCAUCCAGAUUCCAAACAUGAAGAUGCCAUCAAGUAUGGUUUAUCUUUGUUUUUUGGUAUAAUAUGAGUUGUUGUCUCGUUACUGUUGUUUGGUCUUGUCAUGAGUUUAUCCUUGGCUAGUAGAUGUGGUUGGUAAUUCAGGAUUGAACAUGUUGCGUGAAUCCGAAGACUUAAUAACUUCUUAUCAGAAAACGCAGGGCUUAUUAACUUAUCCGUCAUGUUUGAAUAGGAUUUCUUCUUUUGAUCCUCCUCCAGCCCGUAUAUUUGGUUUGCGGGUACUUGUGUUGAAGGAGCAAGGUGUUGCUGAGGAAGAAGCAAUGGCAGUAGCUGAUGUAUGUAUUUGGAUUUCCUGUCCCUAAAUGUGUGCUUUUCUAAGUUGUUUUCUGACUGAUGUUUCACGUUGUCUCCUAGAUGGAAUACCGGAUGGAGAGAAAAGAGAAGAAGAAGGCAUAUUCCCGCUUGAAGAAAAUUGCACGCCUUCAAGGGAAGAGGCCUCCUCCCAACCCAUAUCCCAGCGCUAUCAAGGAAAUACAAGCUGAGGAGAAGAAGUUUGUUCGUGACCGUUUUUACAAUCCCAAAAUUAUUCAACUUGUAAGGCAAUUGCAAGAGGACAAGGCAGCUGAAGCGCAGGAGAGAUUCAGAGCAGGAGGAGGUUCCGGGUAACUUAAAGUGCCGUCUUUUGAUAAUAAUUUAGUUCAGUUAGCUUCCUGAGAUUUUUACUGAUUUGCUCUAGCUUUUGAUCAAAUAUUAGCCUAGUGUAUUGGAAAUGAUUCUUAGGUACUUCUCAUUUGCAUCCAUUUAUGGUCAAUGAAAUGCUAUACAUUUGUGAAAAUCAUGGAAUAUGAAUGCUGCAUUUUCCGUUUUCCAGUUUGUGUAUUUUUAUGAACUGCUUAUCCUUCCAGACCACUGGUAACGUCUUUCGUAAUCCCAUACUCAAUAAUAGAUAUUUCCAGUGUUCGAAAUGUUAGCCACUUGGUUUUAAGAUGCGACUAACAACUCUUGGUCCAUCGGUACUUCUCUCUAACUAUUUUGCAGUAUGGCAAUUCAAUUGUUAUAGAGCUUCGGGUUCAUUUCUAAUAAAUCAUUAGGCAUGAAUCAUACCAUAUUUAUCGUAGACUUGCAUCCAAACUUGUUGAAGAUGGUAGAACUUCUAUGCUAGUAAAUAAGGGGGCAGUGUAGAACAUAUCAAUGGAGAAGAACCAUCUAACUGGGACGCCAAGGUGACUGUUUUCCAACCAAAUCACGUUAAGCCAUGUGAGCAAGUUAAAACACAUGACGUCGGGUAAUAGGCUUGACAUACCACCACCUUGGCGUCUUGGUUCGACUCUCAUGGUGAAUGGUUAGAUAUGACAAAGAAUCCAGCUAAUGAAUGUGUUUUGUAUGCGUUCCAUUAAUGUGUGAAGAUUGUGCAUCAGCAUGUCUUUUAUCAUUUCAUAAGCUGAUUCACCGUCGGAAACUAGUGCUUUUUUACAAGUGAUGAUAUUACCAAUCUAACGUUUUAGAUUGUCUUACAAAAGAACAUUUCUCCGAGCGAUAAAAGAUACACUCAUAAUAACAAUUCAUUUGAGAUUGACUCUGUUUGAAGUAAUAUUGCUUGUAAGCGAUUCAACUAAAAGUUUCUUUGCCAAACAUAAUUCAAAGCGUUCUAAAUUGCUAGAAAGCACUUUACUUCUCACAUCCCAUUUUACUUCUCACACACUCCCUGAUAAUUUCUGUUUGUUGAUCUUCAAUUUAUCCGAUCUAACGAUCUAAAAUUAAAAAGAUAUGUGAGAAGUAAAAUGAGAUGCAUGAAUAUCACACGAUAUCAAUUCCCACCAAAAAAUAUAAGCUGAUAAAUUACACCUUCAAUUACAAUCAACUUCUACCAGUUCAGAUUGAUAACAUUUUAAACUAUCUAACAAAAGAAUAUUUAUUCUAAAAAAAAGAGAAAAUAUUAUCAGCGAGAUAAUCAUAAAAGAGGAGAAUAACGAUUCAUUUGAGGUUGCAAAAUACUGCCCAUAAGCGACCCAACCAAAAGUUCUUUUACAAUAAACAAAGUUUAUUAAAAAUUGAUUCUACAACCCGUAAACGCUUUCAAGGUUUUGUUUUUUUUUUUGCAAACAUAGUUUAAAGCGUUUUUAAUUGCUAGAAAGCACUUUUAGCAAUUUCGGAAGUAGUCUCAAAUAGAUUGGAAACCAAAAGAGGUAUCAUUUGCUAGUGCUGAAAAUAGUAUGUAUUGGCAAUUGGUGUUAACCUAAUGGGUGAUUUUCCUCCUAAACAAUGAAUUUAACAACAUUAUCACACAUAACAAGGGUAAUAAACAUUUUCUAGGCAACCAAACAAGUCCUAAAAUUAAUUCCUUGCACGCAUUCAUAGAAGUUGAAACAUAUUAGAUAAGAUAGACCAAAAUAAAGGGGAAAAGUAUGGCCACCAAUAAAAAGCAGAGAUGAAAUAAACAUUUAACAAUACUAUCGGAUUCUCUUUGUGGGAUCGGAUGAUUAAUCAAUCAUAUCCGUUUAUCAUAUAUUAUACGAUAAAAAAUCACUUUGAAUUUUUUAUUUAAAAUUGAAGACAAAAAGUAUAUAAUGAAAAUUAGCCGCAUGAUAUACGAUAAUUGAUCUUCUAGAUCUUCACGAAGAGGAUCCGGAGAGGAUCCUCAUUCACUUUAAGGCUUCACCAACUCCAACCAACCCCCUAAAUAAAAGUAUUAACUUUGCUCGGAUUGAUGAUCUAACUUCCAACAGUAUUUAGCUCCCUCUAUGCUUCCUACAUUUAAUUUCUUGGGAGACAAUUUUCUUCACUACAAAGUCAAAUAGCAAAUCUAGAUGAGCUGCCAAGGCAAUGUGGUUGCUUAUUCGAAUUCAUUUGUUCGUAAAUUAGACUAGUUUAUGACAUUGUCUUGUCAAUCUAUUAUUUAGGCCCUUUACAAUGUGUAGAAAAAUUGAGUUUGACUCUAAUUUAAAGUCAAAAAUUUUGAGUUUGAUUUCAAUCUACUAGCAGAUGCUAUUUAAGUUAGUUGGUCAGAGUAAUGUGCUCAUCUACCAAGUUUAAAAUUAUCUACCAUUGAUUAAAUUCGAGUAUUUUUGAAUAUUGAAUUGUAAAAAAAAAAGAGUAUUUUUGCUCACCAACACAUUUAUCACUGUUAAAUAAAUUUAAAUUCAAGAUAUGUACAGUGAACAGACACAAAUUUUAAAAUUUAAAUAACUAUCCAUCACCAAAGUUGCACAUCAUCACACAUUAGAUUGUAAUGUUGGAAGAUUUUGCCAUACAACAAUGUUUGUCAUUGUUCAAUUCGACUGAUUCAAUAUUCUCUAUCGUUCUGUAUAUCUCUUAACUAUGUCUUGUGAUUUUGAGCAGAGAGGUUUUAGCAAAAAUAAUAAAAAUCUUUUAUACACACUUUGCUUGUGAGGAAUUGAAUUAUAUAAUAAAGCUGUAAACGCAUCAACAUCUCCGGUCCCAUGGGCAUUUUUGGGUGUGGGCAGCAAUUUAAUGCUCGCUUGAUCCUACAGCUAGCUAGCUGCAGGUCAAUUAUUUUGGCGGUAAUGCUUUGAAGACAAAAUUUACAAAUUAAAUGAUAUGUCACUAAUACAAAUAAACACGAUUAUCAAUACUUAAGUAGUAAAUCAAUUAUCAACUUCCAUGUUUUUAGUUUUCAAAAUUUUAUCUACAAAUUAAGUCCCUUAUCAUUACCCUUAUUUUGGUGACAAAUGAUAUUAAUCACUUAGUUAAAAGUCAAUAGAAAUCAAUCAUAUAUACUAAAACCCAGUUCGGGUGGGUACUGUUGAUGACCAGUGAGAUGACCGCUUUGCCCCUCAGUUUAUCCUUGCUUUCCUCCUUUGUGGUCUGCUUCAUACAAUAAAUUUACGGUUUUGCCCUUUUCCAUGCGUCUCUUAUCUUUGAUAUGUCCGCUUCGAGUAUGAGUAGGGAUGGGCGCGGUGCGGUUUGGUGCGGUUUUAAAGGCAAAACCGAAAUGAAACCAAACCGUUUGGUUCGGUGCAGUGCGGUUUCAAACGGUUUCGGUUCGGUUUUUGAGAAAAAAAUGUACAAUUUAAAAUAUACACUUAUUUACGCAUAAGACGGUCUUAUUUUUCUUAUAUAUUAAUUAAUGAACAUGCAGAAAAAACAGCAACAAGAAUGCAGUAAAAACAGCAACAACAUUGCAGCAAAACUGCAGCCAAAAACUGCGGAAAAAAAAAACUGCAGCCAAAAUUGCUAAUUCCUGGUCUUUAUCUAUGACUCUGCUAAUUCCUGAGAAGUGGUCUCUAUUUGCGACUCUGCUAAUUCAAUUACAUAACUCAAGCCAUGCUUCUGAUGAACAAAAAUCCUAUGAGAGUACCUCUAUCGUGACUCUGGGAUUUUGUUGCAAGUGUUUUUUAUACAGUUAUUUGGCUUCAUCAAUGAUCAGAGGCUUUUCUUAUAAUAAAUACCAAAUUUGUUGAACUCCAAUUUUCAUGAUACAUUAGUGGUUUUUGUUACAUUUAGGCAAGCACACAAGGCAAUGCCUAAAGAAAUUAAUAAUUUAGAACUUAAAUUGAUACUUUAAGAGAUGAACAUGAGUUUUGAGAGAGAGAUGAAGAUGAGUUUUGAGAGACAGAGAAAGAUAAAUGAAUAUAAUGACUUGAAUAGUGUAGUUGAAGUUGAACUAAUUAAAAGUUAAAACAUAACAUUCAAAAUAUAUGGUGCGGUUUCGGUUUUGGUAUGGUACGGUUUUGAAAAUCUAAAACCGAAACUAAACCGUUUUCUUUGUUGCGGUUUGGUUUCGAAACCGCAACCGUUUUAAAAUCGCAAAAUCAAACUGUUCGGUGCGGUCCGAUUUAAUUUGUGUUUCGAUUUCGGUUUUCGGUUCCAAAUGCCCACUCCUAAAUGUACGAGAGUUUUCUAUUUCGUUUAAACCUUUAUUUCUUCUGCUCAUUCUCUGAUCCGUGCCUUAUUCUCACUGUUUUUCUUUGAUAUUGUGGUGUUUUGAACCCAAAAUUUUUCGUAUUUUAAGUGAUAUACUACGAGGAAGACAUCCUCCAAACCCUCUACAUAAGCAUCGAGGUAAAUCCCGCUUCUGCUCUGCUGCACAAAUUAUUUGUUAUUUUCCGUAAUAUAUUUGAUUUCUAGAACUGUAAUUUCAGAUUAUUGCCCCUUUCGAUUUUUGUCAGUUUGGACCAAACCCUAACCGUUUGGUUUUGUGAUCAGUAGCACUCUUUGUUAUCUCACUUCAUAAAUCUCGGAUUUGGCAGGAAUUGGAACGGCGCUGUUAUUUUUUGGGUGUGUUAUCUCUGCUUCUGUUUAUCCCAAUUUUAAUAUGUAUUUGCAAUUGUUGGAUUAAAAAGGGUUUGUGAUUUGUGAAAAAAGAUGAGUCAAGCGACUCCAAUUUUUGAAAGUUAUCUGGUUUUGGUUUGUAUCGAAAACAGGGAACACUGAGAGGGAGAUGAUGACAUAAAGUAUUAAGUUUAAUUGUGAUUUAAAUUUUUUUAUGUUGUUAGCGGAUGAAUCCAUCUGUUGGUUGAAGUGAUAGGUGUAAAAAAAUGAAUAUGCCAAGGUGUAAAUAGUUGGAGGUUUAUGGUAUUUUGCAGGUUUUCUGUUGGUUCAUGGUUUUGGUAGUUUUGAUUUCGUGAGAGGCAUAGAGAGUAUACACUGAGACAAAUAGGUGGGAAGACAGAACAAGGGAAGGGGAAAAUGAGAGAGACACGGGUUGGGCCAUUUUUUUUUUAUAAUUGAUUUGGGGUUUUGUUUGGGUUUGGGGUUGUGAUGUUUCUGUAUUUAAUUUGGUAUUUCAUAGUUUGGGGUUGAGUCGUUAUUUUUUUGGACUUUAUGAUCUCAUUUGUGAUUAUCAAGUGCAUAAUGGUUAAUUGUAAUUUUCAAAUUUUUAUGCUAUUAGUAGUUAAAACUAGGGGAAUGGCUCCAAUUUUGUUAGUCAAUUAAUUUAUUUUUUUGUGUAUCUCAAGCUUCUAAUUGAUUUCCUGCAUCAUUGCUUAGUUUUAUUCACUGAGAUUUGAGUGGUUAAUUUUUUUUACCUUAUGACCUCAUUUGUGAUUAUCAAGUACAUAAUGGUUAAUUGUAAUUUUCAAUUCUUUAUGUUGUUAAUGGUUAAAAUUAGGGGAAUAGCUCCAAUUUUGUUGGUCAAUUAAUUUAAUUUAAUUUUUGAUAUAUCUCAAGCUUCUAAUUGAUUUCCUGCAUCAUUGCUUAGUUUUAUUCACUGAGAUUUGAGUGGCUAAUUUGGAUCAAACUCUAAUGAUUUUCCUUUUCAACAGUUGUGGUCCUCUGUUAGGAUUUUCCUGGAAAAGAGUAUAUUUUCCGUUUUGGUUGCUCAGUUGCUCAAUCACAAAUUUGCAAAUAGCUCUGGUGGUGCUAUUAUUUUUGGGUAUGUUUUCUGUCAUUUUUUCCCCUGUUUGAUCAUGCAUUUAUGAAUGUUGGAUUAAAAUGUGUUUAUUUUUGGGAAGAAAUGAGACGGCUAGUUAGAGUUUUAGAAACCUUUGUCUUUCUUGCUUUUUAUGGCAAUGAGAAGAAGGAAGAAAACAUUGAUCUUAAUUGUAAUUUUCAGUUCUUUACACUGUUAGUGCUGAAACCUCUGUUUUGUAGACAAAUAGCUGACAUGUGAACAUUUGCAAAUCCAUGUUAUUUUCUAAGUUGUUUUUUAUUUUCCAAUGUAUUUUUUUCUUCAUAUGAACCUGGAUGAAAUGAUUGUUGGUGGUUUUUAACCAGAUGCUUUGUUUCAAAAUGAUUAAUCCUAUUAAGAAUAAAUAAUUGCUUGGGGUAUAAAAUGUGUAUUGUUGAUGCUUUGGUCAAUCUGACCAUAAAAAUAGAGUGCAUUUUGGUUUCUUUGACUCUUUUGUUUGCUUUGUUUGUUGUUUGGACCUAAGCUUAAAAUACUUACACAAUACUUGACAAGAAAAAUAAUAUUUAGGAUUAGGUUAGUGUUUAUGCAAUGAUAACCAUAGACAAUUAAUUCUCUGGUGACUUAUUUCAUGCUUUAGUUUGGAAACUCUUGUUUUUGUCAUAUAUAGAAUACUAGCACGGCGUGCAAAUGCGUUAUCGAUUGACUUCUAAAUGGUGGUUAAUUUAGUUUAUAAAUUUGUAAUGCAUGUGUUCUCUAACCUUGAGCGACUGUACAUGAGGACAUAAGACGUCUUUUGGGUGAGAAAUCUGCUUCCUUGAUAUGGGCAGCGAGUCAGUUUGGUUCGACUCUUGAUCCGGAGCAGAGACUAACUGUUCUUCACAUCCAAGCUCGUCUUGUGAUAGGGUCCUUAGGUCUGUACAGAAUCUGAACAUAGAAAAGCACCCUAGGCAUUUUGUUUUGUUUUUCUCUGUACUUGAAUGAAAUACAAUCAGUAAUAUGUAAGAGAAUGGUCGGCUUCAAUGAAAUGUUUGCCUUGACAUUUUGUGCAGUAUAAUUUCAAAAUCAUACAACAUUCUACGGACUAACGUGACGGUAGGUAAAACUCCUCAUGCGAGUCUGGAAGCCCUCGCAUUGACAAUAAUCACACAAUGAAUGAACAGUCACAAGUGAAUAAAACGCAAGAAACCGUUGUCGCUAAAAGACCAAAUAUCAAUAAUAAUGUUCCAAUAGUAUUGCAUUAACAACACUUUAGCAUAAUUUCUAUGCAAAUACAUUUAAGUCAGUCAAUUAUUGUGUGAAUAAAUCUGUAAAGACCGAGUAGAAUAAAGUCGGUCAAUUAUUGAAGUAUCACAUGGAGUGUCGCAUGGGGUCCAAGUCAAGACAAUAGUUUCACUUGCAUCGUGGAAAUUUUGGUUUGUAAGUCCCUAUUGUUCUUAAUUUGUAAUUUAUUUUGAAGCGUGAUUAAGAUAAAUGACAAACGAAAGUGGAGAAGAAUCAUUAUUUUAUGGGAGUCAUUCAUCCUUCCUCUUAUCCUCCAAAACGACUUUUGACUGUUUGCAACUUGUUUGAAAAGAAAAAAAGUGAUGAUUCUUCAUUAACAACACUUUAGCAUAAUUUCUAUGCACAUACAUUUAAGUCGGCCAAUUAUUGUGUGAACAAAUUUGUAAAGACCCGAGUCGCGGUAGAAUAUAGUCAGUCAAUUAUUGAAGUAUAGCAUGGAGUGUCGCAUGGGGUCCAAGUCAAGACAAUAGUUCCACUUGCAUCGUGGAAAUUUUGGUUUGCAGGUUCCUUCUCAACUUGUAAUUUACUAUGAAGCGUGAUUAAGAUAAAUGACAAAUGAAAGUGGAGAAGAAUCAUCUAUUUUGUGGGAGUCAUUUAUCCUUUCUCUUAUCCUCCAAAACGACUUUUGACUGUUUGCAACUUGUUUGGAAAAAAAAAAAAUGUGAAUUUGUCUCUCAAAAGUUGAGGCCUUUUUUUGCGUAUUUUAGCCUGAUCUAAAUAACAUAAAUUAUGCAUUCUGACUAUUUGCAACUUGUUUGAAAUUAAAUGUAAAUUUGUUCUCUCAAAAGUUAAGAUGGUGUCUGUGCUUUUUAGCUUGGUUCAAAUAACAUGAAUUACGCGCAUAUACGUUGUUUUCUAAUUUCACAAAAAACAAAAAAACUUCUAAAACGUAAACAGAACGAACAAUCAACGCGGAAUUGUGUUGAUUGUUGCAGGCUUUGCCAUUGUUUUGGAGAGACGAGUCAUCCUCUAAUUACUACACCUACCUACAGAAAAGUAGCUGGUCCACUCACACAUGUUAAUUACUACACCUACCUACCUACAGACGAGUCAUCCACCUAUCUACCUACGGACGAGUCAUCCUUAUAAUACACUCGCAGCUUUCCUUUUGCUCCUAAAUCAAUUCUGAUUGUACACUUCUUCUUCUUCUUCAAUCUUCAAUCGUCUUUGCCUUGAUUUUGUUGAAUUAAGAUGGAGAACGACGGAACGGCGCUUGAAGAAACUCUUUCAUACUUCCAUUGUGGUGCUACUUUUUCUACAAUGUUUCAACCCUUCCCUAUCCUCUGGAUUCAAUCAUGUUUCUUUCGGUUUCGGAGCAAUUGCCCACCGGGUGGUGACGAGGUGCAUAGAGAGUGAAAGGGAAACACUCCUUUCUUUCAAACAAGGUCUGAUUGAUGACUACAAUCUCCUCUCCUCGUGGGGAAGAGAAGAACACAAGCAAGAUUGUUGCAAAUGGGUAGGCGUCCACUGCAGCAACCGAACCAACCAUGUUACUCAACUUCAUCUUGGAUGGUCUUCUAUGCGUCAAGCUUACUCACUUCAACACAAAGGUCACCUGGAAGAUACCGAAUAUUAUUUACAAGGUAAGAUGAUGAGUCCUAAACUGAUUGAGUUGCAGCAUUUGAAAUAUUUGGACCUUUCGUUGAUUAACUUCAAUGGAAGCCAAAUUCCAGAUUUCAUUGGUUUUCUUUCCAACUUAAGACACCUCGAUCUCUUUGUUGCUUAUUUUGGUGGUCGAAUUCCAACUCAGAUUGGAAACCUUACUCACUUGCAAUAUCUUAAUCUCAGCUACAAUAACUUUGCUAAUGUAGAAAAUCUGAAUUCAUGGCUGCCUCAUCUUUCUGCUUUAACAUAUUUGGACCUGACAUACAACAAUCUCAGUAAUGUUCCUGACUGGAUGGAAGCAGUUAAUAAACUCCCUAAACUUACAAACUUGUCUCUGUCUUAUUGCAGUCUUCCUUCUCGUCUAAUUCAUUCCAGUACUCUUUUUAACAUAAAUUCUUCUAAAUCUCUUGCUCAUGUUAAUCUCAGAUCCAACCAACUCUCAUUUUCUUCAUCUUCUUCCAUAUUUGUGUGGUUAUCCAAAUACAAUGCCGGCCUUGUUCAUCUUGACCUCUCUGAAAACCAAAUUGAAGGAGGGAUUCCGCAAUCUUUUUCCGGGUUAUGUAAUCAGCAAGAAUUGUACCUUUACAAUAACACUUUGAGUGGACAGUUUUCCUGGUUGGUUCAAAUAUUAAUGUCUGCAUGCCCUGAUCAGAACUCAUUAGAGACUCUGUCCCUCUCAAAGAAUCAUCUUUCUGGAUCAAUUCCUAAUCUCACAAACUUUUCAUCAUUGAAAGAAUUAUCUCUCGAUGACAAUCAAUUGAGUGGAACAAUACUUGAAAGCAUUGGGCAUAUGUCCACGCUUGAGGCUAUCUACCUUGGUAUGAAUGCUUUGGAAGGUGUGGUUUCGAAAAGCCACUUCUCCAACCUCUCCAGAUUAAGGAGUUUGGAUAUGUUCAAUACCUCACUAUCUUUAAGCUUCAGUUCUAAUUGGUCUCAUCCUUUCCAAUUAGAGUAUAUAAAAUUAUGGUCUUGUAAGGAGGGUCCACAUUUUCCAAAAUAGCUUCAAAAUCAGAAAAGUUAUAAGAGACUUGAUAUUUCUAAUGCCAGAAUUUCUGAUAUCCUUCAAAGUUGGUUUUGGAGCCUUCUGUCUCAUCAGGAUCUUAGAUCUAUUUCUAUAGAUUUUUCCCACAACCGAAUUAGAGGAACAAUUCCAAAUUCAAGAUUUGAGUUUUCCUCAUCUUCCUUUAGUCUAGUGAAUUUGAGUUAGAACUAAUUGGAAAGUCCAGUCCCUUCAUUCAUUUCCACAUCGAUAUCUUUAGAUCUCUCCAACAAUAAGUUUUUAGGGUUAAUUUCUUUCAUGUGUCCAAGGACUUCGAACAAGGUUAGUCAUAUAGCCUUUCUUGAUCUCUCAAGCAACAAUUUGUACGAACAACUUCCUAAUUGUUGGACACGUUUUGAAAAUCUUGCCUUUCUUGAUUUGAGUGAUAAUGCUCUUUUUGGAAAAAUUCCUACCACAAUGAGCUCUUUACCUUCUAUUCAAACACUAAAGUUAAACAAGAAUAGGUUUGUGGGGAAUUGACUUUAUCCUUGAAGAACUUUACCACACUCAGUGUUUUUAAUGCUAGAGAAAAUAACUUAUCAAGUUUGAUACCUGAAUGAUUAGGGGUUGAACUUCCAAAUUUGGCUAUCCUUAUCCUCCGUUCUAAUCACUUCUAUGGAAGCAUUCCACCACAAUUGUGUAAACCCAACCCCUAACCAUUCAGGUAUCAAACCUGAUAAGUUAUUUUCUCCAACAUCAAAAACACUGAGUGUGGUAAAGUUUUUCAAAGAUGAAGGCAAUUCCCCCACAAACCCAUUCUUGUUUAACUUCAGCGUUUGAAUAGAAGGUAAAUAGUCCGUUGUGGUAGGAAUUUUCCCAAAAAGAGCAUUAUCACUCAAAUCAAGAAAGCCAAGAUUUUCAAAACGUGUCCAACAAUUAGGAAGUUGUUUGUACAAAUUGUUGCUUGAGAGAUCAAGAAAGGCUAAAUGACUAACCUUGUUCAGAGUCUUUGGACACAUGAAAGAAACUAACCCUGAAAGCUUAUUGUUGGAGAGAUCUAGGGCUAUUGCUAUGGAAAGGAAUGAAGGGACUAGACUUUCCAAUCGGUUCCAUCUCAAAUUCACUAGACUAAAGGAAGAUGAGGGAAACUCAAAUCUUGAAUUUGGAAUUGUUCCUCUAAUUCGGUUGUUGGAAAGAUCUAUAGAAAUAGAUCUAGGAUCCUGAUGAGAUAGAAGACUCCAAAACCAACUUAGAAGGAUAUCAGAAAUUCCUGCAUUAGAAAUAUCAAGGCUCUUAUAACUUUUCUGAUUUUGAAGCCAUUUUGAAAAAUGUGGACCCACCUUACAAGACCUCAAUUUUAUAUACUCUAAUUGGAAAGGAUGAGUCCAAUUAGAACUGAAGCUUAAAGAUAGUGAGGUAUUAGACAUAUCCAAACUUCUUAAUCUGGAGAGAUUGGAGAAGUGGCUUUUCGAAACCACACCUUCCAAAGCAUUCAUACCAAGGUAGAUAGCCUCGAGCGUGGACAUAUGCCCAAUGCUCAACAAUUUGGCUAAAAAAGUAAGUUCAAGUAUAGCAUCCUUGAUAUGGAAAGGCAUUCUAUCCAAAUACAGAAGUACUAUGGGGCUUGUAAGUGUAUUCAUCUGUCAAGUAAUCGAUUAAUAGGGGAGAUUCCUAGGGAAAUCACUGAUCUUGUGAGGUUGGUUUCUUUAAACCUGUCAAGAAACAAUUUAACAUGUCAAAUAACUCCAACGAUCAGGAAGUUGGAGUCCUUAGAGUCCCUUGAUUUGUCAAGAAACCACAUAUAUGGUGGAAUACCAACAAGCCUUUUUCAAAUAUAUGGUCUUGGUGAUUUGGACUUGUCAAACAACAACUACAACAACAACAAAGCAUUUUCCCACUAAGUGGGACUCGGCUCCAAAGCCUUUUCAAACAACAACUAGUUUGGAAAAUUCCAAUUGGGACUCGGCUCCAAACCUAUGAUCCAUCUGAUUUUGCUGGAAAUACUCUACUUUGUGGAAUUCCACUUCAACAGUUGUGCUGUCCUGAGGAAACAAGUCCAGAGGAGCAACCAAUGUUUGGGGAUCAAGUUAAAGAUAAUGAUGGGCUUAUAACAACAUGAUUUUACUUGAGUUUGGCGCUUGGUUUUGUUGUUGGAUUUUUGGGAGUUUGUGGGAGUUUGAUAUUCAUCAGGUCAUGGAGAUACACAUGCUACAAGUUCUUGAAUUGUGUGUACGAUUGGCUUUUUGUGAGGGUGGCGUUGAUCAGGUGACGAAGAAUGAUUGAUGGGUAAAAUGUAAGUACUCUUGCACAUAAUGAAUAAUAUUAUUGCAGUUUUGAGUCUAUUAAAUUAUGACUAAUAUAUGUUGCGUUUGUUUUAAUCUUUUUAGCUCGUUCAUCUACCGUUGGCAAGCACUGCUCCCUUUAAACUAGAGAAGAAGGAGAUUGAAGAGUGCAAUUUGAAGUUAUAAUUUAGUGAAAGUGUUGUGUUUAAUUUAGUGGCCUUUUUGAGGCUAUUUACAGUGACCGUAUUCUUUAUGCCGACACCAAACUUUAAGUUCAUGUGGAAAUCUAUUUAUACGUUGAAUAACACACUAAUCUGUAAAUAUUUUUUUACAGAUAGUGUGCAAAUUUCUUUCUUUCAGACUGUGUAUGCUUAUGACGUGAUAAACAUAUUAGAAGUUUGCGAUUUAAUAUGUUACUCCCAAAUGUGAUUGUUAUUCUGUGAAUUCGCUAAAAUUUAAGGUUGUGUGUAUUGUUGUUUUUAAAACCCUUUGCUUAGUAAUACAUAAUUGAAUAUGAGCUCUUCCAUUUGAUAAUAUCUUAAACUGCUUAAGAUAUACAUCAUAAGCAACCAUGCUUACAAAUUUCAGCACUCUUAGAAACAACAUACACUAAUCUACAACGGUUUCUAAUCUUACUCAAGGCUUCAAAUACACUCGUGUGUCACAUGAUUUGAAACGUGCAAUUUAAUUACAAUGUAUUUGGAUUGCACAUUUCAAAUCUUGUGACACACAAGUGUGAGUGUUUUAGAUUGAUGAAUUUUAGUCAUCUAACGAGAUAUAAACUUGUUUCGUUCCAAGUGAGUAAUUAAGCAAAAAUAGUACUCAUGUGACCAGCAGGCAGCAAGGAUGUGAGGCAUCUGAUAUACAUGCAAUGGCUAAAGUUACUUACAAAACUAAACGAAACGUCGUCGUCUGUUAGCUGUGUUUGGGCCAAAAGCGUGGUCGUUUUGAUCAGAACAUUUCCGGGGCAAAAAGCAGAAGAGAAAGAUUGAAAUUCUAAAAAGAGAGAGUAAAAGACUGGGGCGAGGUCACGCUCCAGACCGCCGUCCACCGCCGUAGGCGAUCCGGCCAACUUGUUGACCUGCAGAGAUUCUAUAGCGAGGUCACGCUCGCGUUCUGGAGCGGCCUCCGCGACCUUCCGCCGAGUUCUCGUUCCUCCGCGUCCGCGGCCUCCUCAAUUUCCUCCGAUCCGUCGCCGAGUCCGAUUCCACCGUCAACCUCUUCUCUCAAACGCAAUUGCUCCCCGAGCUUCAAGGUAACCAGAAAAUUACAAAAUUCCUAGUACAUGGCGAGGAGGUUUGGGGAGAGAACGUGGUGGCUGCCUCAGUGAGUCACGUGGUUGCCGAAGUGACAAGGUUGUUGAAGGUUCAGCGCGGGAAAGUUUGGUUGAUUGGUGCAACGGCUAGCUAUGGAAGUUACUUGAAGUUUGUGGGGAGGUUUCCAUCUGUUGAAAAAAAAAAAAAAACUGGGACUUGCAGCUUCUGCCCAUCACUUCUCUCAGAGCUGCUUCCAUGGCUGAAUCAUAUCCCAGGUCCAGCUUGAUGGAGUCGUUUGUUCCAUUUGGUGGAUUCUUUUCAGCACCUUCUGACCUAAAGCUCCCACUCGCUGGGCUCUGCGGUAUUUGUAUGGAAAGUUUAGUUGAUUGGUGUAACGGCUAGCUAUGGAAGUUACUUGAAGUUUGUGGGAAGGUUUCCAUCUGUGGAAAAAAAACUGGGACUUGCAGCUUCUGCCCAUCACUUCUCUCAGAGCUGCUUCCAUGGCUGAAUCAUAUCCCAGGUCCAGCUUGAUGGAGUCGUUUGUUCCAUUUGGUGGAUUCUUUUCAGCACCUUCUGACCUAAAACUCCCACUCGCUGGGCUCUGCGGUAUUUGUAUGGUAGCCGAUGCAGCGGGAGUGGAGCAUCAUCGUUGGGCAGAGGAGAAGAAAACUGGAGACGAUGGAGACUGCCUGGCCAUCAUAGUAACUCGCUGCUGCUGACCAAUCACGAACCUUUGUUGGUUGUCUAAAGAACUUGACGUUUGACUGUCUCAAUGCUGACUUUUGAAGUUUCUGAUUUUGUAUUAUGGAAAUCGUAAUAAGAGCAUACGUAGGUUACAAAUAUAUAUGGGAGUUUGAGUGAGUUGCAAACUACACUCAACACUCAAGUUAUCUAUCCCAAAUCUCCUUGAAUCAUGCUAAACAGCCGGCAUAGGUAACAUAACUAAGCUCCUUGGAUUAAGGAGUUGACAACAAGAUAAGACCCUUAUACAAGUUGAUGAGAACAAGAAAAUAAAUGGCUAUUAACUAGGUAAAACACUAAUAAGGUUGACACAAACCCUAUUACCCAGAUAAUACUGAGAAACACUAAUCAUGAGGAACCUUAAGUAACCAGAGGUCUUUCAAUACUCCCCCUUAAGCUGGAUCCAGAAGUUUGAUGGAUCCAAGCUUGCUGAGAAGCUUUUGAAACUGAUGGGAGGCUAAUGGUUUGGUGAAUAAGUCUGCAAGUUGAUUGUAGCUCCUGCCAAAAUGAGUUUUGAUGACCUGUGAUUGUACUUGUGCACGAACAUAGUGACAAUCAACUUCAAUGUGCUUGGUUCUCUCGUGGAAGACGGGGUUGGAAGCAAUGUGCAUUGCUGCCUGGUUGUCACAGAAAAAGGGACAUGGAGUGAGGAGUGAAGACAUCUAAGUUACAUAGUAGACCUUUCAGCCAUAUUAGUUCACACGCAAUAGAUUCCAUGACUCAAUAUUCAGCCACAUCACUUGAUCUUACAACGACUGCUUGCUUUUUACUUUUCCAUGUAACAAGGUUGCCUCCCACAAACGUGCAAUACCCCAUUGUAGACUUACGAUCAAUAGAGUUGGCAACCCAAUUAGCAUCAAAUAACCUGUGAUCUAAGUGCUCUCAUUCUUCUUCAUGAUUAUGCCACGACCCACUGAACCUUUUAGGUACCGAAGUAUUCUUUUGACAAGAUUAAAAUGCUCUAUCGUGGGAGAGUGCAUAAAUUGGCUAGCAAUGCUUACUGAAUAGGCUAUGUGAGACCUUGUAAUAGUCAAAUAUAUCAACUUACCAACAAGUCGUUGAUAAUAGCUUAUGUUUAGAAGUGGUUGCCUCUUCAAGCUGAGUUUGAGCUUGAUGUCAAGAGGUGUAUGGACAUGUUUAGCAUCACUCAUGUUUGCUUCCUUGAGAAGAUCCAUGACAUAUUUCCGCUGGUUGAGAAAGAAACCCUUGUGAGAGGUUGCCAUUUCUAUUCCAAGACAAUAUCUCAGUAUUCCAAGAUCUUUGAUUGCAAAACGUUGUUGUAGUGAAUGCUUGAGCUUCUUUAUUUCUUCAGGGUUGUCUCCUGUAAUGAUCAAAUCAUCUACAUAUACAAGGACUACCAAUUUCCCAGCAGUUCUUGUGCACACGAACAAUGAGGAGUUUGCGUUGCUUCUUUUAAAACCAACACUUGUAAGGACUAAACUGAGCUUGGCAUACCAAGCUCUCGGUGACUGUUUAAGACCGUAAAUUGAUUUGUGCAAUUUACACACAACAUCAUGUUCAUGACUUUGAGGAUGACUUGGGGGUAAUCUCAUGUAGACUUCUUCUUCAAGAUCACCAUGUAAAAAGGCGUUCUUUACAUCUAUUUGAUACAUAGGCCACCCUUUGUUAACAACAACUGAAAUGAGUACUCUCACUGAGUUCAUCUUUGCAACAGGAGAAAAGGUUUCCUUGUAGUCCACAUCAAAUGUUUGAGUAAAUCCAUGAGCCACUAAUCUUGCCUUGUGUCUUUCUAUGGACCCGUCUGAGUUGAAUUUAACCUUGUAUAUCCAUUUACAACCUACUGUCUUAUUUCCUUUGGGUAGUGUCACAAUGCUCCAGGUUUUAUGUUGAUCAAGGGUAUGCAGUUCAUCUUGCAUAACUUGCUGCCAAACCUGUGAUUGAUUUGCUUCUUGAAAUGACUGAGGCUCAACAUGCUCAGAUACAUUACAAACAAAAGCAGUGUAUUUAGAUGACAAUUUUUGAUAGGACACAUAGUUGGACAGUGGAUGCCUUGGCUUGUAAGUGACAAAGUCUUGCAGUCUUGUUGGAUGAUGUCUUUCACGAAUGGGAUUUCGUUGAGGCGCAGCAGAAUGAGACUCGUAUGAAGAUUCCUCAGGUGCAACAUUAUGGAGAGAUUCAUCUUCAACAGAAGUGUUGGUGUCAUCACUUGAAUCUGGUUGGUCAGUUGCAGCGCGGGACUUUGUGUGAUGUGCAGACACCAUUGCAUUAGAUUGAGUGACUUCAGUGGCAAGUAUCUCAGUCCAUGGCAAUGGAAAAAGGUCCAAGAAACACUUCCCAUGACUUAUACUAUCCAGAGAUUUGCUGUAAUAAGGGUUAGUUUCAUGAAAUCUAACAUCCUUGGAAACAAUUAAUCUCUUAAGUUGUGGAUUGUAACAUUUGUAUCCUUUUUGUGUGGAUGAGUAACCAAGGAAAAUACAUUUGGUUGCCCUAGGAUCUAGUUUGUCUCGAUGCAAGGGCUGAACAUGGACAAAACAAAUGCAUCCAAAGACCUUAAGGCGUUGCAAGUCCACUUUUCUAUUUUUGACCAUUUCCAUUGGUGAUUUGAACCCCAAAACCCUGCUAGGUAACAUGUUGAUCAAGUAAGCUGCUGCCACAACACUUUGAGACCAAAAUCAUUUUGGUACAUUCAUUUGGAACAUCAAGGCCCUAGUUUUUUUAAGAAGAUCUCGAUUUUUUCUCUCAACAAUACCAUUUUGUUGGGGUGUGCCAACACAAGCAUGAUGCCAUUGUUGCUCAAAUAUUGAGUCAUGACUUGGGACAUCUAUUCGGUGCCAUUAUCAGACCUUAGAGUUUUGAUUUGAGAGGAAAAAUGAUUUUUAACAAGGUUAUGAAAGUCCUUAAACACUUCCAUCACUUCACUCUUUGAUUUUAACAAAUAUAACCAAGUGGCUCUUGAAUAAUCAUCAACAAAGGUUAUGAAAUAUUUGUAACCAUCAAAAGAUUCACUAGUUGGUCCCCAUAUAUCAGAGUGUACAAGUUUAAAAAGAUGAAAAGCUCUAGACAAAGAUGAACCUUGAGCUAGUCUAGUUGCCUUUGACAUAUGGCAAGUUUCACAGUGAAUUUGUUCUUUGCUUAGGUCGGGAAACAAGGUUGACAAAACAUGUUGAGAAAGGUGAGCUAGUCGCUGGUGCCACAAGGAAUGAUCUUGAUGGAGGCAUGGAUGAACUUAGACUUGGCUUGGAAUCCAUUGGGAGAGCUUUUCGAUAUGUAAUAGAGACCGUCUAGGUAAAACCCCUCACCAAUCGUCCUCUUGGUGACACAAUUCUGAAAAAUGACAUUUUCUGGUGAAGAAAUGGCUAAAUAGUUUAAGGAAUUUGUGAUUUUUCCCACUGAGAUAAGUUGGAAUGGAAAUGAAGGAACAUAUAAGGCCAUAGACUCUAUUUGGUCUGAUAUCAAGUGAAUUUUUCCCUUUCCUACAAUCCUAGCACCUUCACCAUUAGCUACAGACAUAUGUGAUGGUUUAUGAAGUUUCUAAAAUUUAUGCAAUUUUGACACUUGAUUAGUCAUAUGAUUUGUGGCACCUGAAUCUACAACCCAAAAAUCAUGCAACUUAUUGAUUGUAAGAGCAGUUUCGAAAGCAUUCACGAUACCUUUCAUGUCUUGUUGAGGUAAGCGAUCAGCAUCGACAAAAAAACUUGCAAACUUGCCCAACAAUGCAGUGGCACUUCCAUAUGGUCAACAACUCGAUCUUCCCUUCCCGUCUUCUAUUGGAGAUAGGCUGCAAACUUAUUUAUAAGAGUAGCAAGAUUUGUAGUGAACUGUUGGUAAGAAUUUGAACUGUUGAUAGAUGAAGAUGAUGCAGUGUUGGCAUGAGGAUAUGCUUGACUUGUCUUCUGUGCAAUCUUAUCCUUCAUGACUUCAGGCUUGAGCUUUGGAUGCAGGAUCCAACACUUAUCUCUCACAUGCUCGAUGUUGUCACAGUGUAAGCACUUCAGAUGAGGGUUUUUUCCUUUGUACCUUUUUUCAUGUCAGAUAAGCCCUAGCUUCAAUCACAUUGGUUUUUGUACCACUGUUCAUGACUUUUCUUCUCACUUCCUCACGUUAGAUGGUUAAACAAAUGCUAGUGAAGGAUGGUAGCUCAGGAUUCAUGAGGACAUGACUUCUCAAAUCCUCAUAUUCUGAGCUCAAGCUAGACAUCAAUUGAAAUUUUUUAUCUUCUUCAGUUCUUUUAAGAAUCACCUUGGGAUCAGUUGUAUGAGGUCUGUAGACAUCUAGCUCAUUCCACAUGCUUCUUAGAGAACCAAGAUGUUGAACAAAAGUUUUACCUUUUUGUUGAAUGUUGGAGAUAUCAUUCUUGAGUUGAAAGAUGCGUGCAAAGUUGUUUUAAUUACCAUACAUCUCCUUCACAAUUGUCCAGAGAGUGAGAGAUGACUCAGAAUAGCUGAAGAUUUCAGCAAUCUUCCUUUCCAUGGAAAUAAGCAACCAUGACAUGACCAAUUGAUCUUUACAAAGCCACCCUUCAUAUUUUGGAGAAGUAACUUCAAGAGCAGAAUGACUGCCAUUGAUGAAACCAAGUUUGGAUCUUCCACCAAGCGCAAGACUAACAACUCUUGCCCACGACACAUAAUUAAACUCAUUCAGUAACACUGAACUAAGUCGUUUAUUUGGAUUGAUAUCCAUUUUAGAGAUGCUAGCAGAAGGAGAAGCAAUGAUGCUUUCAUCCUCUAAAUUCUCAUCAGUUAUAUUUUUGCUGAAGGAAAAUCACAACAAGUGAGAUAUACAAAGAUAGACUCAGAAGGAUGCCCGCUCUAAUAUCAUGUUGACUUUUGAAGUUACUCAGAAGGAUGCCCGCUCUAAUACCAUGUUGACUUUUGAAGUUUCUGAUUUUGUAUUAUGGAAAUCAUAAUAAGAGCAUACGCAUGUUACAAAUAUAUAGGGGAGUUUGAGUGAGUUGCAAACUACACUCAACACUCAAGUUACCUAUCCCAAAUCUCCUUGAAUCAUGCUAAACAGGCGGCACAAGGAACAUAACUAAGCUCAUUGGAUUAAGGAGUUGACAACAAGAUAAGACCCCUAUACAAGUUGAUAAGAAUAAGAAGAAAAUAAACGGCUAUUAACUAGGUAAAACACUAAUAAGGUUGACACAAACCCUAUUACCUAGAUAAUACUAAGAAACCCUAAUCAUGAGGAACCCUAAGUAACCAGAGGUCUUUCAAUACUCAACUUGUACAAUUCCUUGUUGAAUAUGGGCCCACGAGAGAUGUGAAGAUGAUUGAUUGGCGUUUGAAAGCUGUCCCAUGAAAAUAGUGUUGAAAGCCCAACACCAACGCCAAUCCAAAACAAAGGCGACCCUACAUUUGUGGGUGGGGGAGGUACUGAGAUUUGUGGUUUGACACCAACUGAAGAUGUUUCUUGGGUACUCGAAGAAGAAAUGCUCGCAAAACAUUCCGCUUCUAACUUUGUUGGGAGGCGAGUGGCACUGAAGCGACCAUUGGCUCUGGAAUUCUGGUGAUUUUUGGAGUUUCUGAGAUUCGCAGAGCAUUGAAAGAGAGGGAACCGACUAGAGUCUAUCUUUUUUUUUUCUUCCAAAGAAUAUGUUGCCUUUGUAAUAAAAUUGACUUUCAUUAGUCAAGCCUUUAUUUUGAUGUGACUGAACUCGAAGUUGAAUGUUCGAGCUACCUACAUACCCUUCCAAAGAAGAGAUCAAGUCAGAACGUAGUUCAAAUAUGUUUUGUUUUUGUGCUGUACGCAGUUUAUGCUUAUGCGGGCCAGGAGCAUUUGGUGCCAUUUGCAGUUUCAACUCAUGCAGGCAAUAAACUCUUGGUGUGGAUUUGGUGCUGUUUGCAGUUUCAGCUCGUGUAGGCAAUGAGCGUUAGUUGUCGCCUUUUAGGCUCGUGCGGACGAUGAGCUCUUGGUGUAGAUUUGUCAAGCGAUCUUGGAGAGGUGUUCAUCGCAAUCUUUAUAGCAAGAAGUCUUGAUCGAGGGAUUGAAGAAGUCUUCGGGGAAGAAAUCGCGCAUCGUGAUGGGGAUGGACGAUCUUCGUGUCGAAAUUUCAUCAUCCUCAACACUUUCACGUUGCCUUGGAGGUUGACAAGAGCUUCUUUGCCCUAUUUUCGAUUGUUGAACUUGUGGACGACAAGUGUCACGCCCCGAUCCCGACAUACGUCCAAGAUCGACACGUGAUGUCAACAAAUACCCAUAUCUCAAAAGUCAACCCUCGGUCAACGGUAGGGUCCACAACUCUACAUAAUUCGAUCCGAAAGAUCAACCCAUCAGAUUUCAGAUCCGUAACUUCUUAAGGUCUCAUUAUACUCAUAAAACAUCAUACUAAAGUCUCACCAUAAUUCGACGGUUGGAUCUUCGCCAAUUGCUAGAAUUAGGUGGCGGUUAACAAUUAAUUUUACUAACUUAGAAAUCUAAUUCGGGAAAACCCAUACGUCGGAUUCCCGAUCCGUCAGCUCCAGCUAUCCUCAAAUAUUACGUUCUAUAACGCAUUAAAGUUUGGUGACGAUCCAACGGUCGAUUCAUAUUUUGAUCAAGUAAUGUAUCGUAAUGAAACGAAGUUCAAACAAUCAAACCACUUCAUAUGGAUAUCAAUUAUGAAUUCAGGGCAUUUAAUUGGACUUAGAAAGACAUCGUCGGCCCACUGGCCACGCGUCGCCGCCGAUGGUGGUCAGCAGCCACGACUCGCCGGAAAAUUCAACAAUUUCCAAAAUUUAUCAAAACUCAUAGAAUUGUAGAUCUCAAUGAGUAUAGCAAAUUUUGUACCUGUGACCAAGGCCAAUUUGGCCUGGAAACACUCCAAAUCACCACGCACCCGCCAGAACCCUAGAAAGAGUGUGCUCCAAUUCUUCCUCCUCGGUGUUCCACCACCCCUACAACUGAUUGGGAUUUGUUCAGGGGCUCAAUGGGAGUCUAAUGGUGGUAGAGAUAGAGGUAAUUUGCAUCAAAAAUUGGCGGAUUGUCACCAAGAACACCAUAGUGCUGCCGCACCCUACGAUGUGGUUUUUCACAAAAUCAAGGCCAAACAUCUUCAAUUUUUGGGUGUAAUAGGUAGAUGAAACGAUAAGGAAUGUCCCGAUGGUUAAGUGACGGGAUUUGCCGGAAAAACCUACGAAAUCCACCGGAAAGAUCAAGGGGAACCGGUAGAGUCGAAAUAAAGGGGGACGAGUUGAUGAUCUCAUGCCUUCCCCCACCCUAAUUUCCCCACCUUUCUUCUCUUGCUGAUUGGUUCUCCCCUCCUAUCCUUUAUUUCUAAUUGGUCCCUAAAAGAAACUGAUUGGUCUCUUUCUCAAUAUUGAUUGGGCCUCUUGUGGGAAUUUAUUUAACUUAAAAACUAUAGUAUAGUAAGACGACUUCAAAUGUCCGUAACUAUACCGUUAUAAUCCGGAUUCUCAAACGGCUUUCGCCUAUGCGCUCGUGGUUUCGAGAUCUAUUCGAAAACAUUAACUGUGACCUCGAAAGGUCUAUAGAUUUUAAUUAAUUAAUUUCCAAACUUCAAACUUUCUAAUUAGUUUAAUUAAAAUCUAAAUUCAAAUAAAUUGAUAUAAAUUCUCGAAAAAAUAAUAUACAAUCUUAAUAAUACCAAUACGUAGAUUAUAAUAGUGAAAUCCAGGAACGGGGUUUCACAACACGUAUGCUUUUUGUGCAGUUUCUUUGGAGUGACAUGAGUUCAUCCUUCAACUUCACUUGGCUUGACUGGUAUGGUUUUGGAGCAUGCCCCCAACGAUUGAGGUGAAGAUAUUGAGUUGGAAGAGCCAAAAGUGACGGUGGUAUGGUUUGACCCUAACACAUCGUUAAGAUCUAGCUUGAUGAUUCCUUUUUGGGCCAGCUUCAUGAUGAGAUCUUUUAGCACGAAGCACAUUUCCGUCAAUGACUGAUGAAGCGGUGGUACUUACAAUAUAUUGGGUUGCCGGUGCGAUUCAUCUCUUCCAGCCGUUUGCACUCGGGUAAAUCGAUCACCUUUUUGUUGAGCAAGUCCUUCAACAUGGCAACCACAUCAGAGUCGGGGAAUGGAUAAGUCUUCUUCUCAAGCUCCUUCAAAGUGCGUUUACGCCUUUCUUGGUCACUAAAAGCUUUGGUCCGAAUCACCUUGUCUCGUGUAAAGAUUUUAACGGAAGCUGCGUUGACCACCAUUGCUUUAUUGAAACCCUCACGAAUUUGUCCAUUUUCUGCCCAAAGACCUUGUCAUUUCUGUAGUUAGCAAUCGGUUAUUUCUUCUCAUGAUGGGCAAUGCUCAACUCAAUGUCGUGGGCGGGGGUGGCUAACUCCUCGAAGGUCCACGGUUUGAUGCCUUGAAGAAUGUAGUGUAAUCCCCAAUGCAUGCCUUGUACACACAUCUCCGAGAGUCUGUCUUUGCAGUCAAGACUUAGAGUGCGCCAUCGGUUGAUGUAGUCGACGAUUGGCUCAUCCUUCCAUUACUUUGUACUUGUGAGCUCCAUCAUGCUGACAAUGCGACGAGUACUGUAGAAACGGUUUAAAAACUCCCGCUGCAAUUACUCCCAGCUGUUGAUGGACUCGGGUUCUAGGUCCGUGUACCAAUCGAAUGCAUUCCCAUUCAGACAGCGGACAAACUACUUUGCGAGGUAGUCUUUCUCAGUCCCCGCAUUGUUGCAAGUCUCGACGAAAUAGGCGACGUACUGCUUUGGGUUUCCUUUUCCAUCAAAUUGCAUGAACUUAGGUGGCUAAUACCUCAUCGGCAUCCGCAAGCCAUCAAUCCGCCUGGUAUAUGGCUUCGCAUACAGCAGUGUAUCCCGCGAAGUGUCUCCUACCUGUGUUCUGAUGGUGUUCGCAAUCAUAUCCUGGAGCUGCUGGAUGGAAAGAGAGCCCAUCGAGGUAGCUUCAGUCUCCGGUUAAUGUGAUUGAUUUAGCUUUAUAGUUGUUUCUUGUGGUUAACACUAUGUUGAUCUAUCAUAAUAUAGUAUAUGGAGAAUCAAGUCUUGCCCUUAAUUUUGGGUAUAAUAAAUUGGUAUUGAAAUCACUAUUCACGAGGUUCGAACGUAAGACAUUCACUUACAAGUGAAGUUGAAGUACCAUUAGACCGUAAUACUAAGUGUCAUUUGAAAUUGAUCAUAAAUUAAAAUCUCAAUUGCUAAAUUAAUCAAAAUUAAAUAUUGACCACAUAAUAUCAAAGAUUGACAACAAUACAAUCACGUAUUGACGAUGUAUAAAAAAAUUGGUCAUUUUAGUAAUUAGAAUUUGAAAGAUGAUCAUUUUGAUCAAUUUUUCAAGUAACUUAACAAUUAAAAACAUAAGGAAAAAAAAAGAAUGAAACACGAGUAAUGAUAUGAAUGUAGUUUGUUUGUUUUGUUUUGUUUAUACUCCAUUUCUUCCAUGUAACUUCACUUCAAAUUCAUAAACAAUGAAGUUUCUUCAAUUUACAUUGUUAAAACUAGAAGAAUUGGGAAUAAGAAUUUUUUGGCCCAUCCUUGUCUACCAUUUUUAGACGAGGAAAUAUUGGAUGUCAUUGAAUAUAAGGCAUAAUGAUCUCUGAAAAUUUAAUUUACAUUCCAUUCGACGUAACUGCAAUGGUUAAAUUGAUGAAUUUUCACUUAUUUAGUAAGAUAUAAAUAAACUACAACCAAUUACCAAUUGAAACGUGUAAAAAUAAACGGAAACGUCGUCGUCUGUUAGCUAGGGUACCAAAAUGUCGUCGUUUUGGUCAGAACAUUUCCGGAGCAAAAGCCAGAGGAGAAAAAAAAAUCUCCAGUGUGAGAGUAAACAACUGAGGCGAUGUACUUGAAGAAGCCGCUAUGGAGCGAGGGGAUAACGCUGAAGCCCUCGUCGGAAUCUGAACCAGAGCCGCCGUCCACCGCCGUAGGCGAUCCGGUCAACUCGUUGACCCAGCAGAGAGUGUACCGCGAGGUCAUGCUCGCGCUCCGGAGCGGCCUCCGCGAUGUUCGCGCCGUGUUCUCCUUCCUUGUGUCUGCGGCCUCCACGACGUCCUCAAGUUCCUCUGAUCGGUCGCCGAGUCCGAUUCCACCAUCAACCUCUUCUCUCAGACACAACUCCCCGAGCUUCAGGGUAAUCAGAAAAUUACAAAAUUCCUAGUUUCUGCUUAAUAUUUUGUUUAAUUUUUCUGAAUGUUGAAAUUGAUUUAUUCAUCGUUUUACAGUCGUGGCGAUUCUGUUUGGGCACUCGCUGAAAGAUUCGGGCGAUGAGAUAGUGCGGAAUUUGGAUCACAUAUUCGGCGUCGAGCCGCUGAAGAUCACAAGCCCUUCAACCGAUUUCGAGGUCUCGCUUGCGCUUAGGGUUUUGGAGGGUUGCUGCCUGCUUCAUUCGGACAGCGCGGUUUUGGCUCAUCAGCACAAGGCCAUUCAGGUACUCAAUGUAGCUAAAUAGCUUAACCAAAAUUUAUGGAGGUUGGAUUUCUGAGAUGAGAACGCAGUUUCUGUAAUUGGGUAUUUGUAGGUUUUGAUGAAUAUAUUACCGACUAGCGGCGUGAUUGAGCAAGGAGCUUGUUUGGAUGCUUUGAUUGCUACUAUGUUGGACUCAUCAGCUAAUCAAAUGGUAAAGCUUCAAACUUCAGUUUCGCGUCAAAUUAAUGGUGUAUAAUUGAUUUGUAGAGAUUCUGUAUAAAGUUUUGAUUCAUUUCCCUCGAAAUCUCAUGAGAAGACGUGACAUAUGUUGAUGCUUAAAAUACAUCCCAAUUGAAUACACCCCUUAUUGUGAUUGGUUUCGAAGCGGUGAUGGGUUUUUUAUGAUUGAAUUGUUUUCUUGUGUGUAAUGUGUAGGAUUUUGAGGCUUUUCAUGGUAUUGAGGAAGUUGCAGAGCUCAUAAUGGGCAAGCAAGUUGAUGAGAAUCUCAGGUUUUGAUUUAUUUCUCUUUGCUUGCUUGAUUCUCGUUGUCUCUUUUCAAAAAAAAAAAUUCUCGUUGUCGUGAGUUGUGAUUUGAAGCUCCAUCUACUUAGUGUAGUUUUCAAAGGGUAAAGUCUUUUGAAUUAGUCCUCUUGAUAAAUUCUUUGGUAAAAAUGUUAAGUUUUUUGCAAAAAUAGGUUUGUGGUAGCCACACAGUUGCUGUGUGUGCUACUACUUCUUCAAAAUCAUCAUUAUCACAGGCAAUGCCAUUUUUCGACUUGUUCAUCGGACGAUUCUUAAUAGAAUCCCGUCUUUCCUUAUUUUCUAGGAUUUUAUUUAAACCAUGUUGUUUUGCUCAUUUUCAUGUUUGUCAAUUGAGUAACGAGGUCAUCUGCUAUGAAUGAAUUAGAGUUGAGGAUUCUGAACACUGGUGUGCCUAGGCUGGAUCCUUUCUUUGCUAAUAUAAUGCACACUGAAGAAAAACGUGUGUUGCUUUUGAUUAGGUUGAAAUGUGGAGAGUUCUUGCUGCUUCCGAUUGGUCAUGUAAAUGGGAGGGAUAGGCCACCCUUGGCGACUGUACAUGAGGACAUAUGAAGUCUUUUGGGUGAGAAAUCUGCUUCCUUGAUAUGGGCAGCCAGUCAAUUUUGUUUUGUUUUUCUCUGUAUUUCAAUGAAGUACAAUCAGUAAUUUGUAAGAAAAUGGUCGGCUUCAAUGAAAUGUUUGCCUUGACAUUUUGUGCAGUAUAAUUUCAAAAUCAUACAACAUUCUACGGACUAUCGUCACGGUAGCUAAAAUUCCUCAUGCGAGUCUGGAAGCCCACGCAUUAACAAUAAUCACACAAUAAACGAAAGGUCACAAGUGAAAAAAAUGCAAGGAACUGUUGUCGCUAAAAGACCAAAAAUCAAUAAUAAUAUUCCAAAAGUAUUGUAUUGAUCAAAUGACAGUGAUGAUUCUUUACUAACAACAAUUUAGCAUAAUUUCUAUGCAAAUACAUUUAAGUCGGUCAAUUAUUGUGUCUUCUAAUCUACUAACUCCAAGACUAAAUUUGUAAAGACCCCAGUCGCGUUGGAAUUAUUUGAUAUACCGGAAACUCUUGAUAACUUGGUGUCAAUAACCUUGAAGUAUCGCAUGGGGUCAAAGUCAAGACAAUAUUUCCACUUGCAUCGUGGAAAUUUUGGUUUGCGGGUACUAUUGUUCUCAACUUGUAAUUUACUCUGAAGCGUGAUUAAGACAAAUGACAAACGAAAGUAGAGAAGAAUCAUCUAUCUUGUGGGAGUCUUUCAUCCUUCCUUGUAUCCUCCAAAACAACUUUUGACUGUUUGCAACUUGUUUGGAAAAUAAAUGUGAAUUUGUCUCUCAAGAGUUGAGGUGUUUUCCUGUAUUUUAGCCUGGUCUAAAUAACGCGCAUUUUGACUAUUUGCAACUUGUUUAGAACAUAAAUGUAAAUUUGUUCUCUUAAGAGUUGAGACGAUUUCCGCGUUUUUUAGUGUGGUCCAAAUAACGUGAAUUGCACGCAUAUAUGUUGUUUUUUAAUUCCAAAAAAACAAAAAGACUUCUAAAACGUAAACAAUACAUAAAUGUAAUUCAAAGAAGCAGAUGUAUCGGUACAUAAGUUUCGGUACGAUAUAUCGAUACAUAAGUUUUGGCAUGAUGUAUCGGUACAUAAGUUUCGGUACGAUAUAUCGAUACAUAAGUUUUGGCAUGAUGUAUCGGUACAUAAGUUUUGGUAUGAUUGCAUCAGUACAUAAAUUUCGAUACGAAUGCAUCGGUACAUAAGUUUUGGUACGUUGUAUCAAUACAUAAUCGGUACGAUUGCAUCGAUACAUAAGUUUCGGUAAGAUGUAUUGGUACAAAGUUUUGGCAUGAUGUAUCAAUACAUAAGUUUCGGUACGAUUGCAUCAGUACAUAAGUUUCGGUACCGAUGCAUCGGUACAUAAGUUUCGGUACGAAUGCAUCGGUACAUAAAUUUCAGUACGAAUGUAUCGGUACAUAAGUUUCGGUACGAUUGCAUCGGUACAUAAGUUUCAGUACAAAUGCAUCGGUACAUAAAUUUCGGUACGAAUGUAUCAGUACAUAAGUUUCGGUACGAAUUUAUCAAUACAUAAGUUUCGGUACGAAUGUACCAGUACAUAAAUUUCGGUACGAUUGCAUCCGUACAUAAGUUUCGGUACAAAUGCAUCGGUACAUAAGUUUUAGCACGAUGUAUCGGUACAUAAGUUUCGGUGCGAUUGCAUCCGUACAUAAGUUUCGGUACGAUGUAUUGGCACAUAAGUUUCGGUACGAUUACAUCGAUACAUAAGUUUCGGUAAGAUGUAUUGGUACAAAGUUUUGGCACGAUGUAUCGGUACAUAAGUUUCGGUACGAUUUGCAUCAGUACAUAAGUUUCAGUACGAAUGCAUCGGUACAUAAAUUUCAGUACGAAUGUAUUGGUAUAUAAGUUUCUGUAUGAAUGUAUCGGUACAUAAGUUUCGGUAUGAUUGCAUCGGUACAUAAGUUUGAGUACAAAUGCAUCGAUACAUAAAUUUUGGUACGAAUGUAUCAGUACAUAAGUUUUGGUACGAAUGUAUCAGUACAUAAGUUUCGGUACGAUUGCAUCCGUACACAAUUUUCAGUACGAAUGCAUCGGUACAUAAGUUUUGGUGGAAUGUAUUGGUACUUAAGUUUCAGUACGAUUGCAAUGGUACAUAAGUUUCGAUACUAUGGCGAAGCAUCUGAAGCAUAACUGCACACUCACACGAUCUUUGUUGAAAGGUAGGAGCAUUCGGUAGAACCGGUGAACUAAAGUACAUAUGUAUUAAUAGACACCUCAUGGGGAAGAGAAGAACUCAAGCAAGAUGGUUGCAAAUGGCUUGGCGUCCACUGCAGCAACCGAACCAACCAUGUUACUUAACUUCAUCUUGGAUGGAAACAUAUGGGUAAAGUUUACUCACUUCAACAUAAAGGACAACAGGAAUAUCUCGAAUGUUAUUUGCAAGGUAAAAUGAUGAGUCCUAAAUUAAUUGAGUUUAGGACUCAUCAUUUUAAUGUUUGCAUGCCCUGAUCAGAACUCAUUAGAGACUCUGGACCUCUCAUCCAAUCAUCUUUCUGGAUCAAUUCCUAAUCUCACAAACUUUUCAUCAUUGAAAGAAUUAGUUCUCUAUGACAAUCAAUGGAGUGGAACAGUACCUGAAAGCAUUGGGCAUGUCUACGCUCGAGAGUAUCUACCUUGGUAUGAAUGCUUUGGAAGGUGUGGUUUCGGAAAGCCACUUCUCCAAUCCCUCCAGAUUAAGGAUUUUGGAUAUGUUUUAUACCUCACUAUCUUUAAGCUUCAGUUCUAAUUGGACUCCUCCUUUCCAAUUGGAAUUGAUACAUUUGAGCUCUUGCAUGAUGGGUCCGCAUUUUCCAAAAUGGCUUCAAACUCAAAAAAGUUAUCAGGACCUUGAUAAUUCUAAUGCAGGAAUUUCUGAUAUGUUGUUUUCUAAUUCCGCAAAAUACAAAAAGACUUCUAAAAUGUAAACAGUACAUAAAUGUAAUUCAAGGACGUAGAUGUAUCGGUACAUAAGUUUCGGCACGAUGUAUCGGUACAUAAGUUUCGGUAUGAUUGCAUCAGUACAUAAGUUUCGGUAUGAAUGCAUCGGUACAUAAAUUUCGGUACGAUGUAUCAGUACAUAAUCAGUACGAUUGCAUCGAUACAUAAGUUUCGGUAAGAUGUAUUGAUACAAAGUUUCGGCACGAUGUAUCAAUACAUAAGUUUCAGUACGAUUGCAUUAGUAUAUAAGUUUCGUUACAAAUGCAUCGGUACAUAAGUUUCGGUAUGAAUGUAUCGGUACAUAAGUUUCAGUACGAUUACAUCGAUACAUAAGUUUCAGUACAAAUGCAUCGGUACAUAAAUUUCGGUACAAAUGUAUCAAUACAUAAAUUUCGGUACGAAUGUAUCAGUACAUAAAUUUCGAUACAAAUGUAUCAGUACAUAAGUUUCGGUACGAAUGUAUCAGUACAUAAGUUUCGGUACUAAUGUAGCAGUACAUAAGUUUCGGUACGAUUGCAUCAGUACAUAAGUUUCGGUACGAAUGCAUCAGUACAUAAGUUUCGGUACGAUGUAUUGGUACAUAAGUUUCGGCACGAUGUAUCAGUACAUAAGUUUCGGUAUGAUUGCAUCCGUACAUAAGUUUCGGUACGAUGUAUCGGUACAUAAGUUUCGGUACGAUUGCAUCGAUAUAUAAGUUUCAGUAAGAUGUAUUGGUCCAAAGUUUCGACACGAUGUAUCGGUAUAUAAGUUUCGGUACGAUUGCAUCAAUACAUAAGUUUCGGUACGAAUGCAUCAGUACAUAAGUUUCGGUACGAAUACAUCGGUAUAUAAAAUUCAGUACGAAUGUAUCAGUACAUAGUUUCGAUACGAUUGCAUCGAUACAUAAGUUUUAGUACAAAUGCAUCGGUACAUAAAUUUCGGUACGCAUUUUCCAAAAUGGCUCCAAACUCAAAAAAGUUAUCAGGACCUUGAUAUUUCUAAUGCAGGAAUUUCUGAUAUCCUUCCAAGUUGGUUUUGGAGCCCUCUGUCUCAUCAGGAUCUUGGAUCUAUUUUUAUAGAUCUUUCCAACAACCGAAUUAGAGGAACAAUUCCAAAUUCAAGAUUUGAGUUUCCCUCAUCUUCCUUUAGUAAAGUGAAUUUGAGUUGGAACCGAUUGGAAAGUCCAGUCCCUUCAUUCCUUUCCAUAGCGAUAUCUCUAGAUAUCUCCAACAAUAAGCUUUCAGGGUUAAUUUCUUUCGUGUGUCCAAAGACUCCGAACAAGGUUAGUUGUUUAGCCUUUCUUGAUCUCUCAAGCAACAAUUUGUACGAACAACUUCCUAAUUGUUGGACACGUUUUGAAAAUCAUGCAUUUCUUGAUUUGAGUGAUAAUGCUCUUUUUGGAAAUAUACCCAAAUGCAUCAACAAUUUGGCUAAAAAAGGAAGUUCAAGUAUAACUGUCUAUCAUAUCUAUAAUAGCUCAAUUGUUGGACAAGGUUAUUUUGAGGAAGCAUCCUUGAUAUGGAAAAGCAAAAUGUCCAAAUACAAAAGUACUUUGGGGCUUGUAAAGAGUACUCAUAUGUCGAGUAACCGAUUAACGGGAGAGAUUCCUACGGAAAUCACUGAUCUUGUGGGGUUGGUUACCUUAAACCUAUCAAGAAACAAUUUAACAAGUCAAAUAACUCCAAUGAUCGGGAAAUUGGAGUCCUUACAGUCCCUUGAACUGUCAAGAAACCACAUAUAUGGCGGAAUACCAACAAGCCUUUUUCAAAUAUAUGAUCUUGGUGAUUUAGACUUGUCAAACAACAACCUGUCUUAAAAAAUUCUAAUGGGGACUCAGCUCCAAACCUAUGAUCCAUAUGAUUUUGUUGGAUAUCCUCUGCUUUGUGGAAUUCCACUUCAACAGUUAUGCUCUCCUGAGGAAUCAAGUCCAAAGGAGCAACCAAUGUUUAGGGAUCAAGUUAAAGAAAAUGAUGGGCUUAUACCACAGGGUUUUACUUGAGUUUGGUGCUUGGUUUUGUUAUUGGAUUUUGGGGAGUUUGUAGGACUUUGAUAUUCAUCAGGUCAUGGAGAUACACAUACAAGAAGUUCUUGAACUGUGUGUACGAUUGGCCUUAUGUGAGGGUGGCGUUGAUCAGGCGACGAGGAAUGAUUGAUGGGUAAACUAUAAGUACUCUUCCACAUAAUGAAUAAUAUUAUUACAGUUUUGAGUCUAUUAAUACGAUUGGCUAAGUGCACUUUUAUACAGAGAACUGCAGUAUAAUGAUAUGGCAUCAUUGCCAUCAUGGUUAAUAUCAUUUUGGUCUCUACAAUUGUCUUUAAAUUAUGACUAAUAUAUGUUGUGGGUUUUUUGAAUCUUUUUAGCUCGUGCAUCUACCAUUGGUAAGCAAUGCUCCCUUUAAACUGGAGAAGAAGGAGAUUGAAGAGUGCAAUUUGAAGUUAUAAUUUAGUGAAAGUGUUGUGUUUAAUUUAGUGGCCUUUUUGUUUUUGCAAUGACGUUACUUAGAUUAUCGUUGAGGGGUUAUAAAUUAGGUUCUUUUCAUCCUCCUUUACUAAGUGUACCAGUUGAUCCUUUUCAAUAAAUUUCUUUGAGAAACUUGCAAGAACUUACUAAUCAAUUAGUUACAGAGAGAACAAGCAGACAGAUAAUUCAAUAAAAGAUUGGAUACAUUAACAUUGAGAACAUCAUACAUUUAACAGAUAAUUCAAUCAAUAUAUCUCACAUCAUCAAUUGUUGAUUCUUUACAGUUCAAGUCUGAUCAGACCGCAUUAUCUUGACAACCGAGAAAAAACAAUUCGAAUUAUUAAAAUCUGAUUCGAGUAAGAGCUCACUACUGGUUUAAUUGACUAUCUCAUCAUUCAUUAAUUCUCAUUGCCACCUUCAGCCAACGUAAAAAAUGAGGGUUAUCGAGUGCACCAACUGGGCAAUUAGCAUGACAAACGUUGCAUGCAGCAUUGCAAUAACGUAAUGGAAACUUCAUUUUCGUACACAGCGCCCCCAAUAAUGCAUCGGUUCAGCUGCGCAAUGUUAGAAAAACAAAAUAAGGACCAUAUUUGUGGGUUCCAAUUCCAAAUCCAAUUGCCUUUAUAAAAACAACAUGAAAGUACAAACCAAAGACCCCAUUAAAUUUUUUCAGAUUCAUCAAAAACCCGAACAUAAAAGAACAAAGGUAUCGGAAGAGAACCAUGAGAUGAAAAAAAAAACACCUUUUCACCAAUUGAAUUAGAAGGUCCAGCUUCAGCAGCAGUCUCCAUCCCCAGUUGACCUAAACCAUGUAUCACUUCAAGUGCACUUGCAAAUCCCAUGAACACAGCAACUAGUAACCUUGCGAACAUAUAAGUUACUAAUUUCAAUACAAAAUUCGUUGUAUAAACACGAGAAGAAAAGCAAUGAAAUUUCAACAUAAUUAACAAAACACCAAAAACUCACCGAAAAACACAUGCAUGAGCUCUAAAAAGGUUUUAGAAAACAUGUUUUUGAGGCUAUUUACAGUGACCUUAUUCUUUAUGCCAACACCAAACUUUAAGUUCAUGUGGAAAUCUAUUUAUACGUCGAGUAGCACACAUCUGUAAAUAUUUUAUAUAGAUAGUGUGCAAAUUUUUUCUUUCAGUUUGUUGUAUGCUUAUGACGUGAUAAACAUAUUAAAAGUUUGCGAUUUAAUAUGAUUACUCACUCCCAAAUGUGAUUGUUAUUCUAUUAAUUCGCUAAAAUUUAAGGUUGUGUGUAUUGUUGUUUUUAAAACCUUUUGAUUAGUAAUACAAAAUUGAAUAUGAGCUCUUCCAUUUGGUAAUAUCUUAAACUGCUUAAAAUAUACAUCAUAAGCAACUAUGCUUACAAACUUCAGCACUGUUAGAAACAAUAGGCACUAAUCUACAAUGGUUUCUAAUCUUACUCAAAGCCUCAAAUGCACCCGUGUGUCACAUGAUUUGAAAUGUGCAAUUUAAUUAUGAUGUAUUUGAAUUGUUGUUUUCAAAUCUUGUGUCACACAAGUGUGAAUGUUUUAGAUUGAUGAAUUUUACUCAUCUAACGAGAUAUAAACUUGUUUCAUUCCAAGUGAGUAAUUAAGUAAAAAUAGUACUCAUGUGACCAGCAGGCAGCAAGGAUGUGAGACAUCUCAUAUGCAUGCAAUGGCUAUACUUACAAAACUAAACGAAAUGUCGUCGUCUGUUGGCUGUGUUAAGGCCAAAAGCGUGGUCGUUUUGAUCAGAACAUUUCCGGGGCAAAAAGCCAAGGAGAAAGAUUGAAAUUCUAAAGAGUGAGAGUAAAAGACUGGGGCGAUGUACAAGAAGAAGCCGCUAUGGGGCGAGGGAAUAACACCGAAGGCCUCGUCGGAAUCUGAACCAGACCGCCGUCCACCGCCGUCGGUUAUAUGCUAAAACCAAGUUAGCUAAAAUUCCUCAAGCGAGUCUAGAAACCCUCGCAUUAACAAUAAUCACACAAUAAACGAAUAGUCUCAAAUGAAUAAAACGCAAGGAACUGUUGUCGCUACAAGACCAAAGAUCAAUAAUAAUAUUCCAAUAGUAUUGUCUAAAUGACAGUGAUAUUCUUCAUUAACAACAAUUUAGCAUAAUUUCAAUGCAAAUAUGUUAAAGUCGGUCAAUUAUUGUGUGUCUUCUAAUCUAAUAACUCCAAGACUAAAUUUGUAAAGACCCCAGUCGCAGUGGAGUUAUUCGAAAUACGGAAAACUCUUGAGAACUUGCUUGAAGUAUCGCAUGGGGUCCAAGUCAAGACAAUACAUUUCUACUUGCAUCGUGUAAAUUUUGGUUUGCAGGUCCCCAUUGUUUUCAACUUGUAAUUUACUUUGAAACGUGAUUAAGGCAAAUGACAAACGAAAGUGGAGAAGAAUCAUCUAUGUUGUGGGAGUCAUUCAUCUUUCCUCUUAUUCUCCAAAACGACUUGUGACUGUUUGCAACUUGUCUAAAAAAUAAAUGUGAAUUUGUCUCUCAAGAGUUGAGGCGUUUUCCGUGUAUUUUAGUCUGGUCCAAAUAACGUGAAUUACACAUUCUGACUGUUUGCAACUUGUUUGGAAAAUAAAUGUAAAUUUGUUCUCUCAAGACGUUUUCUGCGUUUUUUAGCUUGAUCCAAAUAACGUGAAUUGCGUGCAUAUAUGUUGUUUUCUAAUUCCACAUAAAAAAAUAUAAUAAAAAAAAACCAAACAUACUUUUAGAACGUAAACAAAACGAAACAAUCAACGCGAAAUUGUGUUGUUUGUUGCAGGUUUUGUCAUUAUUUUGGAGACGAGUCAUCCUCUCAUUACUACACCUACCUACAAAAAAGUAGCUGGUCCACUCGCAGCUUUCCUUUUGAUCCUAAAUCAGUUCUUAUUAUAUAGUUUAUAAAUCAACUAACCUCUCCCAACGCACAUGAGACUUUUUUUUUAAUCACGUCUUUAAAAGUGUAUUGAUGCGCAUGCAAGAAACAUUUUUAUUAUCAUAGACACUACGUGCACCUAUAUCCCAAGUGCCGUUGAAACGACAUGUCAUUUGAAAUUGGCCGUACUUGUAAUUGCAUAGGAUCAUGAUUAUUGGCAUAAAAUUACUAUAACUCAAGUUCACUUCACAAUCACAAAUGAUCGUAAUUGCAUAGGAUCAUGAUCAUUUGGUAUUGGCAGUACUUGUAAUUGCAUAUGUAUGUUGAAACAACAUGUCAUUUGGUAUUUGCUGUUUUUUUUUAAUAAAAAAAACAAUAUUAUCUAUACUAAAAAAUAAAGGGUGGGCUUAGUCUAGCAAUAAUGUGGUUCAAAUUCGCUUUUGUCAAGAAUCGUACGUAAAACCUCUUACUUACAAGUGAAUAGGAAUACCACUAGACUGUACUAUUAAGUGACAAUAGUUGUUAAAAUGGAACAAUUUAACCAAAUAUUCAAAUAUGUUUUUCUAAUUGGCAAGAAUGGAAAUAGAAAACUUGGAAGCAAUUGUAAUUAACAAAAGGUUUGUGCAGAUGGAAUCUAACAGAAUUAGCUUUCUUACCACUGAUCAAUCCAAAAUAUUGUUAGGCAAAAGAGGAAGAAAAAUAAACGUAAAACCAAAAUGAAAUUAAAAUAUAAUGCAGAGCACCCAUCUCAACAUGUAAAGACAUGAUUGCCAAACCAGUUCACCUUCCAAAGCCAACCAAAAAAGAGAAGUAAAUUGUAUAUUCCACAUAUAUAUAUUAACAAUUUAGAGAGAGAAAUUACCAACCUGCAAACUGCAAACCACGUUCUGAUUCCUCCCCAUUCUUCAACAGAGCUGUCUCCAAAGGCCUCACCGUUAGCGGCUUAGCACUGCGAGUGAAAUAUUGUCAUCUGUUUGGUUGCUCAGGGCCUCACCGUUAGCGGCUCCAACUCCACAUCCAGGCACCGGUCAAAUUCGAACUCCCACCAUCUCAGUUACGCUUCUCUUCCUCUCUCUCUUCAAUCUCUUUCUCUCUCUACUCCCUAAACUCUUUCAUCUAUAAAAUUCUCAAAAUUCAACCUGCCUGAUGAAUUGAUUGAUGGUAAUUUUGAUUCAAUUUCAAACUUGUGAAGUUGCAGCUCCAAAAAGGGCAGCAACGCCUUGCCCUGCAACUCCAGCUCCAUCACCGACCACCUUCUUCAGCCUCCACCAACUUGUUAAUCAGGUUUGUGUUAAUCAGGUUUGAUAAAAUAAUGUUAAUCAAGAUUUUAUUAAUUUUUGGAUUAAAAUUUGGCACUUGGAGUGGAUUAUGGAGGUAAUUUUUGCUUCUUUGCUCAAUGUACUUCAAAGGCGUGUCGUCACUUUAGAAAGAUGAUCUGGUUUAGUGUUCUGGUCUUGAUCUUAAUGCAUCAUGCGUGUGCUGCUAUUGCCCCAACUUUUUGAACCUCAACUUGCUUAACUAGUAUGCAGUAAGUUUGGUCAUAGACUAAUGGAUUCACAAUUCAUCUCUUAUAUAUUGCAUAAGAAUAUCUGGGUCGCGUUUUCUGUGAGGUUUUAAACAAUCUAGCUUAUGUUUAUGUCAUGCGGAAUAUAUUUUUCUUAAUUGAAGCUUGCUGAAUGCUUGAUUGCGUUGUUGACUGCAGAAGUCGCCGUGUGACCCAUGCUUGACACACUGCUGCUUGCACUGGUGGCCCUUGUGCCAUGAGCACAUGGAGAUGAAGGGAUAAACCCCAAAGAUGUUGGGUUUAGUCACACUACAGUAUAGCACUGGUGAAUUGAAGGUAAGAUGCCUUAAAAAUAAGUUAUUUGAGUAUUAUAAAAUCAUACUUCUUCAGGUUUUUGUUAUAUGGAAACAUUACAUAUUUAUGGCAUCAACUUGUGUCCACCAGUGUUCUUUUUCUCAGCCGAGGAAAAUUGUUAGAAAUUGCAAAACUGUUGGGAUCUUUUGCUACCCUGUUUGAGUUCCCACAAAUGAAUCACAUUUUCUUGAAUCUUGCUCAUUGAGUGUUUGCAGCCAACCCUCUAAUUGUCAAUCUCUAUUUAUAUUCAAACUUGUACUUCUAUUCUUAAUACAUUCAAUUUAUCCUCAUAAACUAUUGCGGGAAUUAUAGUUCCCAGUGAUUGAUGUUGUGAAACAACUCUGCUGCUGUACUAGUUUUGUUUUCCUUCUCUUUUUUGUUUAUAAAGUUAACAAUUCUUAAAAAGAUACAACCCCUCGUUUAAAGCCACUACUGCUUCUCAAUGUCAAUCUUGUUUUUUCUAGCGGCCACAAUUGGUGAAAGGAAAUUUGCAACUGUUGUCCGUGGAUUAAAUUUUUAUUUUUAUUUUUUUUCUUGCUGCAGCUGCGGCUCCACUGUUAUUAACAGCCGUUAGCGGCGAUUGUUAGUCGCUGGGAGAAGGUGAAAUCUAUUGCUGAGCUACCUCAACUCUCUUCAGAACACAAGGCAGCCAGCAACCACUGAAAGCCAAUUGCCGUAUACACUCAAAAUGUUGCAGAGUGCAGGAAGUUAUGGAUUUUCUGAGUUCUGAAAGCGAAUUGAGAGUGCUGCAAAUCAGAAAUGAUGUUACACGAGGAUGUGUCUUCGGGGCCAAGGAAGCGAAGGACAACACAUUUUGUUGUGUAGUUAUUUUGUAAAGGCUGGUAGUAUUGCAUUCGUUUAUUCUUUUUCCUCAUUAUUGCAAUAAGAAGCCCAAGCUGAAGAGAAAUAACAGGUUGAGUGAUAUGAAUUAGGAUUUGUUGUUGUAGGUUCUUCUUGGUUGUGUCUCAUUUUUUGUCAUCCAUUUCAAAUGAGCCCAAAAAGAAGGGACAAGAAAUGGGAGUGUAAAGGAAAACUAGAACAAGAAAGAACACGUUCUAGUUUGGUUUUGUUGUUUCUUUGUUUUAGUUUGUAGUUAGAAGUUGAAAUCUGGUUAUAAGAAUUGUGAGUGUAAAGGAUAAGUGGCUUAAAUUCACCUGUUAUAUUUUUUUUGGAAUUGUUUCAUUGAUUUCUCAAAUUUUUCCUAAGAAUUGCUUAUAUUUAGCUUUGUACCUCGGUUCAGAAUUGCUUAGGUUUCUGCUACUUUGGUGUUGGAAUGAAGCAAAUAGCAUUUAAUAUUUUUUAUACAUCAUUGGUUUUUUUUUCUCUUCAUUAUCUUGCUUCUUAGUCUGACAUUGCACCAAACGCUUCACUAAAUCAGUCCAGCUUAGUCUAUUCUAAGCUAGUCCAGCUUAGUCUUAGAAGUUAGUCCAGUUCGAGAUAGUCUGGUGUAAUAAACAUACCCCAAAAGUAUUCAAGUGGGACAAACAUUACAUCAAUCACUUGAAUGAAAAGGAAUGAACUGAGUUUGAAUUACUUAAUUCUGAUGAAGAAAGUUUCUAUAAAAGGUAUAAAAAUAGUAAAGAAAAUGUCACUCCACUCAAUACAAAUUCAGUCAUAAAAAAAUUAUAAAUUAAACUCGUCAUUCGCGUGCCGAAUGUAUCACCAAAUAUCUUUUUAACUGAAUAGUUUUUUACUUCCAACUAGAAUUCUCCUUUUCAAUUGAAAUACGUAAGAUUGAGGUCCUACCAAGACUCGCAAGGCACCUGACAUUCUCGCUCCUUAAAAAAAAAUUGAAAUCGUUGAUUAAACCAACAUGGAGAACUCAAUCCACAGAUGACUCUUCCCUCCAUUAUCUCAUUAGACUGUUCUUUCCCAUUUUACCCCUCUUGUCAAGUCUCACUUUUAUUUACCAAUUGAGCUCCUCAUCUACUUUUUGUAGUAUAUGUAUAAUGUAUUUAGUAUUUGACGAGUUCCUUUCAAAUAGUUUUUUUUUUUUUUUUUUUUUUUUUUUUUUUUUUUCCAACCAUAUCAGAAUGACAGAAUGGGGUGGUGGAUUCUCGAAACUAGCUGUAGUGAAUGUUGAUACCAAAGUCUAAGCAUUGAGGUAAAACAUCACUUACAAAGCCACAACUUAUAUGAAAUGGGUUAAAAGUCACGCAGCGUCUUGAUCUAUGAAACGAAUGACAUGUGUUGAAAAAAAUUACUUGUCAUUCUUUUGUGGAAAGAGACGUCAUGAUGGUAAUGAACUCGUUCCAUGUAUUAGAGUACUAGAUUUUCAUCACCACAUACAUCAAUUUCCUCGUCACAAUCUUCAACAUUUGAGUUUAAAUCAGCAGUCCACAGAUGAGAUUGACCAAGCUUCUGCUUCAUUGCAAGUUUUCCCUUUCAGUUUCAGAAAGAGUUGUCAUUUUGGUUAAGUGAAUGACGAUAGGAACAUGACUGAGGGCAUUGAAGUUUAAAGCGGUAAAAUAGGAAAGAGAUGACCGAUGAGAUAAUGGAGGGAAAAGUCAUUCGUUGUUUGAGUUCUCCAUGUUGAUUUAAUAAACAAUUUCUAUAUAUUUUUUAUUUUUUUUUAUUUUUAAAGAAGUUGUUCCGAGCUAGAAUUGAUGAUGGGAUAAAAAUACCAAAUGCCUAGCGAGUCUUGUAAGCAAUUAUCAUAGCCUCAAACUCAUAAUUUGGAUCGUAAUCUUUGGAUUGAGGUCGGUGGUAGACUAAGAUAACUUAGUGGUUAACUCACUCAAUAAAUUGUUAAUUUUCUACGCCCCUCAUAUGAAGUCAUGAUAGAGAGCUCAGUGGUUGACUCCCCCAAUAAAUUGUUCAUUUUCUAUGCCCCAUAUAAAGUCAUGAUUGCUAUAUAUAUUUAGUCUUUGUAGUGUGUUGAUCUUUGGUCUUUGUAAAGUUAUUACUCUAGUUUUUCCAAGGAAUAUAAAGUAAGACACUCUCAAGUUUGAAAUACAUGCAAUAAUGCAUAACACCAUUCACUUUGUUUUUUCUUUAGUCUAUAACAAUAUUAGUUCACUCCGAUUCAGCACAUUACAGAUUCCGAACCUAUAUCAAAAGAACAAAAAACUAAGAUACAUGAAUUUUCUUUUCCUUUUUCCUACUUACAUAAAACCAGCAUGCAUAGUCUUGUUGCAUAGCCAACUGGGCAUACGCCUCUUUGUGGAUUGCAAGAUUUGAAAGAUUAAAUACAAUUAAAAUAAAAAAUCAACCAAAUCAAGGCAAAAAAAUAUGUAAUUUUGCGUCAAUAUUUCAACUAGUAAAAGUAUAGUCAAUACCUGGCCACUUGCAUUGAGCCAAGUCAAGCAGAUAUUGUGGGUUGGUUGGCCACUUUAACUUGCUUUUUCCAUGUCACUGUUUUAGCUACAAUUUGCUUCAACUAAUUGUGUACGUAUAUUCGAUGCAAGCUUGUUCGUGAAGUACUCAUACAUCCCCAUAUACUUGCACCUUCAUUGUGCUCCCAUCUUUUUUGAUAUUACAUUCCAUUAACAAACCCCAAAUAGUUGUGCUGCUUCUUGAUUAUUCAAUCGCCUCUACGUUGAUUUGAAUAUUAACAUGCACUUUUAUGCUUUGAUUGCGGUGCUAAUCUCAUUACAACAUUUCAACCCUUCUCUAUCCCUUGGAUUCGAUGAUAAAGUUUCUUCAGGAGAAGCACUUGGCCACGGUGAUGCUUCUGGCGGAGUGGUGAGGUGCAUAGAGAGGGAAAGGGAAGCACUCCUUGCUUUCAAACAAGGCCUCGUGGAUGAAUACAACCAACUCACUUCUUGGGGAUCUCCUUAUUGUUGCACAUGGGAAGGAGUUUUCUGCAGCAACCAAACCAAAGGUGAUCCUGUUAUCAAACUUGAUCUUCUACCAUAUGAUUUGCAAGGUAAGACGAUAAGCCCUAAACUGGUUGAGUUGCAGCAUUUGAAAUAAUUGAGCCUCUAUGGAAUUGACUUCAAUGGGAGCCAAUUUCCAGAUUUCAUUGGUUCCCUAUCCAAUUUAAGAUACCUCGAUCUCUCUGACGCUUCUUUUGGUGGUCGAAUUCCAAGUCAGCUUGGAAACCUUUCACACUUGCUACAACUCAAUCUUGCCUACAACCACUUUGCUACUAAUGUUGUGCAAAAUCUCAAUUCUUGGCUCCCUCGUCUUUCUUCAUUAACACAUUUGGAUUUGAGUUACAACAAUCUCAAUAGCACUUACGACUGGCUUGAAUCAAUUAAUAAGCUCCCUAAGCUAAGGGACUUUUCAUUAAGGGAUUGUUCUCUUCAUUCUCCUCCAAUGCCUUCCACUCUCUUUACCAUAAAUUCUUCUAAAUAUCUUGCUCAUGCUGAUUUCAGUUUGAACCGUCUCACAUCUUCUUCAAUAUUCGUAUGGUUGUCAGCCUACAGUACAAGCCUUAUUUAUCUUGACCUCAUUGGCAACAAUUUAACUGGUCUAAUUCCUGGUGUUAUUGGAAACAUGACCUCGCUUUCCUAUCUUGAUCUCUCUUUUAACCAAAUUGAAGGAUGGAAUCCGCAUUCUUUUGCUAGGUUAUGUAGUUUGCGAUCGUUGGUCCUCAGGAGCAACAGAAUGAGUGGACAAUUUUCCCAGUGGGUUCAAAUAUUAUUAUUAAUGUCUGCAUGCGCUCAAAACUCAUUAAAGUUUCUGGACCUCUCUUACAAUCAUCUUGUCGGGCCAUUUCCUAAUCUUAUAAAGUUUUUGUCGUUGAAAGAUUUAGAUCUCUCUGGCAAUCAAGUAAGUGGAAUAAUUCCUGAAACUAUUGGGAAAAUGUCUAAGCUCGAGAGUAUCGACCUUAGUACGAAUCAUUUGGAAGGGGUGAUUUCCGAAAGCCAUUUCUCACGACUUGCCAGAUUGAAAUAUUUGGAUUUGUCCUUUAACUCUCUAGAUUUAAACUUCCAUUCGGAUUGGAUUCCUCCUUUCCAAUUGGAUUAUAUAAUACUAGGUUCUUGCAAGGUAAGUCCAAAUUUUCCACAAUGGCUUCAAACUCAGAACUUUUAUUCUAGACUUGAUAUUUCAAAUGCUGGAAUUUUCGAUAUCCUUCCAAGUUGGGUUUGGGGAGGAAUGUCUCCUAAUUUGGCCUUCAUGAAUCUCUCACACAAUCAAAUUGGAGGACCAAUACUUGCAAAUUUGACAUUGGAGUUUGCAUAUUACCCUCAAUUACAUUUGAUUUCCAACAAAUUGGAAGGUCCAAUCCCUCAUUUCUAUCACAAGCGUCAUUCCUCGAUCUCUCAAAUAAUAAUUUUUCCGGGCCGAUUACUUGGUUGCGUGCACCUACCGCAUCAAGUUUAACCUUAAUCUUUCAAGUAACAAUCUCUAUGGACAACUUCCGAUUUCUUGACAUAUUUGGACAAUUUGGUCAUGCUCGAUUUGAGUUACAAUGCUCUUUCUGGAAAAAUUCCUGCCACAAUAGGCUCCUUAUUUCGGAUGGAAACGCUGAAGUUAAGAAGCAACAGGUUUUUGGGAGAAUGGCCUUGCUCCACUUGCCAAGUUUAUCAACGACAAAAGGACCGAAGAGGUAGAUGUGCCUCUUCCUUCAACAUCAUUCCUAGCAGCACUGGAGCCACCAAGGCCAUUGGAAAGUCAGGUUUGAGAAAGCUACAACAUAUGAACAGAUCAAGGCUGCACUUUACAACCAUUCAUACAAGUUUCUCAAUGGCUUUCCAAACCAUGCAUUAUUCCCAUUUGUUACAAGAGAAAACAUGACUUGGUGGCAAGGCUUUUUCCAGGUGAUCUUCAUGCUCAAUGUCUCUUAUGAUUAUUAUAUGCUCAAUCUUCUAGGAGAGCCUAUGAGAGUUGUAAAUUUCACAAACUUUGCUCAAAUUUGUAAAACUUGGGAGGCUUCUGUUUGCACCUAAUAUGUGCACCAUUUCACUUAUUUAGAUCAUUUGGGUAAAAUAUGACAUUUGAAGGAUUAAUGUGCAAGAAGGCUAACUUGGAAGAUAUUUAGCUAUCAAGUGGGAUAGUUUGGCAUUAAAAUAAUGUUUUUCCCUUUUUAUGUGGGUGGUGGAGGUUUGCCAAGAACUUUAUUUAAUCAAAACAAAUGUUUGCUUAUGGAUUGGAAGAUAACAUGCAGACAUGGACGUGGACAUAUGGAUGAAACAAGCCACCUUGCUUCUUUUAAAUGUUAGUUUAUUGCAAGUGGUGGAGACAUGUGGCGAAAACAUGUAGUAGAGAUACAAACUUGCUUAUUUUAAUAUUAUUUCAUAAUGCAAGCUGUAAAGGAGUUUCUUUCGGGCAAGUUCAAUAUUCUCAGCAAGGGCUCUUUCAGAUCUCUAUAUAAAGAAGCAGAGACAGAAAGAUUAAGGACACUCAAACAACCAAGCAAUCAACUCUACUCAAAUUAGCUCAUCAGCUUCCUUGUAGACAUUUAGCUUUAGCCAAGCAUCCAUUGCUUUCCUUGUUUAUUAGCUCUGCUGCUCACUAGUAGUAUCAAUCUCAUUUGUAGUUUAUAUACAACUCUUUUUCAGUCAUUUAAAUUAUAAGUGUUGGUACCAUAUAUUGGGCCUUGUCUUUGGGCCUCACCCCUAAGCCCAUGACAAAUGUAAAAGGGGAGGGAGCCCUUAUUCUAUAAAAUAGACUCGCCCUCACCCUCAUUGGGGAGGCCUCACAUCCAGAAAGAAACAAAGGGUCUCAGAUCCACCCCUCACAACAAUGGAGGGCAAUACCCUCUCAGCCAAACAGAGAGCAAAAUGGCAAAGGUUGCAUCCACGGAGAGCUCCUUUGCCAAUCUAUUGUAAUCCAUACAGUAAAUGGAAUCAACAUCAGUGUGGACGUAGCCCAAACAUUGGGGUGAACCAUGAUACAUCUUUGUGUUCUUGAGCGUUUGUGUAAUUCACGACCGGAUUUACGUUGGUCCAAGAUCCUCCGGAUUUUGUGCAUCAACAUUUGGCGCCGUCUGUGGGGAACGACACGAAAAGCUAUGUCGGUUAUCUUUCAUUUUUUUUAUCAAACCUCCACCGUGAAUCUGCACAACCCAAGAACCCAGAACCUCCCUCCUUGGGCUUUUUUCAGAAAACAUUCACUAAACUCCUAAACUCAACCACAGUUUCUUCUCCCCCUCUUUCUACCCCUUCGUUAAGUCUCUGAAGCAUUCGCUUCUUUGCGUGCUGCAGAGAACCUCCUGCUUCACUCACCUUCCCCGCUUCAAUCCCCACCGCAUCGCAUCGGGAUUAUCAGGUGCUCCCAUGGCUUCCACAUAGAAGGAUGCGCAUGUUGCUGCUACAAAAACCCUCGGACCCACAGAGAGAUGAGAGUAGAUCACAAUCGGAGAAUGGCUACCGCUCAAGCGACGCCCGACGGCGGCGGGCGCCAAGUAUUGGAGUCUAUGUACUCGAUGAUUGUGUUUGCAUCUCGAGCUCAUCUUUGUCUCUCCUCUAGAUUUCUAUUUCACCAUAGAGUUCGGCAAUCUAUUUAUUGAGCAUGUGUGUUUUCUUGGCAUUGUUGUGCUCCUGAACAAGAUCCUCCAGCUCUAAUUGCUCCUCAUCCUCACUUGUCCCACCUUUAAAGAUGGUUGCCUUCAACCCGGCAGCAUCCCCGCAGGAUUCUGGCCUGCUGGAAAGAUUGGCUAUUUCACUAUUUUUCUGCUCCAAAAUUUCUUCCAGGUCUCGUACUGCAAGAAUUAAAUCAGAAUUUGAUUCUUGCGUCUUCUGGAGCUGUAAACGGAGAUUGAAAUUCAGACUUUAGUUUCUCACAUUCCGCCUUGAAAGAAUCUCGUUCGCCUGCGUUGAGCUCUGCGACGCCGCCACCGUCGUCGACGUGUAUCGGCUGAUCCAGUACGACAUCUCUGGUGCUCCUUUCGGAUCUCGGCUCGCCAACCUCAACCACCAUGCUGGCUCUUUGAACUUCGCUUCUGACUCUGAUCUCUCCCGCACUGUCCUCAUCAUCCCUUUACACGAACUCAACAUCUCCUUCGUCACUGAAUACAAUACCCAGAAGCAGCCUCUGGGAGGUUUGCUGUUUUUGCUGUGGAUUUCAGCCAAGGUUGCAAGAUAGCCAACUGUGAAAUCCCGUUCCUGGAUUUCAUUAUUAUAAUCUACGUAUUGGUAUUACAGAGAUUUCAUAUUAUUUUUUUUGGGAAAUUAAUUAUUUAAAAUCCGUAGACCAUUCGAGGUCACAAUUUACAUUGUUGAAUAGAUUUCGAGACUACGAACGCAUAGGCAAAAACCGUUUGCGAGUUCGGAUUAUAACGGUACAAUUGCGGACAUCUGAAGUUGUGUUUCAAAACUAUAGAUUUUAAUUUUCUUUAAAACUCCCCGUGGGAAUGAUGACCCAAAAAAAAAAAAAGGGGAGGACCAACCCAAUUAUGUAUGGGAGAGUUAAGGGAGCCAAUUAGAAGGGAGGAAGGGAGCUAAUGAAAAGGAGAAGGGGAGGGCGUCGGAUUGGGCAGCGAGAAAGAGGAAAGAAUAGAGUGCAGGAGGGAAAGGAGGAAAAUGGGAGGACGAAUCAGGAAGAAGGAUAGGGAGGGAAAUGAGGGAGUGAGAAGACACACAAUCAACCCCCUCUUCCCUUGACCCAUUUCCAAACCGUGACCCGUUUUUAGAAUUUGGAAAACCGUGUGUUUUUCUGACGGUUUUAAGUCAUUUUUCAGGUGAAUUUAGGACCCCUCAUCACCACUAAACAUCAUCACAACCUUCCAUCGUUCCAUUCUAGCCAAAAUAGACAAGAAUUGGUUGAGAUUUCACGAAGAUUGAAAGUGUGGGUGUCGCGACCCCCUUGUUCGAAAUCCACCAAAUCUGAAACGAUUUGGAUCAAAUAGCAGCACCCCUAGACUUAUCUUGAGGUCUGGAGCAAGGCCCAAACAAUUUUAGGGGCGGCGGUGCACCGGAGGUGACGAAUCGAGAACACCAAUUUCUAGGGUUUCCAGCGAGUUUGAGGGAAAUUGGAGCUUUUCCCGGCCAAAUUGGACUUGGCCACAUGUAUAAAACUUGCUCUACUCAUUGAGAUCUUCAUUUCUGUAAAUUUUGGUAAUUUUUAAAAAUAGUUGAAUUUUCCGGCAAGUCGGGGCGGCGCGUGUGGCGGAGGCCUGGCUAGUGGGCUGACGAUGUUCUUUUAAGUUCAAAUAGAUGCCUUUAUUUCAUAAUUAAUAUCCGUAUGACGUAAUUUGAUUGUUUGGACUUAGUUUCAUUACGAUACCUUAGUUGGUCAAAAUAUGAAUCAACGAUCCGACCGUUGGAUCGUCACCAAACCGUAAUGUGUGAUAGAGCAUAAUAUUUGUGGGUCAUAGAAACUUACGGAUCGGGAGUCCGACAUAUGGAUCUUCCCUAAUGUUGUAAAAUUAAUCGUUAACCGUCACCUAAGUCUAGCAAUUGGCGGAGAUCCGACCGUUGGAUCGCGAUGAGAAUUUAGUAUAUGGUUCUAUGAUCAUAAUGUGGACUUUGGGAGGUUAUGGAUCGGAAAUCCGAUAUACGGAUCUUCCGGAUCGAAUUUGCAGGGUCGUGGACCUUACCAUUACCCGAGAGUUGACUUUUGGUCAAUAUGUCUCGAAAUGUUUUAAAUACUAAAUCUAGUACCACGGGAUACGAAGUUAAGUCUAACGGGGUCACAUUGGUUAGAGAGUGACUGGAAUAUAUGUGAUGUAAUUACUACCUUAAUUUCUUAUAUUAAUAUCAUUUGUGAAUAUGAUUUGGGUUAUAAAUGACAUUUAUAUUGAAAUGUGAAUUAUAUAUAUAUAUAUGCCAUAGACCUAUGUUUAUUAAAUGUAAAUUCUAUUGAAGUGUUUUCUAACCAUUGAUCUAUUUUCAUUAAGUAUGAUUUAACUUGUGCAUUGGAAAUAUGGUUUGUAUUGUAUAAUUGGAUUGAUGUAAUAAAAUGCGAGGGCUAAUAGUGGACCGUUAACCCAUUGUCAUGGGGUUUGUUGCUUCGAAACAUGUUUCACCCCUCGUGUCAUUAUUUCAUUCUCGUUUCGUUGAGUCUUUGUAACUUGAGUAACUUGAUUCAUGUCUUGGUUCAUUGAGUGGUGUUAUACAUUAUACUCCGCGAUUCUGUUGAGUGAUGGUCCGGAAUCAUGUCCUGGUUUGGAUUUCGUUGAGUGAUGGUCUGGAAUCCCUUCUACUCCGCGAUUAUGUUGAGUGAUGGUCCGAAAUCGUGUCCUGGUUUGGAUUCCGUUGAGUGAUGGUCCGGAAUCCCUUCUACUCCGUGAUUAUGUUGAGUGAUGGUCUGGAAUCGUAUCCUGGUUUGGAUUCCGUUGAGUGAUGGUCUGGAAUCCCUUCUACUUCGCGAUUCCAUUGAGUGAUGGUCCGGAAUCGUACCCUGGGUUGGAUUUCGUUGAGUGAUGGUUCGAAAUCCCCUUUGUUGUCUUGGCUCCGUUGUGUAGUUAGAAAUCUCGUUCUUUUGAGAUGUAGGCUUCAACCAAACUGUGUCGCUCUAACCCUGCAUUUCGAUGAGUGGUAUGUGAUAUUGAUGAUGCGAUGGUUGGCAUUAUUGUUCGAUGUGAUUAUGGAAUGAUGUUGGCUAUGGUUAUUGUAAUUAUGAUUAGACUCGUUUACUAUUGUGACUAGUGAAUAUGAUUGUGCUCCGUCAUUUGUUCUUUGUAAUAUUGUUUGAUGCAUUGUGAUAUAUUGUUGAGACAUAACGUUCUAUGUGAUGAAUAUUCGAUUGUAGUGAAAUGACGAACUACGAAUGGCUUGAUCCCUGUUGAGGGUACGUAGGCAGUCUAACGAGGAAGUUAGAUGCAGCCAUAAAGUAUAUGCAAAAUUAUUAUGCAUCUGGAUCUUGAAUUAUAUUUUGUACAUAUCAAAAAGGCGGGGUACGUUGAGUUAUGUGCAUUUAGUGAACUCACGUGUCGAUCUUUGAUGUAUGUUGGGAUCGGGGCGUGACACCAAAUUUCUACUCAAAUGGGGCUUCAAAACUGUCGCCUUUGAUAUCAGAUACGUCGAUAGAUUCGCAGCAAUGCCUUCAAGCUUCACGGUGUAGUUGCUGACUCAAAAGGUCCCUUCCAAUUCAUCUGCAGAAUCGGAUUUCGUUUGCGUUGUUCUUCUGCAGGAACAUUGUUCUUGCAUCAAGAUCCAUUUACCAAGUAUAUGGAACUAUGUUAAGAUUUGUAAGGGGAGCUCUCAUCUCAGGCUCUACCCUCAUCCCCGGCUCUACCGGCACCCAGGACAGGAUGAAUGCACCAAUUUCAUGAUGGCAAGCCCAGGCAUCUACCUGGUGUAGUAAAGUCUACUAAUCGAAUUCAUACAGCUCGAAUUACUGCAAUUCAGCCCAACAAUCGCUUCGUGUUCAGAAAUGUCAGCCUAGAAGCAAUCAGAGGAAACCAUAACCUUCAACCAGACCGACAAUAGAGAGGAAGAAUAUAAGCUUUCUCAUAACAAUUCUAUUAUUAUUCCCUGCCAUUUGCUAAAAGAAAAAAAGAAAAGAGCUUUACUUUUGUUUUGUCUGCCAUCUGCCAAAAGAAAAAAAAAGAGCUUUACUUUUUACAUCAUUAUGUUUUCUUAAAUUAUUUAUUUAUUAUUUUAUUAUUUUGUGAUAUUUAUCACAUGAUCACUAUCAACAACGUGGCAAAGCACAUCACGCAAAGUUUUAUUUUUAAAGUUGUGGUGAUGUAUCACUGGCUCCUGCACACUGCACAAUACAGAUAUGUAUGUUUAAAUAUUUUAUUAUAAUGUUAAUAGUCUUUCGGCACAUCACUAUUCCUAUGCCAUGUGACAUAAUCAGACAUCACAUCCUUUCAUUUUGUGGUAUUCACCUCAUAAUUAUCACACAUAUUUACAUAAACAAUAUUUAUUCAUGGCCUAGAAUAUUGUGACUGCCAUUAAACUAUGUCACUUAUACAACAUGUGAUUUACCACACGACUGAAUAAAUUAUUUAUUUAUAGAAGGCACAUAGUACAAUAUUUUGCCUUGACAAACUUUGUCAAUUUGAUUUAUUCAGUAUACGGUCAUACUUAUACUGUCAUUUAUUGUUAUGAAUUAUUGAGCAACUAGAUCCACUGAUCAACAUUAUUGCUGAUUAAAGAAGCCUACCGACACUAUUGAUCAGCCUAUGAAUCACUGAGCCACAUGCUUAUAGUGACAAAUAUUUAGUCCGAACAAUGAUCUCUUGUCUAAUCCGACAAGCGGACUCUCCCUCACCCUCAUAACAAGGUCUCACCUUCACUAAGAGAUCCAAAGAGUCUCAUAUUCAUCCUUCACAACAAUAGAGGGCAAUACCCUCUCAGCCAAACAGAGAGUAAAAUGGCAAGGGCUGCAUCCACAUAGAGCUCCAUUGCCAAUCUAUUGUAAUCCAUACAUUCAUACAGUAAAUGGAAUCAACAUCAGUGUGGACGUAGCCCAAACAUUGGGGUGAACCACGAUACAUCUUUGUGUUCUUGAGCGUUUGUGUGAUUCACCGCCGGAUUUACGUUGGUCCAAGAUGAGUACUGGUUCAAGACAUCUAGUCACUUCGACCUGUACAUGGAUUGGAUUUGAAGUCUCCAGCCAAAAGACUCUCUUGCCUGAAGACUUGGGGGACUCCUGUUGGUACCAUAUAUUGGGCCUCACCCCUAAGCCCAUGACAAAUGCAAAAGGGGAGGGAGCCCUUAUUCUAUAAAAGGGACUCUCCCUCACCCUCAUUGGGGAAGCCUCACAUCCAGAGAGAAACAAAGGGUCUCAGAUCCAUCCCUCACAACAAUGGAGGGGAAUACCCUCUCAACCAAACAGAGAGCAAAAUGGCAAGGGCUGCAUCCACAGAGAGCUCAUUUGCCGAUCUAUUGUAAUCCAUACAUUCAUACAGUAAAUGGAAUCAACAUCAGUGUGGACGUAGCCCAAACAUUGGGGUGAACCACGAUACAUCUUUGUGUUCUUGAGCGUUUGUGUGAUUCACGGCCGGAUUUACGUUGGUUCAAGAUCCUCCGAAUUUUGUGCAUCAACAAUAAACAAUCUACAAUACCAGUAAUUUAUUUUCCUCUGUCAUUCACACUUCCAGUGACCUUGUGAUUUAGUUGUUCUUACAUUUCUCCAUAUAAGUAAAGUCCUUAUCCUUAAGGCAAAGAAAGAACCUUAAUUUGAGCCACUCCCACUCAAUCGCACAAUCUCUUGGUUUGAAGUCGAAUUCAGGUGCAGCCUCAAUCAUUCAAAACCCGUUUACUAGCGGCAUCUAGUAGUGGCACGCCCGCACCCACCAAUUUCAUGUUUGAGUAAAUUCCCAGCAUGCCCGCGAGACUCAUGUCGAAUUUAGGGAGCAAACAGUAUCUAAAUAUUUUAAUUUAAAAUGUUAAUUUUGAAUUUAUGAAAUAAUUGUUAGGUUCUAUGCGGCGGAUGUGAGGGCGGAGAGUUUCGAGGUGUUUGACUAGUGCAAGUGGAAGGUGGUGGUGACGGCGAAUCCGACAGUGAUGGUGGAGCCGUUCGUGAAGGAUUUUCUGGGCGGGGACAAGGUGCUGGGGACGGAGAUCGAAGUGAAUACAAAGACGAAGAAGGCGACCGGGUUUGUGAAGAAGCCCGGGGUUUUGGUGGGGAAAUUGAAGCGUUUGGCGGUUCUCUCGGGAUCGGCGAUCGGAGCUCCGAUCAUGACUACAUGUCACUUUGCAAGGUUGGAUACUUCACAAAUUUAUCUAAUUAUUUGAUACUUUUGUUGUUAAUUUUGUUGUAGUAAAUUUCAUGCGACCCAUAAUCUUAACAAUCCCAACAACCAGCCAGCUAAAAUAUUGAUCCCUGUGUGGUCUAUUCAAGAAAACCUAAUUAGAAAUAAAGGAAAAAAAAGGAAAAUAAUUAAGGCAGUUGUUGUUCCAAUUAAAUUGGAGUAAACAAUCAUAACAUACUUUGUACAAUUGUUACUUUUCUAGUACACCACAACUAUAUAUAUAUAUAGCGUUUUAAUAAAAUUAUAAGUAAAAUAUAUAGGUAAUUGUUUUAUGAAAUGAAGUAAUUGACACAGUAAUAAAAAAAAAUUAUGAAAUCAUGUGAAUAACAACUUCUAACACAUUCAUUACAUGAAAAAUGUCGAAUUUUGACUUUUGUAUAAUAUUUAACAGUUAAAAGCCUCAAAGGGGAUACUCCGAAAUAUCAAAUAAAUCCUGUGAAUAACAAUUUCUAACACAUUACACAUUCAUGACAUGAAAAAUGUCAGAUUUUGAUUUUUGUAUAAUAUUUAACUGUUAAAAGACUCAAUGUAUUUGAUACUCCGAAAUAUCGAAUAGAUCAUGUGUAACAACUUCUAACACGUUACGCAUUCAUAACAUGAAAAAUGUCGGAUUUUGAUUUUUGUAUAAUAUGUAACUGUUAAAAGACUCAAAGUAUCCGAUACUCUGAAAUAUCGAAUAGAUCAUGUGCAACAACUUCUAACACGUUACGCAUUCAUAACAUGAAAAUGUCGGAUUUUGAUUUUUCUAUAAUAUUUAAUGGUUAAAAGACUCAAAGUAUCCGAUACUCCGGAAUAUCGAAUAGAUCAUGUGUAACAACUUCUAACACGUUACGCAUUCAUAACAUGAAAAAUGUUAGAUUUUAUUUUUUGUAUAAUAUUUAACGGUUAAAAGACUCAAAGUAUCAAAUACGACGGAAUAUCAAAUAAAUCCUGUGAAAAACUUCUAACAUAUUAUACGUUCAUGACAUGAAAAAAUUCGUAAAGUGAACGGCAUUGUUUAUAUUUCAUAUGCUAUACAUAUGAGUAUCAUUGUUAUUUUAUAUCUUCUGGUAAACUUCAAAUUCUCGUUUUCUAUGGAGUUAUGUCGGUACAUUUUUUGUCACUAUAUGUUUGUGGUAAUUAAUAUUGAGCAGAAGGCUACAUGGUGCCGCCUAGCAAAUCAGCCCGUCCAAUUUCAAAGAACCGUCUCAAAAACCAAAUAAAUUAGUAUUGAUAUUUGUGGAGAGUAGUUUAGGUAGUAAAUUUGAGUUUAAAGAGAUAUUGAUAGUUUAAUUAAAAAUGAUAUGAGUGUAGAGGUAAGUUAUAUGAGUUCAAAUAAAAUUUUCCUAAUAAAUUGGUAUUGAAUUCACCAUUCACGAGCUUUAAAUGUAAGGCAUUCAUUUAUAAGUGAAGAUAAAACAAAACUACAUCGUAGUACUAAGUGUCGUGUGAAAUUAAUCAUAAAUUAAAAUCUAAAUUGCUGAAUUAAUCAAAAUUAAGUAUUGAUAUUGACUACAUAAUGAUCAAAGAUUGACAACAAUACAAUCAAAUAUUGAAGACAUAUACAAAAUUGGCCGUUUUAGUAACUAAAAUUUGAAAAAUAAUCAUUUUAGUCAAUUUCUCAAAUAACUUGACAUUUAAAAACAUAAGGAAAAAAUAGAGAAAAUAAUGAAACAUGAGUAAUGAUAUGAAUGUAGUUUGUUUGUUUGGUUGUUUAUACUCCAUUUCAUCCAUGUAACUUCACUUCAAAUUCAUAAACAAUGUAGUUUCUUCAACUUACGACGUUGUUAAAACGAGAAGAACUAGGAAUAAGAAUUAUUCGGCCCAUCCUUGUCUAUCAUUUUUGGACGAGGAAAUAUUGGAUGUCAUUGAAUAUAAGGCAUAAUCUUUAAAUGAUCUCUCAAAAUUUAAUUUACAUUUCAUUCCAGCGUAACUGCAAUGCUUAAACUAAUGAAAAUAGCUUGAAAAUUAUAAGUUUUAAACUACAACCAAUGCUUAAACUAAUGAAAAUAACUUGAAAAUUUUAAGUUUUAAACUACAACCAAAUGAAACGUGUAAAAAUAAACCGAAACGUCGUCGUCUGUUGGCUAGAGUACCAAAAUGUCGUCGUUGUGAGAGUAAACGACUGAGGCGAUGUACUUGAAGAAGUCGCUAUGGAGUGAGGGGAUAACGCCGAAGCCCUCGUCGGAAUACGAACCAGAGCCGCCGUCCACCGCCGUAGGCGAUCUGGUCAACUCGUUGACCCGGCAGAGAGUGUACCGCGAGGUCGUGCUCGCGCUCCGGAGCGGCCUCCGCGAUGUUCGCGCCGAGUUCUCCUUCCUCCGUGUCCGCGGCCUCCUCAAGUUCCUCCGAUCGGUCGCCGAGUCCGAUUCCACCAUCAACCUCUUCUCUCAGACACAAUCGCUUCCUGAGCUUCAAGGUAAUCAGAAAAUUACAAAAUUCCUAGUUUCUACUUAAUCUUUUGUUUAAUUUUUCUGAUUGUUGAAGUUGAUUUAAUUAUCGUUUUACAGUCGUGCCGGUUCUGUUUCGGCACUCGCUGAACGAUUCGGACGAUGAGAUCGUACGGAAUUUGGAUCACAUAUUCGGCGUCGAGCCGCUGAAGAUCACAAGCCCUUCAACCGAUUCCGAGGUUUCGCUUGCGCUUAGGGUUUUGGAGGGUUGCUGCCUGCUCAUCCGGACAGCGCGGUUUUGGCUCAUCAGCACUAAAUAGCUUAACCAAAAUCUAUGGAGGUUGGAUUACUGAGAUGAGAAUGCAGUUUUUUGUAAUUGGGUUUUUGUAGGUUUUGAUGAAUAUAUUACCGACUUGCGGCGUGAUUGAGCAAGGAGCUUGUUUGGAUGCUUUGAUUGCUAUUAUGUUGGAUUCAUCAGCUAAUCAAAUGGUAAAGCUUCAAACUUCAGUUUCGAGUCAAAUUUAUGGAGUUUAAUUUUUGUAGAGAUUUUAUAUAAAGUUUGAUUCAAUUUCCUCGAAAUCUCAUGGAAUACGUGAGAUAUGUGGAUGCUUAAAAUACACUACGAAAUCUUUCCAAUUCCCUUGAAUUCUUCAACUUUUUAAAAUUCUUUAAAAUCAAUUUCUAAUUGAAUACACCUAAAAUGUUAUAAACUUCUUUAAAAUUUUAAUUGAAUACACUCGGAUUUCUAAGCAUUUCAAUAAACUAUCUCAGAAUCUUGAUUGAAUACACUUCGAAUUUCAGAAGAUAACUUAGAAUCCUGAUUGAUGAUUGAAUACCCCUAGAUUUUUUUAAAGAAUUAAAAUCCCACAAAAUCCCAAUUGAAUACACCCCUUAUUGUGAUUGGUUUCGGAGCGGUGAUGGGUUUUUUUAUGAUUCGAUUGUUUUCUUGUGUGUAAUGUGUAGGAUUUUGAGGCUUUUCAUGGUAUUGAGGAAGUUGCAGGGCUCAAAAGGGACAAACAAGUUGAUGAGAAUCUCAGGUUUUGAUUUAUUUCUCUUUGCUUGCUUGAUUCUCGUUGUCAUGAGUUGUGAUUUAAAGCUCUAUCUGGAUAAAUUCUGGGGUAAAUGUUAAAGUUUUGGCAAAAAUAGGUUUGUUCAUCAGACAAUUCUUAAUAGAAUCUCGUCUUUCCUUUUUUUUCUAGGUUUUUAGUUAAGCUAUGUCCUGUUGCUCAUUUUCAUGUUUGUCAAUUGAGUAACGAGGUCAUCUGCUAGGAAUUAAUUAGAUUUGAGGAUUCUGAACACUGGUGUGCCUAGGCUUGGUCCUUUCUUUGCUAAUAUAAUGCACACUGAAGAAAAACACUGUUGCUUUUGUUUAGGUUGAAGUGGAGAGUUCUUGCUGCUUUUGAUUGGUCAUGUAAAUGGGAGGGAUAGGCCACCGUUGGCAACCGUACAUGAGGACAUAAGACAUUUUUGGGUGAGAAAUCUGCUUCCUUGAUAUGGCCAGCGAGUCAGUUUGGUUCGACCCUUGAUCCGGAGCAGAGACUAACUGCUCAUCACAUCCAAGCUCGUCGUGUGAUAGUGUCCUUAGAUUUGUACUGAAUCUGAACAUAGAAAGCACCCUAGGCAUUUUGUUUUGUUUUUCUUUGUAUUUCAGUGAAAUACAAUCAGUAAUUUGUAAGAAAAUGGUCGUCUUCAAUGAAAUGUUUGCCUUGACAUUUUGUGCAGUAUAAUUUCAAAAUCAUACAACAUUCUACGGAGUGCCAUCACGGUAGCUAAAAUUCCUCAUGCGAGUCUGUGCCGACAUUCACCUCUCCCAGACCCUGCGUAAAGCGGGAGCCUUGUGCACUGGGUACGACCUUUAUACAACAUUCUACGGAGUGCCGUCACGGUAGCUAAAAUUCCUCAUGCGAGUCUGGAAGCCCUCGCAUUAACAAUAAACGAACAGUCACAAGUGAAUAAAACGCAAGGAACUGUUGUCGCUAAAAGUAAAAGACCCAAAAUCAAUAAUAAUAUGAGAGUGUUCAUGAAAAGAGCUUGGGUUAAAUUUAAUUUAAUAAAAAAAUCAUGCUAUAAUUUUAUUUAAUGAAAAAAACUUAAAUUUUAAUGAAAAACCCUUAACUUUUAAUAAAGAGGACAAAAGAACUUAAAUUUUAAUAAAAAUGACAGAAUUUUAAUAUUUAAAAAAAAAACUUGACGUGCCUAGGUGUGCGCGUCCAUCAUAGACAUUAUUUAUGAAAUAAUACUACACUGUUUAUGAAACUUAACAGUACUAUACUAUUUAUGAAACUGCAGUGCUAUACUAUUUAUAAAACUAAACGGUAUUACACUAUUUAUUAUCCAGAUUCAUAAAUAGUAUCUAGUUCUUGGUUCACUUUUGUAAAUAGUGUUUAGUUAUUGGAUCCUAUUUCAUAAAUAGUUUAUAGUAAUUGGUACAGUUUCUAAAUAGUGUCUCAUUUUUUAUCUGGUUUCAUAAAUAGUUUCUCAUUUUUUAUCCAAUUUCAUAAAUAGUGUCUAAUUCUUGGUCCACUUUCAUAUAUAAUGUCUAGUUCUGGAUCAUGUUUCAUAAUUAGUGUCUAGUUUUUAGUCUAGUUUCAUAAAUAGUGUAUAGUAAUUGAUACAAUUUCAUAAAUAGUGUCUCUUUCUUGGUCUUGUUUCAUAAAUAAUGUCUUUUUCUUGGUCCAGUGUUUUAUAUUGAACUCUUUCAAUUAUUUAUAUUUUCUAAUUAAACAAAGAACCAAUUAGAAUUGGAGGUAAUUGAAAAUUCAUAUGGUUCACAACUCAAAGUCUUUUGUUGGAGUUCCUUAUGUUAUGUUAAUGAACUCCACAAGUUCUCUCUAAGAAUGCUUUUAAGUUGGUCAAUUAUUGUGUGUCUUCAAAUCUAAUAACUCCAAGACUAAAUUUGUAAAGACCCCAGUGGCGAUGGAAUUAUUCGAAAUACCAGAAACUCUUGAGACCUUGCUGUCAAUAACCUUGAAGUAUCGCAUGGAGCAUGCAUUUCCACUUGCAUUGUAGAAAUUUUGAUUUGUUGGUCCUUCUUGUUCUCAACUUGUAAUUUACUUUGAAGUGUGAUUAAGACAAAUGACAAACGAAAGUGGAGAAGAAUCAUCUAUUUUGUUGGAGUCAUUCAUCCUUCCUCUUAUCCUCCAAAACGACUUUUGUGUUGAUUGUUGCAGGCUUUGUCAUUAUUUUGGAGAGACAAGUCAUCCUUUAAUUACUACACCUACCUACAGAAAAGUAGCUGGUCCACUCACACAUGUUCCAUACUUGACCAUUUAAGUCAAUAACCUUGAACUAUCGCAUGGAUUUCCACUUGCAUCGUGGAAAUUUUGGUUUGCAGGUCCCUAUUAUCAUCAACUUGUAAUUUCCCUUGAAGUGUGAUUAAGAUAAAUGACAAACGAAAGUGGAGAAGAAUCAUCUAUCUUGUAAGAGUCAUUCAUCCUUCCUCUUAUCCUCCCAGAAUGACUUUUGCUUUUUGCAACUUGUGGAAAAUAAAUGUGAAUAUAUCUCUCAAGAGCUAAAGCGUUUUCCGUGUAUUUUAGCCUAGUCCAAAUAAUGUGAAUUUCGCAUUUUGACUGUUUGCAACUUGUUUGGAAAAUAAAUGUAAAUUUGUUCUCUUAAGAGUUGAGACGAUUUCCGCGUUUUUUAGCUUGGUCCAAAUAACGUGAAAAAUUUAUGGAGUUUAAUUGAUUUGUAGAGAUUCCAUAUAAAGUUUUGAUUCAAUUCCCUUGAAAUCUCAUGGGAAGACAUGACAUAUUUGGAUGCUUAAAAUACAUCUCAAUUGAAUACACCCCCUUAUUGUGAUUGGUUGCGGAGCGGUGAUGGGUUUUUUAUGAUUGGAUUGUUUUCUUGUGUGUACUGUGUAGGCUUUUGAGGCUUUUCAUGGUAUUGAGGAAGUUGCAGAGCUCAUAAGGGACAAGCAUGUUGAUGAGAAUCUCAGGUUUUGUUUUAUUUCUCUUUGCUUGCUUGAUUCUCGUUGUCGUGAGUUGUGAUUUGAAGCUCUAUCUGCUUAAUGUCUUUUGAAUUAGUCCUCUUGAUUAACGAACAGUCACAAGUGAAUAAAACGCAAGGAACUUUUGUCACUAAAUGACCAAAAGUAUUGUCUUGAUCAAAUGACAGUGAUGAUUCUUCACUAACAGCAAUUUAGCAUAAUUUCUAUCCAAAUACAUUUAAGUCGGUCAAUUAUUGUGUGUCUUCUAAUCUAAUAACGCCAAGACUACAUUUGUAAAGACCCCAAUUGCAGCGUAAUUACUCGAAAUACCGGAAACUCUUGAAAACUUGCUGUCAAUAACCUUGAAGUAUCGCAUGGAGUAUCGCAUGGGGUCCAAGACAAGACAAUACAAUUCCACUUGCGUCGUGGAAAUUUUGGUUUGCAGGUCCCUAUUAUCAUCAACUUGUAAUUUACUUUGAAGUGUGAUUAAGACAAAUGACAAACGAAAGUGGAGAAGAAUCAUCUAUCUUGUGGGAGUCAUUCAUCCUUCCUCUUAUCCUCCCAAAAUGACUUUUGACUUUUUGCAACUUGUUUGGAAAAUAAAUGUGAAUAUGUCUCUCAAGAGUUGAGGCGUUUUCCAUGUAUUUUAGCCUAGUCCAAAUAAUGUGAAUUACGCAUUCUGACUGUUUGCAACUUGUUUGGAAAAUAAAUGUAAAUUUGUUCUCUCAAGAGUUAAGACGAUUUCCGCGUUUUUUAGCUUGGUCCAAAUAACGUGAAUUACACACAUAUAUGUUGUUUUCUAAUUCCACAAAAUACAAAAAGACUUCUAAAAUGUAAACAGAACAAAACAAUCAACGCCGAAUUGUGUUGAUUGUUGCAGGCAUUGUCAUUAUUUUGGAGAGAAGAGUCAACGUCUAAUUACUACACCUACGUACAGAAAAGUAGCUGGUCCACUCACACAUGUUCCAUACUUGACCAUUUGAGUCAAGACAACUCAGUGUGUGGAUCGUAUUGUGAACUAUUACGUACUCACCCAGCCUUAUAAGACACUCGCAUCUUUCCUUGUGCUCCUAAAUCAAUUCUGAUUGUACACUUCUUCUUCUUCGUUCUUCAAUCAUCUUUGCCUUGAUUUUGUUGAAUUAAGAUGGAGAAUGACGGAAUCAGGUGCUUGAAGAAAUUCUUUCACACUUUCAUUGUGGUGCUACUUUUUCUACAAUGUUUCAACCCUUCCCUAUCCUCUGGAUUCUAUAAUGUUUCUUUCGGUUUCGGAGCAAUUGGCCACCGGGUGGUGACGAGGUGCAUAGAGAGUGAAAGGGAAGCACUCAUUUCUUUCAAACAAGGUCUGAUUGAUGACUACAAUCUCCUCUCCUCCUGGGGAAGAGAAGAACACAAGCAAGAUUGUUGCAAAUGGCUUGGCAUCCACUGCAGCAACCGAACCAACCAUGUUACUCAACUUGAUCUUGGAUGGUAUCAUAUGAAUGAAGUUUACUCACUUCAACAGAAAGGACAGCAGGAGUAUCCUGAAUAUUACUUUCAAGGUAAAAUGAUGAGUCCUAAACUAAUUGAGUUGCCGCAUUUGAAAUAUUUGGACCUUUCUUCCGUUAACUUCACUGGGACCCAGCUUCCAGAUUUCAUUGGUUCUCUUUCCAAUUUAAGACACCUCAGUCUCUGGGAUGCUUCUUUUGGUGGUCGAAUUCCAACUCAGAUCGGAAACCUUACCCACUUGCAAUAUCUUGAUCUCAGCUCCAAUCACUUUGCUAAUUUUGAAAACCUGAAUUCAUGGCUACCUCGUCUUUCUUCUUUAACAUAUUUGGACCUGAGUUCCAACAAUCUCAGUAAUGUUCCUGACUGGAUGGAAGCAGUUAAUAAGCUCCCUAAACUUACAAACUUGUCUCUGUAUUCUUGCAGUCUUCCAUCUCCUCUAAUUCAUUCCAGUACUCUUUUUAACAUAAAUUCUUCUAAAUCUCUUGCUCAUGUUGAUCUCAGUGACAACCAACUCACAUCUUCUUCAAUAUUUCUUUGGUUGUCCAAAUACAAUGCCAGCCUUGGUCAUCUUGAUCUCAGAUACAAUAACUUUGCUAAUGUAGAAAAUCUGAAUUCAUGGCUGCCUCAUCUUUCUGCUUUAACAUAUUUGGACCUGAGUAGAAGCAAUCUCAGUAAUGUUCCUGAUUGGCUGGAAGCAGUUAAUAAGCUCCCUAAACUUACAAACUUGUUUCUGUCUUAUUGCAGUCUUCCUUCUCCUCUAAUUCAUUCCAGUACUCUUUUUAACAUAAAUUCUUCUAAAUCCCUUGUUCAUGUUGAUCUCAGUGACAACCAACUCCCAUUUUCUUCAUCUUCUUCCAUAUUUGUGUGGUUAUCCAAAUACAAUGCCAGCCUUGUUCAUCUUGACCUCUCUUCUAACCAAAUUGAAGGAGGGAUUCCGCAAUCUUUUUCCAAGUUAUGUAAUCUGCAAGAAUUCAACCUUUACAACAACACUCUGAGUGGACAACUUUCUUCGUUGGUUCAAAUUUUACUGUCUGCAUGCCCUGAUCAAAACUCAUUAGAGACUCUGGACCUCUCAAGGAAUCAUCUUUCUGGAUCAAUUCCCAAUCUCACAAACUUUUCAUCAUUGAAAGAAUUAGUUCUCCAUGACAAUCAAUUGAGUGGAACAGUACCUGAAAGCAUUGGGCAUAUGUCUAUGCUCGAGCGUAUCUACCUUAGUAUGAAUGCUUUGGAAGGUGUGGUUUCGGAAAGCCACUUCGCCAAUCUCUCCAGAUUAAGGGAUUUGGAUAUGUCUGAUACCCCACUAUCUUUAAGCUUCAGUUCUAAUUGGACUCCUCCUUUCCAAUUGGAUUUGAUACAUUUGAGCUCUUGCAUGGUGGGUCCACAUUUUCCAAAAUGGCUUCAAACUCAGAAAAGUUAUCAGGAACUUUAUAUUUCUAAUGCAGGAAUUUAUGAUAUCCUUCCAAGUUGGUUUUGGAGCCCUCUGUCUCGUCAGGAUCCUCCUAGAUAUAUUAUUAUAGAUCUUUCCAACAAUCGAAUUAGAGGAACAAUUCCAAAUUCAAGAUUUGAGUUUCCCUCCUCUUCCUUUAGUCAAGUGAAUUUGAGUUGGAAUCAAUUGGAAAGUCCAGUCCCUUCAUUCCUUUCCACAGCGACAUAUCUAGAUCUCUCCAACAAUAAGUUUUCAGGAUUAGUUUCUUUCAUGUGCCCAAAGACUCCGAACAAGGUUAGUCCUUUAGCCUAUCUUGAUCUCUCAAGCAACAAUUUGUACGAACAACUUCCUAAUUGUUGGACACGUUUUGAAAAUCUUGGCUUUCUUGAUUUGAGUGAUAAUGCUCUUUUUGGGAAAAUUCCUACCACAAUGGGCUCUUUACCUUCUAUUCAAACGCUGAAGUUAAACAAGAAUGAGUUUGUGGGGGAAUUGCCUUCAUCUUUGAAGAAUUGCAGAAUUCUGAGCAUAUUUGAUGUUGGAGAAAAUAACUUAUCAGGUUUGAUACCUGAAUGGUUAGGGGUUGGACUUCCAAAUUUGGCUAUCCUUAUCCUCCGUUCUAAUCACUUCUAUGGAAGCAUCCCACUACAAUUGUGUAAUAUGAGAGACAUUCAAAUUCUGGAUUUUUCGAUGAAUAACAUCUCUGGAAAUAUACCC
rnacentral:lncRNA from 1 species